GCCUUGUUAUGCUACCGGAAGAGCAGGCACGGCGCCUGCAGUUGUGUUAUAUGCUAGACUGUUAACAAUGAAACGUCCCGAACUGGCCUCAAUAAGAAAACCAAAGGCUAAAGAGUGAGGACUGAGUCAGGUAAGAGAGUCACGAUCGGAAUAAGUGUUAACAUGGACGCAUUUUGGAAUAACGAUCGGCAUAAACCACCUCCCCUCGAUCGGAUUACAAUUUCCUCCCGAUUGAGCCGAGUUUUUACGCAUUUCUAUUCCGACCGGGCGUUUAUUCCGAUUAUUUGUGCCCAUGUAAACGCAGCUAGUGUUAGCUUCUGUAAACAUAGACAUACGGAUGCAAUCUGGAUACAGCAAACAGAAACUGAGUCUGCUUACAAAGCUUGUUGUGCUGGUAGACUGCCUUUUUUUUAUUUUAACCAAACGUAGUCAGCAUUUUCAGCACUCAGCAUCAUUGUUGAGUCCUCUCAGUGCACUCAGGGGAAAAUAGUUCAACUGUACGAACUGUGCUCAUCGGGGUCAUUUCUUGAUCACUGGCCAAUGAGGAUUAAGUAGGGUCAGAUAUUUAAUAUCAACUUUUUCGACAAGAAUGGGGUGGAGGUCCAUGAGGAAACCAUACACAUGUUUUUAUAGGUACAAAUUCCAGGUCUAGAGCUGCUGUUAAUGCUACAAUGUGAAUUUAGUCAAUUGUUUUUUAUGUAGGUUUCAUGACGCCAUCGAAUGAGAGAAAAUAUGGAGCAUUUUAAAACUGCCUGAAUGGUUGCUAAGGAAAGCAGAGGUGCCACAGGUUAACUCAUGAAAACCUAGCAUCAGUAAGUGCUGGUGAGGAGCUCUCUCACUGCCAGCAAUUAAAGCAAUUAAAACGGUCAUCUCAAAAUAUAUAGUUUUCCUUUUUUCCUCUUGGUCUUUGCAGAUCUUCGCCUUGCGCUUUCACUCAAGUCUUUUCCCUUACACGUACUGAUGCAGAUGAUCUAAACUCAUUCUACUAAAUGCUCCAGUCAGUACGAUGAGCAUCCAAACAGGUGUAUUGAAAACUUUGAGGAGUGCAGUCUUAGGGAUCUCACACAGGCAGAAGAAAAGGUCAAGUCAACCAAUUUAACUAAGCUUCGUGUCAAUUUUGGCGCCCCAGACUGAGAAGGCGGCACUUUAUAGUACAAUUCAACUGCAGUAUUUAAAGUUGGAUUUAGUUUUUCUCUCUUUCGGUUCAAUUUGUCACCCAUCUAGAGUUCUUACAAAAAAUGGUAGUUAGUUAGUCAUAAAGUUGCAUUAAUGGUCUUUCAGGCUGUAUUUAUAACCAGCGACAAAUUCCACACAGGAGCUUUAAGUGAAAAUGAUUGUAUGAAUAGACAUUACUAAGAGCGUCAACCUCACUGUGUUUCAUAAAUGUACGUUUUUUAGUGAGAGAUUUCAGUCAGCUCAUAAGUGUGCACUCCAAGAAAGGGAUACUCAACCCCUUUAUAAUUGCAAUGAUCUUGCAGUGCAUUGUGGGACGCAGCCACAUGAAACAGAGCUGUAGCUCUUCUGCAACAAGUGCAACAUCAGUCUAAGGAGCAUUUAUGACACUGAUGAAGAGCUAUCGAUAAAACAGCUGCUUCUUUUUGCUUUCUUUAGGACCAGACAGAAGCGAAACAUGAAGUCAUGUUUUCUCUUGAAGAGGCAUCAUUACAAAAUAGCAUUAUAAAGAUAAAUAAAACACACAAGUUAAAAACUGCCCCUUUUAUCUUUACAUAAAAAGAUAAUGGAUAUAAAUCAAAAAAGAGACCGUAAAAGUUAUUGGUGAAUCAGUUUUUCCUUCCAUCAUCAUCAUCAUAACUGAAGAUCUUUGGAGGGUGACUCACGUUGUUCUUUGAUCAGACUCUGAGCAUUUAGUCAAACGUUUAAAGGAGUAUGAGCUUGAAUAUAUGGCUUAUUAAAUCUCCUCACCCUCAAUGACAACCAUGUGUGUAGUGCAACAAGUUGGAGCAGUAAUGUGAUCAUUGUUUUUCCCACAUUAAUAGUUAGAGGAGAAAGGAGGACUGCUUUGAAACUAAUUGAAAAUGAUGUUUCAGUGAUGACUUUAUUCAGAUUUGUGUGGUUUAAUGUCGCCUAAGGGGAUACAGAAAACCACAAACUGAAGUUCAUCAAUAUUGGCAAACACAAUGGAGCAGAAUUUUAUUAUGCUACCCACUGCUAAUGUUGACUUGUGCACAGUGGAGAUGACAUUUUUUAAAGAGAGAUGAAUUGAAAAGAGGGGUGGUAAGUUAACUGAUGAGACUCAAACUUGGAUGUGAACUUUUAACAGAUACAGACCAAGAAAGCAUGACUUACACUUUAUUCACAAUUCAAAGCUGCAUGCAGGAAGUUUAAUCUUGUGAUAAUUGUCUAAAGUGUCUUCUUUCAUUUGACACUAAUAACCCCUGAACCACUGUUGGCCAAACUGGAAUGGCAACACUUAGUUAAACCUGUUGUAAUAUGAGUUUUCACCAAAGGAGGGCAGUAUGACUAUGAUAACAAGCAUCAUCACAAAGGCCCUAAACCCAAAUGAGAUGUGUUUAACACCCUUUAAUGCUGGUGUUUCGGUUAUGAUGAACGGUGUAUGGAGUAAGAGGUGAAUUUUGAGUCAUCAGACACUUGAGCAUGAGGCUCCUAAAGGUUUACGUCCCCAUAAUUAUAACUGAUGAAUAAAAUGUUUGAUUUUAGGUUAAAAUGAAGGUAAAAAGGGGAAGAAUUCACCACUUUAGUGUGCUGGAAUCACCUUCUUAUGAUGAGUGUAUUUCUUCUCUGUAAAAAGUACAAAUACACUAACUUAAAUUUAAUCCAGUGUCUUAAAAGUUGUUUCUCUUUUGCAGCAUCGCCCUCUGAUCCAGAGUAAUACAUUUUAACUGAAGCCUUGAUGAUUUAAUUUGUCAAUCAGUGAUCAAUAGGGCUUAAUAAAUCAUUUUUACUGAUUAAAAGAUGGGAUAAUGUGUCCACUGAUAUUGUGUUUAAUGUUUUCACAUCGAUUUUUGUACAGACUCAUUAAGAUAUUUCUUCUCUCAACUGAAACCGUCUUACAAAUAUUCUGCCUCUGGAAAUAAACACCCACCAAUGUUUUCUCACUAAUCAAUGUUUAAUCCUCUUUUUUGUGUGUUUGUUUCAAGCGGUGUUUGAAGAGCAGCGCUGGAGCCCGAGGACGGUUUGAGGGGGGGGGCUGAGCUUCGCCGGGACCCGGGCUGUAGACUGCACCUGAGAGCGAACCUGGUACCUGAGGGUAAGACCUGAGACGUGACCUCUGCAGGCGGAGUAAAAACACAAAGAAACAAAGAGUUUUAUGACGACAUAAAGGGGAACUUAUGUGUGGUAUUGUGUUGGCGUAAUUUCAGGAAUGUUGUUUCAAGUAGCCAGUGAUUUAUAACCGGUUUGAUUGUGUUAAUUCUCGCUGUCAGCUCGGUUUCUCUCUGAUUAUACUCAGAAAUGUUCAGUUUAAUUGCAGCACAUUUCACUUUCUAGCUCUUUUAAUUUACAUUAUUAAUUCAGCUUAAAAUAACAAUAUAUUCUCUCCUCUAACACGAGUUAUUACUGUACCUCUUCUUCUGCAUUUCUCUGUAGAGCUACAGCAAACAGCUGCCUGAUUAAUAAGUUAGGUCCUCUAAAUAUGGCUCAGAGUCAUGUAUCUUUAAAAACUACUUAAUAAUGGUAAUCAAGAUUAUCAACAACGUGGCAAUUAUAUCUUUACACUUUCCUUUCUUAAUUAUGUAUACUUCUUCUUCACCGUGGAUAAAAGGGGCUGCUUUCUCGGUCUCAGGUGGAUUGUUCAUCUUAAGUGUUUAUGAUGGUGUAUUUGUAUCACAGCUACGCUGCGCUCCCUUAAAGUGGCAGUGAGCUGAAAGGGGGCCUGUGCCUCUUCCAUGUGCGAUUCAACCACAAUGGAGGAGUUCCUAUGUUUUAUUUAUUGAUAUGUUUUAGUGGGGGAAGACCUAGUGUUCAUUAUCAUAAAGGCCUCUAGACAUCCAGUCACACACACAAAAGACAUACUGUAUCUUUUAACACACACACAUAUACAGAUCAACACAAGAGGAACAGGCCGCUUUGCUGCAGCUGCGACUCCUCGCCGGCUAACGUCAGUGUCAGAAGCUGACAGUGUCAAAGUAUCGUCAUCUCUGGCACAUAAACUGUCCCUGAAGCUGUCGUUGUGAAAAAGAUGUAAAACACAGGCUUUUUUUUUUUUUGUCUUCAUGGGGGGAAGUUGUUUUUAUUCUCCCCCUCUUUUACUCUCUCUUUUUUUUAAAUAUGUCACAUCUUUUCUGUCAGGGCCCUGAGGCGCCUGGUGGUGCUCGUGCUAGCAGAGGAGCGUUAGCAUGUGCAAACCCAGUGGAUUCUGACCAUACUGUACCUGCAUCUCGUUUAUUUUCUCCAAAGCUCAAAGGCGGGAAUUUUCAGACAGCCGUGUUGUCAUCUGAUCUGUGCGAGCGUGGAUCUUUAUGUGUAAAGGAAGAGGAACAGAUGUGGGGAAAGUGGGUAAAAACUCAAUAUGAACCCUGCAGAGGCCUUCCUCUCUCUGUUCAAUUAUUUAGAGUCAAAGAAAAAGAGGCAAGAGGAGAGCAUACUUCCACAGAAGCCACUGUGUUCGGCAGGAAGGAAUAACAUAUUUAUCUAGUCUCGUCUUUGCCAAAUAGCCAGAAAUGGAAACAAAUACCUUCAAUUGGAUUCUUGGCUCUGGUGUUUUCCUUUUGCUGCUUUUGCUGUGUGUGUGUGUACUCAUGUUGAAAAAUUCCACAGGACCAAAAAAUUAUAGGAGUUAGCGCUGACAAGUAGAAUUUUUCAUGGUAUGUAGAUGUACACUUGGCAGUUUCAGGCAAAGCUUAUCCUCUCUCGUCUCAUGUGAUGGUGGAGAGAGAGAGAGAGAGAGAGCAGAAAAAAAAAGAGCUCACCUAUUUAAUUUGAUUAGAGAUUAGAGGAGGAAAAGAGUCACAUUUCCUCCCUGGCACGUCUCUACUUGGCGCACUCUGAACCUGAUUUUAUAAAGAGAUGUCACAGCCAAGCACUACCGUAAUGCCUGUAAUUACUCUGAACUCAAAUAAAUAAAUAAAUUUGCUUUUCUUUGUGGAAGUCUGACAGGUUUUCCAACAUCCCAGACUAGAAAAAAAAUCACAGUUUGUGUGCUUUGGUGUGUACUUUCUUCUGCCUGUGUAUUGGCGUGUGGGUGUGUGCUUGUGUUUACAUAUAGUGAGGCGCUUGUAAAGGAGAAAUUCAGACAGGAUGAAAUUUUGACAGCUACAGUAUAGCUUGUUUUCCCCUCUCUUCUCUUUUUUUGACUGUGAUAAUCUUCUCUCAGCCGAGUGCAUUUGAGUCUGAUAAGGUUGGAGGCGCAGCUUUGUAAAUAAUAAGGUUAGAGUUUUUGCACAGUUGCUAGUGCCGCGCCUGAUCUCGCUCCUAUUAGUGACAAUUGGCUGUGACCUCACCUGCUCACCCGCGCUGUCAUCACUGAGGGUGUAUGUGCGGGAGCAGCAGCAGCAGGCGAUUAGAUCAUCCUCUCUGGUCAUAGAAGGAGACAUCCAGACAAACGCUGCUCCGCUGAACCAAAGGAGGUCUGAUGCAUGUUGUCAUGAAGGCUGGCUCCUUGACUUUUCAUAUUGUUCAACUGCAAAAACACUUUUCCUAUUUCCUGUUUGAGGGAGAAAACUCCGGCUCUCAAAAUCUCACGAAAAAUUAGCCUUUUCCCGCGUACAGGUGACUUAUACUUUAUCGUACAGGAAACAGAACAUUGAAAGGUGUUUGGAAAAAUUAGCCAACCUUCAUUUUCAUACAUGACAAAACAAAAACUCCAGUAUGAUAGAGUUCAGUACAAUCCUCAGGAAUGAUUACAGUGCCAGAUCAGCACCUUCCUGACAAAUCCAUGAGCUUCACGAGGAUCUGAGUUAUUGCAAAUCUGACGAGCUGGUUCCCAAGCUUGUUUGGUUGAUGUAACCCUACAGCCUUGUCAAAUACACCCCCUCAGCAUACCACAGAGAGUUUUUAAGUGAGCUGAAAUUGUUUUAGUUUAAGAGGUAAUCAUAUCAGCUUUGAUAAACUGAUUUGCAUAUUACAAUAAGUAUCUCCAGAGUCUUUGGAUAUAUUCAAGGGGGUUAACUUGACAUGACUUGUUUGUUAACUUACUUUUGUGUCAUUGUUUUAACUUCUCUAUCUGCUUGCUAACUAAUGUAAAUGUUCGUCUAAAUGUAUGCAAGUGUCAGCCAAGUACCAACCUCCAGUCUUGAGAAAUGGAGCGUAUGUGAAAGUGGUAUAAAAUUAAAAUUAAUGAUUGAUAUUGAUGCCAUUAUCGAUUCUGCUUAUCGAUUCAAUUCUUUAAUGAUUCCUUUAUCAAUGCCUUUCUUUGAUUUUAAAAAAGUAGACUAUAGGUUUUCACCAUGAACUCAAAAUAACAGAAAAGAUGUAUGCCACCUUCAGUGAGAGACUUAAAAAAAAUAAUCAAACAACAGAACUAUUUGUACAGCAUUUACUUUGGUAGGUUUUAAGUCGAAUUAGGGUGACCAUAUUCUAGAUCCCCAAAGAGAGGACACUACUAUGCGGGGCGGAGUCAUGAGCUAAAUUUUGAGCCACGUUUCAGAUCGUCUCUGCCUACUUUUCGUACCGUCUGCCAUGUUUUUUUCCUUAAAGUCUCUGUUCUCAAUCGUGUAGACUGGCACUCGCAAAACUGUUUUUCAAGGAACCCAGAAGAAAGGAAUCGUUAAGGGAAUCAUUAAGAUAAAAUGUAAAUGAUGUCGAUGGAUUGAACCAUUUAAAAAAGGUUCUCCAUUCCCUAUGUAAAACUGUAGUUUCUUGAGUGGCUCCAAAAACCCUUAAGGCCAAAUGAAAAAUGAAAAUGAAACCCGUUCACAGAUAAGUCCAGAAACACUUGAGACUGAAUAGCUAUCUCUUUAUGUAUGUAAAGGAGGAUGCCAGUUUUUGUAAAUAAUAUGCUUUCAAGAUAUCAAGAAAUGCUUAGGGGUGCAGCUAAUAUGUAUCUGUUAGCUAAGAGGCUAAAAGGCUGAUCUCUGCUUUGACUGAAAGUUUCGUUAAGUGAGGAUUUCCUCUGAAGACAUUGUUUGGCUUUAAAACUUACCAGGACUACAAACAUGUUUUACACAGUUCAUAGUGAUGGCCUCCUGCUUACUCAGUUUGCAUAUUCUAUUGCAAUUGUAAGUUUCUAGCUAGGUGUGGGUAUUAGCCGACUGCUAAAUCAGUUUGUAAAAUUGGGGGGGAAGAAGAUUCAAAGUGUAAUUACUAUUUCUCAAAACUAACUGAUCUACUUAGGAAUCAUGCAUAAUACCCAAAAGCAACUCCAUAAGUCUCCUCUGUGUUUUAAGCCUACUCCUUGUUUAAGAGACUACUCCAUGAAUAAAGUAAAUUGGUAACUCUUGAUGGGGAGAACUACUCAGCCUGAGGUAAAGCCGUACAUGCUGCUUUUAGAUCUGGGAAACUUAACUCUGAUUAUAUCAGAAAGCUUUUCAUUCAAGCUGGUAGUGGAGUCAGAAAGGCAGUAGUAUGUUACAAUUUGAUUGCAUUGUGGGAAAUGUAGGAUUAUGUGUUUUUGACGAUUGACCCUUUACUUAAAGGAGGAGCAUGUCUUAAAUUUUUCUACUGAGUCCAUCAAGUUUUUGGCAGAGCGUAAUUUCCAGAGUAGACUUCUCUUUUGAAGAUCCUCCGGGGAAGGCAACUUUCAUGAUGAUCUCUUUCAUCAUAUAGAUGCUGUGAUAAUAAUAAUCAAUGUAAAAAAAAAAAUCCUGUUUUUAAGCAGAAAGGAAACUUCAAAAUAUGGAUGUCAUUAAUUAGAAAUCAAUAGUUUUUCUGCCGUUCAAAGUAGAUUUAAAACUCUUUGUUUGAUGAAAAGCUGCCUGCUGUUAAGGUCACUGGUUUAUUCAUGGGACUGUGCAACAUUAGAGAAAUUUAAAACUGAAAGGAGAUCAGUUUUAUUAGGAACAGAACAUUACUGUGACGCUCUACACCAAUGGGUAAAUCUGCUCUCUCUUCCUCUUUUCCGUCACUUCUUUUCUUUUGAGAAUGACAGUCAUGCUGGUAUUCAAGGCCUUCCAAACCUCUCUCACCUCUCUCUCUGGUCAAUCAGCAGCUUCUCCCACAGUUUGCCAACAAAUACCAUCCUCACAAUGCCGCCGUGUCCCAUGAGCCUUUCUUUGUGCCGCAGCGGUGUCAAGCAGUCGCACCUCUCCAUUGAAGCAGAUGUUCAGGAUGCUCUUUACCAUCCUUAUCAGGGAUUCACGCGUACAAACUGCAACUAGCCGCCCUUUUCUUUUCCCUGACGAAGCCCCGCUGUAUAAAUUAUAGAUGGUGAAACAACCUUUAAACAUGUUCAUUAAAGACAACGCUUUCUUGAGGAAGAAGAAAACUCGCUCAUAAAUAUUUCUUUCAAGCAAAUCUUAAUACAAGCCCCCCCUACCCCCAACAACCCCUCCCCUUUAUCCCUGUAUUCUCUUUUCCCAGUCGAGAGAGAGAGACAGUGCCUCAGCAACCUUGACUGGAGACAAGCAGGAGACACGUGUGACUGGAUUGACUUUGCCUGUGAUGGCUGUUAGCUAGCUUUUCCUCCAGAAUCCGCCCGCCAUCCACCCGCCCGCCCGCCUGCCUGCCUGCCUCCUGCCUUCCUGCCUGCCUGCUGAUGUGCUAUUACUCGCUCUGGAAGAGAUGCUUGUGUGCAGGAUGACACAUUAUUAUCCUUUAAUCUCGCUCUCAGCUUGUUGAGCAUCAAAUUGAAAUAUCCUGAACAGAUGUAAAAACACAUGUGAGCCUGGGCGCGCAAGCUGUGCCGCGCUUUGUUUCAUCUAUCCGUGAUGUGAGCCUUAAGGAGAAGCUUUUUAAAAUUUCAUCACUAUUCAAAAGGAUAAUUAAUACGUACCCCCAGGCUUUGAUUAUGCGAUACCCAGUGUGUAGUGCUGGUGUUGCCAUAAUGAGCCACUCAUCAGUGCUCUGCCUGUGCCUCCCCAACAAACAUACAGUUUGCAUAAGGUACUUAAGAUUCUGCUGAGGUACCAUCAUGUUUCUGUGUGUGCGUGUGUGUGCUUAUAUGUGUGUGUGCACCUGCGUAUUUAUCUGUAGGUGUGUAUGCAUGUGAGGUGUGAGUCUAAUUUGCAGUACAAUGCUAUAGGUUAGAUCACACUGGUUGUUGCAGUUUGUUUACAAGAGGACCCCUGUCAGAUUGUCAGCAGAUAGCUAGGCCCUUCCUAUAAAGCCUGCCACUGCCUACACACACAUACACACACACACACACAUACACACACACACCGGCUUGUUUCCAGUCUAAAAGCAGUGCAGGAGCCGGUGGUUGUCAGUGAGUGGGUGCAGCAGUUGAGGAGAUGGACAGGCAGGUGGAGACAGACAGGCCGCUGAAUCCGAAGGGGAAUAUCAGGAGUUCACACAUAAUGAGACCUGUCAAUUUGAAUGCCUCAAGGCGAAAGCAGUGAGCAGGCAGUGGCUGACGACCCAGGCAGCCAUUUCUUCUCAGGGAGAAUAUUUCAGGGUAAUCUCUCACCCUUGACCCUGACCGGUCUCUAAACAAGACGGGUUCGGAGGCAAUUACUGUCGUUGUGUGGAGGUAACUACGACUUUCUGAAUGGUGUGAACUGAUGCCACUGAGAAUACAAAAUAUUCUGUUUUUUGAGAAUGACCUGCCUGCAUCAAGACCAAGAAUGAACAAUAUCAGGAUUCAUGUACAGUGAAAGGCUUGUUAUCACAUCAUCAUGGACACUAGAGGUCUGUGUAUGCUUUAUGUUUGAUUCAGAUAUUGAUGCAGAUAGAGCCCUCUGCACAUGCUCUGUGCUAAACUUUGUAAAAGCUUCACAUGGACUUAACAUUUCAGUGCCACAUGAAACUGUAGGGGCUGUGCUGGCAGUGUAACCAGCAUACCAGCAAAUUAUCAGAGUAGAAUACUGGUAUGUUUGUUUAAAUGUUCAAAAACUGAUUUCUUGCAUCAGACCUUUAAAUAUGACGCUGAAUCGUUUUUCCCACAAUCAGACUUACAUACCUGAAUAAUGUGACUGGGGAUGCAUAUUUCUGUGCAAGCCCCAAAGUUCCCAUGCUGAGAUUUGACUGGAAAAUGAACAGCAUGAAUGCAAUGAAGGAAGUCAGAUAGCAAACAAGACAUUGACAGAAGAAGAAGAUAGAAUAUAAAAAAGACAAAGCUGUAGUUGUAUUUGUAUGAAAGGUAUAAAACUGUGAUAUUCAAUAUACAACCUGUGAGCUUCUUGUCGGCAUGUUGUUGAUUGUUUUGGUACAUGACUCAAGAGGUCUCACUCCUUCUGCACAGAUCAGGUAAUUCAUCUUUUUUAAUUCUAUGGUAUAAUUUCCUGUCAUUUAUUAAGAUCUCCAUUAGCUUCGGCUAAGGCCAUCGCUAUUCUUCCUGGAGUUUACAUUAACAAUUAGCUCCCCAUCGCAGUGCAAAGACACAAAAAAACCAUCAGGCCACAAACACAAAGACAACGUCAAUAACCACAACAACUCACAACAGCCUACAGGACAAAAACAGAACAACAAAACUAGAACAAUACAAACAACAUACACAUAUGACCUAAUUCAUUUUCACAGUGUAGCUAAAGUUCUGAAAUAAUCACAUGGUCAAAUAUCAACUUACAUUCCACAUAACUGAAUUAAUUUGCAGAAACAAUAUAAUAAAGUUACUUCACUAAAAGGGUUCUUAUACAAAACUAACAUUCUCCUUCUACUCUUAUGUGGUGCAAUGCCAGACCAUGAAUCAGUAAAUCAUCCUCUCAUAUUCACACCUCACAGACUAUCCUUUCAGAAGCAAUUUAAAUUUCAGUAUUCUGCCUGUGGGCGUAAUGAAAUGUGGGAUCAAGCCAUCGCCCGAUCAAUUGGGGGGGUGAUCUACUCAAUCUCUGCACCACAACUGCCUCUAACCAGCCCCCUGAUAUGGUGAGUUAUGUGUCGAAGUAGAUGUUGGUGUCCCUAGGGUUUUUUGGUCUGCAACAAAGAAUUAGCAGACCUCACGGUAUCAUAACUGACCAAUCAGAAUUGAGCGUUUCGAAAGUUUGACCAAAAGAUUCCCCCUGUUGUACCAGAGAGGGUAAGCCUUACUUAGACACAUCUUUCGCGUGACAGCAAACAAGCCAUCACUGUCACAUGCUGAGGAUCUCCUCUGACUUCCUAUUCCCCUCACAAUGUGCUGCUUCUACUUAGAGAUACUGCAGGAUCUUGGUCCAAAGGAUCAGGGGGGUAUAUGGGGAAUAGAGAAUGUCAUCAGAGAUUUGCCCAGGGCCUCAGAUAGCCUGUGAUGGCGCUUUACCCCGCAUGUUCACACAGCGCUGAAGUGACACACGAGAGGGGCACUGGGACCUGCUGACAGCAGACGGACCUGCAUAGCUUCUCCGUCCUUAAAUCCAAUUCCAUGCUUGACACCAGGUGGAAUUAGCUUUGGACAGGUGAGUGAUAAGUUCCCUGGGUGAUCUCGCCAAAUAGAUCCAAGCCAUCUUACAGAGUAGUGGAGCCGAUGUCAGAAGAGUGAGGUAACUUAAAGUACAAAUAGUUUAGUAACUGGACUUAACGCUCAUUAUGGGAGUUUUUAGUUGGUUAUGAUCCAGACUGAAAUUCAUACUGAUGCAUCUUUGUCACCUAAAGAGGAAAUUACACCAUCACUGUGGAUAUCGAUUAUUUCUGUAAAGCUAUUUUAAACUAGCUAUUGCUAAUCCCCAGUCAUUAGUAAGCGUCAGAUGAGGGGAAUUAGCUUUGUAUCAUCGCAAAGCCUUUUUAAUAUUAUUGUAUUACACUUAGCCUUAACGUAAGUUGUGGUGUCAGUAAGACUAUGUUUAUGUUCAAGAGAGUCCAAAGAUUCUUUGGGAGUGUUAAGACAUUUUGAAUAAGUAAGUAAGAUACUUUCGGAUAGGAAUCACUACUUGCACAUGUACAAGAUUGAAUUAGGAAAAAUGUGACUGGUGUUGUUCUGACUAUGGGACUUAAAACUUUCAUUUUCUUGCACCUUUUAAUUUUGGCACCUUAAAAUUUAACUUAUAUCCUCUCCUCACGUGUCUGUACUUUUUGUACAUCUUUGAAGAAUUAUUGAUUAAAUUUAUUCUACAACUGCACAGUGUUCCCAACCUCAAAACCAAUUCAAAACUGAAAGAAAACACAAAAAAAGAAUAUUCCUUAGUGUAGCCAUCAGAGUAUCAGAAGCAGAACACUUAAUUAAAAACAUGCGAAGUAAAAUUUGCAAUUAGAAGAUCAAUUGCUGAGAGUGGUUUGUAGUGAAUGACCAUCUAGGAGAACUUUCGCCAUGUUAGGUAAACGUGAAAGAGCCAAAAUUGACAAGGUAGAAAAAGAGUCAGAGACAGAGGAGAUUCUUUAUUUAGGUGUGUGUGAAAUUGAUUUAUAAUAAAAAACUAUUUUAUGAAGCUAAGCUAAGUUUAGAAAUUGCCAAAACGUGACGUGUUGUUCAGAUAAAUUUACAUAGAAACAGCCGGUGAAGGAAACUUAUAACUUUGUACGAUGGUUUGCAUGGAUUUAGGUGCCAGUUUUUAUUUAUUUAUUUAUUUUUCUUCAUUUAUAUUUUUGGACAUUUUUUCUUUUAUUAGAUAGGACAGCAAAAGAGAGACAGGACACAUGGGGAGAGGAGACUGGGGAUGCACAAGAGCAUCUAUGUAGGCGUUUACUUUUGUGGGUAUGUUAAACAAAUACUUCUACCUUCACUUUAGCUCUUUUUCUUUUUUAACAAGUUUCUGCACUUUCACUCGGGCCAAGAAUCUAUUUACUUUUGUCACCUCUUGCCCAGGGAUUAAGAUAUUAAGUUGUCUUUGUGACAGAAACUCCAGCAACAGAGCGUAUGGUAAUCCAAAUCAGUGUUAAGGAUCUCUUUGAUAAAGCACCAAGACGUCUGUGUCUAUUUGAAGAGACGAUCUUAUCAAUUACUAAUCAAUAGCUGCUCCUGCAGCUUAAAGUGGAUAAAAUAUACAUUUGCCCCUGUAGAGUACAGCUCAGGGAAAAUCAUUACAUUAGCUUGUGCUGCUUGUUUUCAGGAUUACUGCUUUAUUGACUUGUGUAAAUGAUCAUUCACUAGGGAUGAAGUUUGAUUUUGAAGGGAUAAAUAAUGAAAGAGGAAAUUAUCAGGAAAAGAAACAGGACAAUUAAGGAGUCACAACGGUUCUUUUUCUCGUCUUUCUCUGCCUCCUUCUUCCAUUUUUCCUCCCCCUCUCCCUCUCCUCUUCAAAUCUUUGAGUGACAAUCAUGGUGAUACUCAAGGCCUCCUCUCCCUCUCUCCCAGCAUCCCUCGGUCUCCCCGGUCAAUGGGUGUCAAUCAGAGCUUGGCCCUCACGCAGAUUGGCAACAAAUAUCCUCACAUUCACGAAACAAUUAUGACCGGGCUGCGCUGGAAAUGGAUUCCCGCGUUGACUCUCCACAACGCGCUCCUCUCCUCCUGGCCGACGGGGUCCUGCCAUGGGAAGCAAUUAUCGCUAGAUGCCAGCUGACAGCCCAGCUCUAUUGCCAAGCGCGAUCAGCCCUCGUCCUCGGGCUUUCUCUAGGCAAAUAGCAUCCUCAACACUCAAAUCAAACCUCUUACCAACCAUUGGCUUCUAUCAGAGAAAGAGAUGGUUGCCUUUGUUCCUCCUGGACAAUGCAGUGGGAGGAAGGCGGAUACAGAAGCGGACAAUAAAGAGGAGUUUUGAUUUUGCAAGAGCUCGACUCAAACUGCUCCAUCUCCCUGGUGUGAAACCCUCAGAGAGGCCUUUGCAAGAGCAGGGAAGAGGAGGUGGAGGGGGAGGAAGUGCCGCCCUGUGUCACAGACUGACAAAGCAAAGGGAGAGGAAGGCGAGACAGGCUAAAUUUAAUGGAUGUCUGUCAUAUUGAUAGGCAUAUAAAGUUUGACACAAAGACGUUUUUUUGUUUUUUUUUUCAUUUUGCAGCUCAUUUUUACUCCAAAGUCGUCUGAUAUAGCACUUUGUGGCCCAAUGCUUCAAAAGUUGAUCUUGUGGGUACCUUACUUGGGUCUUUUCCAGAGGCUGUCCAGCAGCGUUGAAGUCAGGUGACACAGUUUACAGAGUGUGAGAGUAUACUUUAGGUGGAUAGAGAAGGAGUGGAUGGGUCAGACAUCAUACAACUUUUAUUUAGUGGACCUAUACUGUACAAAAUUGACAAAAAGAGCACACAUGUUGGUACCUAGUGUGCGAUACCCUUUACAAUUCACUUACAGCACACUACAUGACAUUUGUGUCCCCUUGGAAGUGUCACAUGAAGCUCACUUGUCUUUUUUUUGUGACACACUGCUGUAAAAAAUCUGUACAGACCAAUUUAGUUAAAUACCCUUUCCACUUAAAGUUCAGGUUUGGCUGGUUCAGCAUGCAUUUGCAGGUUUAGUGCCGCCUAGUUUGUUGUAGUAUUUUGGAGGUUACAGGCCCAGCCCAGACCAACCUGCUGCAUCCGACUUGUAGUAAGAAUGUGUCCACUAUUACUGUUUACUGCUGUAUAAUUCAAGGAUGAUGACAUAAAUGCAUAUAUGAGACGUGCUUGAAGGCUGCUGCCCUUCAAAAAAAUAAAUAGAUAAAUAAAAUACAUUUGGGAUCACCUUGUGAAGGCGCAGUCUUUGCCCUCUGCUGUGAUAAUUAGGCCCAAGUGUUACUUUCAGCUGACAUAAAUGAUGUUUAAUAAUGUUAAAAAGAAGCAAAUAUAUAGAAUAAAAAAACCAAAGGAUUAAGCUCCUGUGAAACCAGCUGCCAUAUAAAGGCUUUGAGUAAUAGCUAACAAUAGUCAAUUGUCAUCUUAGUUUUAAGACUGGUUUUAAAAGAAUAACAAGGGCAUUAAGUAUUUUUAAUCCUCAGGAUUUAAAUCCUCUGAACAAAAGGGUAAAGAUUGAUGUGAGAGCUGAAGAGGAUGAGUGUAAGAUGAAUGAGCCCAAAUUAAGAAAAACGGUACAAUUAAUCGUUAUAAAAGUCAAACAGUCAUCUGCCACUUUGCCUAUUAAUUGAAUAAACACAUCAAGGCAAAGUUCAGUCAAUCCUUUAAUCACUGUAAUUAAUGCACAUUGUUCUACUUCCCUCUUCCUCUCUUUCUCUGCCUCACUCUUUCCCUCUGCCUGUGUACCUAUAUUUGUGAAUUAAUAAAUUAAUUAGAAGACACACCGCCACCAACUAAUUAUCAUGCAAAUACAGCAGCAACAAAGCAGAGUGGGACUGUUAAUCUGUGCCAGAUCGUGGGUGAAAUUCCCCAAUGUGCAUAAGAGAUGUCCAUCGUGCAAUUAGAGAGAGGAGGGACUCGGGAUGGGGCAGGAGAGGAGAAGAAAGCGCCGCACCGAGGAACUGUCAUUUAUUCACCGUCAAAUUAAUUCUGCCUCCUGUUCUUUCUGCCUUUGUCUGUAAAUGCUCACAGUUUCUGCGUUAUUUAGUUUUUUUAUGCUCUUAUUCUCACUCCAUGACUGAGGAAAUGCUUCACAAACGCUAAAAGCCAUACAAAAUCUAAAUGAAAGGCGACAGCAUUUUUACUUUGCUCUUUAAGUGUUGACUAGAAAUAAAAAGAUGCCCAUGGUUCGCAGUAAUCUGGGUCUUAACCUGGGCUUGAAAGUCUUUGUUUUACUUGGUAGCACUGGUGCCCAGACUUCAUAAAAUUUAGAGCACCAGUAAAAAUUUAGGAGUGGACUACCAACAGAAAAUAAGUAUACCUCUUCACCUUUGCCAUCACCGACUUCAGGAGUAUCCCUCAGUGUUUCCUUCAUCAUCUCUCUGCAGCUUCUCUGAUUUUGCAGUAUUUAGCUCUCCAUCUCUCAACAGUAUAGUACAGUAAAAGUAGGAAAAGACUGAAGGUUUAUCCAAAUCUAAAAUCAGCAUUGAACAUUUAAGACUAGCAAGAGACCGAUUCAGUCUGCAGAUUAAUUGAGUCGAUUAAUGGCAUGUUGGCAUAAUCCUCAUCCCAUCGGCAAUGGCCCCCACAAGGCCGAUAUCACCAUUAUCCUUUCAAAGGAAAGCACAUUUGUCCCAUCACCAAUUACAGCAUAUCAAAUCUAAAACACCCUGGAAUAUGAAGCACAACCUAAUGUAUUUGUCUUUUUCAUCAGUUAAUUAAAAUUCGAGUAAUCUGCAGAAAUCUUGUUAAUUUUUGGUAACAGAUGCACCAAACAAAAUCUAGUGGCAUCUGCAGCCAUGAUGCAUUUACAUACCAGUCAUUGAAAGUAGGUAUCUAUCUGACCUGAACAUUUUCUUGAGAACUAGAGAAGAAAUUGCACCACACUAACUAUUUACACUUGUAUGCUCUCAAAUAUAUUUUACGGUCUCACAGAUCAAAUUUUGUGAGCGUAUGCCGCUAUAAUGGUCAUAAUAUCAAACCCUGAUAACAAAUUUAUGAGACUGGUUCAAACAGAGGGCUAACAAAGUAUUACGAUAUGCCUCAGAAAGCCUCUAUCAAAGUAAAGUUGACUUAAGUUCAGAUCUUUCCCCUGCUACUCCACUGGUGUAACGCUCCUUUGCAAACUCGUCGGCAAACACUUGAAGGCAAAAGUUAUGCUGAUGCUGCUGGUAAAGUAUCGAACAACCUUAACUGCGCCCCAGCAUUCACUCGUUGGCUCUGCAGCAGCUGCCAUGAUGUUUGAACUCAGUUAAUGCUUGCCUAAAGAAGCGUAUGAGCGGCAAAUGUCCCAUGAACUCUACAGACUGGUAUGGUUAAUCCAGUCCACAUGAGUUGGCUGAAUGAAUUUAUGUUUAAAUGCAGCCGUGAUAAUCCCAUUACCAAAUAGUGUAAACUGGACAAAGGGAUCUAAUAAGGGAUUUGUAGUUGAUAGCUUUUGUAUAUCCACUGGAGCACCUUUUUAGCUUUUGAAGCCCUUCAUAGAUAUAGAAAAACACCAGACAUGUAACGCAUCACCUGAUGUGUCAAAGCCAUUACGCUGACAGAUUUCCCCCAACUUUUAAGCAUUACCCUACUUUAAAAAAAAGUAAAAUCCUUGCAGGUAAUUACAUCCAUGUUUCACCCCCACACAAAGGCAGUGAUAAUCCAUAAAAUAAGCUCUAAAGAGGACCCUGUUUAAAAAUUUAGACCCAGUCUUGAUUCAUCCCGGGUGAAUUCAAAGCACACAUCAAGGGUGCUCAGUUAAAAGAAUAAGAAAAAAAUCAAAGAAAAGAGCCAAUCAGAUGCAGCCUUUUUUAAUCUUCGUGGCCAUGCAGGGUAAAUAUGCCACAAAAUCAGAAAACAAACAAGAGCAAAAAUGCCUUAUUAUGAGCAGCCUCAUUAUCAUAAGGCCCUAAUUUGCCCAAAUCAUGUCCUUAUUAGGCCCCAAAGUCUCUCUGUCCCCUGUGGGUAAUGAGGGUCCAGGCUGGGCUUCUUUCUCCCAGCUCUGACAUUUCUUUUAUUACUCUCACACUAAAUGGAAGCAAUGAUGAACAUCUCAGUCGUGUGAUUACUCGCUGUAUACCCUUGAUGUCAGAGGGGGAAAGUGGUGUGCCCUCUUUUAAUAUUUGAUUGUUUUUUCUGCGUAAUUUGGUCCAAUUCAUCAUUGGGGCCUUUCAUUUGCUCGCUCUGUGACAUUUGUCCUGAUUACUGGACUCUGAUAUUGUGUUAGCCUUUGAUGUCCAAUUUCCCCCCUCUUCUAUUUGUCCCAAUUUUGGCCACAGCGCGGGUGGAAAACUUUCCCCUCGCUCCAUUCCAACUUUUGCAAAGAGCUUAUUUGUGGUGCCCUGCGAAUGACAUGGCUAAAUUAUGCACACAAUUAUGAUAAUGGCACAGCUAGAUAAUCUAAAUGUUUGUUUUUAGCAUGUUUUGAUUGGUGCAUUUUUAAGGAAAAGCUAGAAUACUUGGAAUGCAGGCUUGCAAAACACACGUGCUACGCAGGAUUGGCUGCACAGGCUGAGCUAAAAGAAACCAAGAUAGGCAUCAAAAAAGAUAGCGAAGCCCAAUCACAGCAUUUAACGUUAUCCAGAAAACUGAGUCUGGGAUGAAAACUGUCCGAGAAAUAAUAAGCUGCUAGUCAAGCACCCCAUGUUUUACAGAUCAGCGUCUGUUUCCAAGAGCAGAACAUCAGUCUUGUUAUAAUCGCUGGAAACAACAAAUUAGAAUGUAAACAGCUCCAAUACCAAGGAAACCAUUUUUUGGCAGCACUGAAAGGGGAAAAAAAAGGAUCAAAAUCUUCAAAUUAUUCACUCCCAGCGUCUGUCUCGAUCUGUUUUCUUAUUUCCUAAAAAAACACCAAAAAUCCCAUCAAUUAUAAGUUAAAAAUGUGAGGGAAUCACAUUCAUUAUUUUCAUUACAUGCACCCACCAAAUUGCAUCAAGCUUAUGAAAUAUUUCUUCCUCCUGUUCAAAGGCUUGUUAGAGCUUGUAUUCAAUUACAGCUGUGGCUGUAACAUGCUGUCAGCUCUCUUUAGCCAAUCAUUAGUCAGGGACUGUUCCUCGCCGCACACCCGGCCCGGCAGAGUCGAGUCGGCGAGCGGACGACAGGCCCUAAUUGUUGUUCUGUGGCUAAAGGUCGACUAAUGAACCAGGGGGCUGACAGAGGCUGUCGGUGCGAGGGUGGCAGAGUGGGUGAGGGGCUGCGUUCAAGACCAAAAAUUCUGCAAAACUUUCCCUCGGAUCAAAGUGGGGAAGAAGCCGAGUGUUUUAGGGGGUUUUCAGCCUCAGAUUAGGUCUGUGUGAGAUGGAGCUUUAAGAUUUGAAAAGAUGGUAAGGACGUAGACAGAGAAUGAGAGAUGCAUGUGUCUGCUGUUUGAAUCAGAAUUAACCUUUAGGACCCGACUGUGCACCUGGUGCAAAUCAAUUAGGCUGCAGCACAAAUGUCACUUAGGCUGUGUUUGCACCAAAAGGUCGGUUUUCUGAUACGAACCAAAGCGAGGAUGAUACAUUGAUGAUACAUUGAUGAUACAUUGUUGCAAUUUCUGGUUCACGUUCACAAAGGCCAAACUCAAACGGUCCAAAAAUUGUCACGUGGCAGCCAAAGCCGUUCUGUGAUUGCUUAUACAGUUUAGGUGGGUAGAUGACAAAACCCUCGCAAUUUUUACUGUACAUCAUGAAGCAUCAUCUGCUCAUUUUUAUGUUGGUGCUGAUCUGAACUGCAUAUCAGAAGAUAUUAACGAGCGCACAUAUGAACAGGUGAGAAGACUGUGGCAAUUAGAUAAUGUAUUAAUACACGCACGUCGCAGGAGACGCUCUGCAGUCGGAUGGUCAUAUCACAGAAGAUGACAAGCAAUAAUGAGAGCCUACCUCGAUGUUUUUUCGAGGCAUGUUUCCUGCGAUUGGUGCAGAUAGGGUUCACACCAGAAGUAAACCGCCCUAGAGCUUGACAGCGGUCCAAGAUCACCCCUACCAGGCAGACCCAAGAGCGGUUGACUGGUCCGCACCAGAGUUCAAGGCGAGCGUUCACAUCAACCAAAACGAACCGCACCAAGGAGGUUCAGUUCAACUGGACUAAACAAGGCUGGUGUGAACGCGACCUUAGUGUAGAUCGCCAAUGAACUUGUGCCUAUAUUGGAUCCUGUGGCUGUGUUGGUCUGAAAAGAGGUGUGGUUGGGCAAAAAGGUGGUGCAUUGCCAUCUUGGUCCAGUAGAGGGGCUGAAAUCUACUUCGUAAAUAGCAACAUGCCGCUCUGGAGGCACACCUGACUCUUAAAGCGACUGAAAGCCAUCACAGUGAUUGGUCUCAGUUAUGUUACACCCAGAACACACCUAUAGAUCACUAAGGGAUCCAAACCAACCUCUUUUUUUCCGUUGUGCUUCACUUUGCACUCAGAUUGCACACCUAAAACAGGAGAAUAUGGUCUGACACUUUGGAGCCUCCCAUUUAGGUUGUUUAAAAAGAGCCCUCAAUGUAAAGUUUUAACAGACAAAAACUAACAGAUUGUGUUUGACUAGAGUACACAUAUGUUAAGCUUCUUUGAUUAAUUAGUUGUUGUUAAAAGAGUUUUAACAGCACCUUAAAUAAAAAAUAAAGCCCAAAAAAGGUUUUCCUCCUGUGCAACUCAAUGUUCGACUCAAAUUACCCCGGUGCAUGUGAGCUCUCUCUCUCUCUCUCUCUCUCUCUGUCACUCUCUCUCGCUCUUUCUAAUACCGUCCUGCAACACUCAGGUCUGACUGAAGCCCUCUAUACUAUAUGACAGCGCCAUGACGUGAGAAUGAGCGGCGGUAACAUGCGACUACUCCAUGAGCCCUUUUUUGGCAGGAUAACAAAGGGAAGCUUAGGUUGGCUGAGACAGUCACAAUGCUGCUGAUUCCCUUUGAGCUUAAGAGGACGGGUAGCUUGUUGUGAGAACCUGCCAGACCUUUUUAGGAGUAAUGAGGCAGAACCAGCGUACACUACCUACAGCAUCAACACACACUGAGGGAAGUCAGGAGAAGGUGGAGGUUUUGAUUUAACUGAGUGAGACAACACCAAUCCAAACACAGACUAAUGAUUCGGUCGGAUUUUGACCGUUUUUUAAAAUCCCUCGCUUUGAUCCUACACAUGUAUCAUUAGCACGUUGCUUAUUAAUGAGUUUGAUAAGAGAUGUCCCGGACAUCACGAAGAGUGUAGCACAAAGAUUCUGGGACUUGCUCUGUUAUCUGAGUCCGUGUCCAUCUUCAUUUUCUCAAACACUGAAAACUUAAAAUUGGCGAUAAAACAACUUUAGAUUCCAGACUUCUCGAGGCUGCCUUAUAUCAGGCAGAGUUUCCCACACAUAGAUUAUAUGUGGGAGGGCCGCCCAUGCAAAAUAUUGCGUGUAGUUUUGUGUUUAGUUUGGGCUGCAGGCUGGUUUCCAGGAAUUGUGAUUAACACCAUGGCUGUGGGGUCAGAAACAAAAACAUUACGAGACCCAAAAGUCGACUUUAUGGUUAUCUUUUAGACAGGGGUUACAGAGGAUGACACCUAUUGAUGUUAGUUUUAUCUGAACAGAAAUACACAGCUGGUGUUGUGGGUUCAGCUGUUGCUGCUGAAACUCUCUGAUUUUGCAACAGACUGAUAAAGAAGUGGACACAGAAAUUGGGAUGAUUUAAGAUUUUAAUAUCAGUUCAAUGGAUUAAAAAUCAGCUAUGACUGAGAAAAACUCUUGAGAAGCCAUUCAUUAGCUCAUAAUUGUAAAGUUGUACAUUUGUCAGUCUUUUUGUCUGUCAGUAGAUUUAAUAAGCGGUGACUAUUUAGACGAAUAACAGUUUUCAAAAGAGGUUUACUAUGUUGACCAAAAUAUAAGACAUGCUUUUUCUUUAACGUACAUCGAAGUGCGAAUCAGUAAUUAGUAAGGUUGAUAAUGUUGUGGAUGGUGUCCUGUUGUUGUGUUUAAAUUAUCAGUUCUAAAAACAGAAAUCUGCAUUUUAUCAACUUACUGUAAAAUCCACUCAUCUCGUGAGCCGGCAGCUUCCGGGGAUGAACUGUGUUUCUGCAGCAUCCAGGAACUUUCCUAUCUAACAGAGAAGAUCCUGGUAUUUAAAGACUAUCUGGAUCCAAUCCCUCAAAAACACAAGUUCAUUAUUUGGACUUUUGUGCCUUUAUCAGAGAAAAGAGGACAGUGGAUGGAGCAGGGAUGAUGACGAGGGAAAGCAAACAGGUUUAUCUGUUACUGUCUGUAAAAUCAUUCGCUCAACUGAAUUACAUGCUAAGUCAAUGGAAAGACGCGAUUAGACACUCCUACUCUGGCGGUGUGAAAGACACGAAUUAGGCGGAAGCUGAAAAUGUCUCAACUUGAGCGGAUAUUCACAUCGCGAUAACUAAUCAGUACGAAGGUUGCCGGGUGACGUAUGAAAACAGACGGUUGUUCACUAGUAUCGAUGUGUGGGUGCCCCGAAUUAUCUGAUACCUUUCCUUUGAAUUACUGAAACCGGAAUAAAAAGUAGCUCGCCCGGAGGCAAGUAAGUGAGGAGGUGGGAUUACCUGGUGAGUUGUAAAAAACCUUUGUCUAUCACUUGAUCCCACCAGUUGAAUUGGCAGUGAUUACAUUGAAAUUACUGUUGACGCAUGAAUGAAGUGAGUAAAUACUAUUCAUUUACAUGUCUAGAUUUGUGCGAAUUAAGCAAGUAGAUGAUUUUACUCCAUCCAUUACAAGGGCUAAGGUCACCCAGCUCCAUGAAGAUCAAAUCAUUGUGAUGUACAGAAUUUCUAGAAUAUAUCAAAAGGAAGAUUGCACUUUCUAGUGUUUUAAGAGUUUGACUAUGUGCCAAACGUCUGUGUUUUUGUUUCCCCUCUUCGGUAGUCUUUGUCAGUUAAACUAUGAAACAUGUCAGUCACAAAGCGAACAGUUCCUCUACCCAAAUGCACUUCAUAAUCACAUCUUCCUGGGGUGUUUAGUUUUCCUCAUUUACUCACCGAGCAGCUCCAGCAGCAGGCCUCCGUGUGAGUUUGACGAUGUCACUGCAUUUCAUCAGAAUACCCCAGACUCACCAUCAGUCUGAAGCAGUUCAAAUAACUCAGCUCAAUCUCUCAGCAGCCGACGCAGAGCCACGAGGCCUAAUAAGCACAUGCUAAAUGUGAUAAGCUGCUUUGUAGCUCUGUUUUGCCUGCUAGUUUUUUUUCUUUCUCCUCACCGUUCUUUUCUUCCACCCUGGUGAUUUACUCACUGCAGGCGAUGUGUGCAUAGACUCAAACACACCACAGAGCAGUGCAAAUAGACUUCUGUCUCAAUUGGUCCCUCGAUGUCACUGUGGAAAGAUACUUGGACAGAAGACAGGGGUAGAAAGUAAAAAAAAAAAAAAAAAGAGGGAUUUUUAUGUUGGAGAAAUUCAAGUGUUAAAUCACAGUGUGCUCUCGGAGGAGGUCGACUUUAGUAUUUUUAAGAGGCCCCUGUUGGAAACUGUGACUGGAGGCUCAGUACAACUCAUGAAAAUUCAUUCACAAGUACCUGCGCAGAGGUCAAACCAAAGUUUUCGGACAUGUUGCCAAAACAUCUCGCACACAUGAAAUCCAUUGUUGUCACAGACGUGAGAUAUAGGUGCCAUUUGGUUUCAGUUACAAGCUUAAGAGCAGACAUAAACGGAAAAAUGUAGCCUCCUUUAUGGCUGUAAUUGUCUUAUACUCAGAUGUAUGCGUGCAUGUGUUUCUUUAUGAAUCCUACUCAUAGACAAUGAGCCACUUAUGAGCCCAGCACUCUGGCGUCUCCAUCCUCUCUUACCAAAGGGGCACUAGUCUGACCAGCUGGGGGAUUGCACAGCCAAAGAGAUGAAAAGCAACUCUCUUCAACUCGCCCGAGUGGUACUGAUGGAACCUUUUAAGAGCAGAAUUGCUGCAGUGAGUGAAAACAUGGCCAACACUCUGAUGGCUGAUGUCAUAUCCCAGCUGUUAGCUCAAUCAGAACAGGUCCCACCACGGCUAAGUGAGUCUCGGCGCGGCUGCAUUCCACGUAGCACGCAGUUGCUCGAUAAAGCACAGAGAGGCUUUUUGAAGCCCCGUGUAUCCCCCGCUGGUACUCUUGUGACCCUGCUGCCAACUACAGGGUCUCCAAAGGCCUGCUGGUUAAAAAGAGCUUGGCUCAAUCAGCACAUGCUUAGACUGGCGAUGACUCCCCCCUCCCCGUGUUCCAGUUAGUCUAUCACUGUUCCCUUGUAUCACCCUCCACUUUCUGCAGACGGCACUCCCAUGCAGCUGUUGAGAGGUUGUCCCUUAUGUCAUCUUAAUAGUACCCUGCCCCCCCUCUGUUUAGCAUCCAUCUUUCAGCAACAGUACCUAAGCAUUUUUGUUUGAUGACAUCUUCUUUGUGUUUUUCACAGAUCAGGGCGCUGAUUGACCCCCUCUUUUCUUCUUCUCAGUGGGUGGAAUGUUGAUUGCACCGUAUGUUGUUGGAACUGGGAAUGGACUCCAGGCAACCCCAUCACUGUUCUAGUGCUUGAGCCCAGGACUUGAGUCCAGGACUUGAGUUUGACUCAGGUCCCAAAUUCCAGGACUCAUGACUCAACUUGGACUCAUGCACCGAUAACUGUUUGGUGCUCUGACUUGAUUAUUGACUGCAUUAGGUCUCAGAAGUGUGAGAGACUCAAACUUUUGCUGCGUCCUAGUUGUACUUGGAAGUUGACCUUCGAGUCGGAAAUUCAUCUGGAACAUCCCCUGAAGUCGGAUUUCUGACUCAGAAAGUCUGACGAUCCUCGCCAACCCUGACUUGACGACAUCGUCAUAAUUCAAGAUGGCAGUGCAGUGCAUCAACAGUAAAGGGUCACAGUGAAAGCUCUCGUAGUGUAUUAUUUGUUAGCACUUCUGUUUGGUUUUGGUGAAAUUGAGUAAGUGGUAUAUGAUGUGCUGCCCAAUGUCUAACCGUGAACACGGUGGUAUGGUGUUUUUAAGAGUAAAAUACUGUGUUAUGCGUUGUUUACAACUGGUAUAACUAACAACAACUCACAACCGCUGACAACCGCUAACAACAACUGACAAUGGCUAAUGACAGCUGACAAUUGUAAACAACAACUAACCACAGGUAACUGUAGGCAUCCAUCUUGGUUUUUGGACUUGUUAACUGGAACGCUGUCAACUCGGGUGUAGCGUCAUUCCCAGCUCCUACAUCCGACUUCCAAGGUAACUGAAGUGCAGCAUUAUUUGUUGAUAUACACUGAUUUGUUGUUGAUAUUUUUCGCACAGUCUAAAGCAACGACUGGCAUAUGUGGUCACCUGCAUUCAUGUUCCUGUGUCAUCUUGUCCAGCAAUGGUUCCUGACAGCAUAGGAAUCACGCUUUUGAAGAUUUUACUGUAAUUGUGAGCAAGAGCUGUACAGCAAAUGUGCAGUAUGUUACUUGGGUUUUUGAUUAUGCCUCUGUGAUCAAGCUAAAGAUACCAACGGAGUGCUGGAACGGCAGGAUACAAGCAGCUGUAACAGUUAUAGUAGCCAUCAAAGUGACUCAACUGCCAGGUCAAAGGAUUUUGGUUAGUUUGAUUCAAAUUCACUGUAGGAAGGUUUGAGUUUUUUAGACACCUCGACUCCUACACAGUCAGCUGAGGUUAAGAUAAUUUUGUAUAGUUUUGAGAGAAACUGUCACUUUCUCUGUCAUAAACAAUGACUUCAAUGAGGGCUCAAGUGGGACUUGAUCCAGAUAUGAACAAUGAGGACCAGAGACUUGAGAUCUGGUGAUUCAACUCCAAUACUGAGCUCCUUAGAAUCCCACAUCAACACUUGACAUUGCACUUUAGUGCCCAUGAAUGCUCAUGAUUUUUAAAUUCUUCCCAAUGUUUCAUCAUCUAAAAGACUAAUUUCUAUAAAAGAUGGUUGAAGUUAUCUCUUUUGACCACAGAAACAAAAUCAUAUUUUUCUGUAGGGAUUUUUAAAGCUGUUUUUGAUCUGGUUUACUUUUAGUUGGUUGUGGUCUUGGCAACUCAUACUGGGAAAAAUGAAGCCAGUUCUUGCAGCAUACUGAAGCACAAAAAUAUACCUUCUUUCCAGCAAUAUUUUAGGACCUCAUGCUUGAAUGAAAAACUUUGGCCUUUCCAAGCAACUCAAAUUAAUAAAAAAUGAACAUGUAAAGCCACUCUUAGCCAAAUAUAGUUGGGAAAAAAUGUUUUUAGGUAUUUGAAGCAACUUUGAGUUAGAAAAAGAACGUUUGAUGCAAUUUUCAGAAACUCAAAUUAAAGAGAAACGUAAUCAAACACCAAUUUGAACCAUUUCUAGAGACUUGAGAGCCGUGUUCUAAAAACUCAGUUAACAGCUGUGAAAUAACAGAAAUAUUUUCUCUCAAUAUUUCUAAUGACCCAAAGAAAAAUCUAAAUAUCAGGCAAAUCUUAUCGGUAGGAUCAUAUCUAAUUAUAUAAGAACAAUUACAUGGUGUCUUGUGAUGUCUUCAAUAUUAUAUAUAUGCGUAUGUCUUGGUCGUCAUGUUGGCUUUUGUGUAUUUUUCACUAUCAAGGACACUUCCAACCACCACAUCAGUGACGGGUGUUUUUGUUUGAUGAAAUCUUCUGUAUGGUUUUCACAGUUAAGGCUGCUGAUGGACACCUCAGGUUUUUAUUUUCACUGCGAGGAGUUGGUUGUACAGAGUAUUGUGUUGGAGUCCACUCCAGAGCCGUGUGUUUGCUGUCUUCUGGUGUCAACAGCCAUUUUAGCCUCCCUCUCAGCGUGAAGGGCACCACAUGGCCAGCAAACACAAGCACUUAUUCGGUUUUGACAAGCAGUGCCAGCGAGACCUCAGCCCAACUGUCAGGGAGUGUGUGUUUGUGAGCGAGUGUGUUUUUUGAGAGUCUGCGGAUGUUUUUGUCUGAGGUUUCCAGAGAGAGACUACCGGAUGAGAAUGGUCAAAUACCAGGUAUACUCUACUUUCUUUCUCGCCCAGGGCAAGGUAAGACAUGUUAGCAUUCAUAGACACAAAGCACUAGAGGCCAAAACAGGAAGGAGAAGUGGACAAAUGACAUGCAGAGCACAGUGAACCUCAUUUCGGGGUCAGGAUGGGGGAAGAUGGAGGGAAAGACGGAGUAACAUUUGUUUGUGUGUCUCAGUGUGCGGAUGCUUGUUGUUCUUCCGUUAAAGAGUUGUUAUUUUUCUCUAAGUAUUAUGUAUUCAGCACUAACACUCGACGGCGUGUCACACCAGACAUACAGGGAAGAGAAAAAAGAAAACAGAGAGAGAGACGGAGCGAGACAACUCCUGACAGCCUCUACUUGAUUAGGUUUCACAAUCCAACAAAGCAGAGUUUACUUAUUUACUCUAACAGUCCUCGACACUUCCUGCAAAUUCCUCCAACGUAAAAAAAAAAAAAAAUUUGAACCUCCCCAAAACAAGAGGAGACUCUAUUAUUAUUUUAAUUAUGCUCUUUUUAGUUUCAUUUCCCCCAGCUGAGAGUCAACCGAGGAGCAUGUGAGUGAAUGAGAGAAAAGCGAGUGUGUGUCGAGUGUUUGGAAACACCCAAGUGAUUCUUUCGGCAGGUACAAAAGCUUGUGUGUAGGAAACAGCUUUUAUUAAAGUCAAUACUUAUACAUAUCCCUGCUGCAUAAUUUAUGGCUACUUCUGUAACAUUAGAGCGAACACAGGAGAAUAGCUUCACACACCAGCACGGUUUGGAGUUUUUCAAGGGAAACGGUGUGCAAAAUAUGCCAAAAUCAGGGGAGGAUAAAAUCAAGUGGAAAAGCUUCAAAAAUACUCAAAUACUCAGGCCACUGCAGCACUGUCGAAGUUAUGAGGGUGUCUUUUUGCUGCACGUGGAAUAUGUUUUUGUUCCCAGUUAUUCAUUAUCCUCCAGAUCCCUCCAUAGUGUCUGAAAAUGCCUGUCAUAUUUUAAAUCCUUGGGCACAGAAAUGUAAAUCAUAGAUCUUCAUCGCAGAAGGUACUCGAGAGCAACUGGUACUCAAAAUUUACAACAGACUGUUAAAUCUGAGGGAGGGGGUUCACCUGCUCUUCUCUUUUUUGUACAGUUGAAAAAUGUUUAGAAGUACUUCUCUAUAUAAUUAGAGAUGCCAAAAACAUUAACAGCCACCAUAUAUCUGUUGUCUCAUCUGAUCAUUUUGCUGUGUAGCAGCGAAUAAAUGGUGAAUGUGUUUUUUUUUAUCUUGAGAGUCAGACGUCAUCCUGUGGGGAGUUUUUUCCUGUCAGAUUGAGGACUGGGUACAAUUGAAAUAAUCGUGUAUUCAUUAUAAUUUUUAGAAAUAAGUCAGGAUUUUUAAUUGGGGUUUAUUACAUGUAGGUUUAUAAGGAACUCAUCUGGAUGUUUUUGGUGCAGUACAGUUAAUAUAGAAAAAGAAUUGGAGAACUGAGUAAAACAGCAGCUAUGGAAGAAUAUCAUACAAUUAUGAUUUCAGAUUUUUAUAACAUGUCUGUUUUAUUUAAGGCCUAUUUUUCAAUAUAUAAUUGUGCAUUUUUAGUCACUCAUUUGGAAUAUGUGGUUGUAAAACUCUUUUUGUGAGUUUCUGGCUGGUUGUGACAGAAAUUAAUAUUGAUGCCUUUUUAAGAGCCACAAAAACAAAUGAGACAGUAGACACUAAGACAGCCUAUUUCUGUAUUUGACUUUUAUUUCUCUAACCUCUGCCACAGGAUUUUUUUUUUUACUUUCUUUUGACAGGGCAGCUCAAUCGAGGAUAUUAAAAGAAAUAUGGGGAGUAAAGGGUGGGGGUAGACAUGCAGCAAAGGGUUGUAGCUGGGAGUCAAACCAACUACAGUGCAGUAAGGACUAAAGCCUCCAAAUGUAAUACUGAUAAUAAAAAUGAUAUCUGAGUACAUGAGGCACUGCCUGAUGAGAUGAAUGUCUUAGUUAAAAAUGUUCCUUACAUAUAUACAGAAAAAGUCAGUAGAGAUAAAAGAGGUGCAGCUUUGUCUACAGGGGGCGCCAACAACGAGGCAAACCUGACAGUUUUAAGCUCCUGUGGGAAACUUUUGAUUUGUUUCGUUUUUGGUGCUCCCUCUGAUAGACAGUCUUUGCUUAUCUCAUCUUUAACAUCCUUAAAUACAGUCUUCAGAUGAGAAAUCUCAACAGUGAUGACUUUUGUGUUUAAAUAAUGAGUAUUAUUAACAUUUAGUGCAGGAAACAUAAAGACAGAGAUUAUUCUUGAGCAGCUCUUUGGCAUCUGACCCUUAAACUGAUUUUAGGCAUUAAAAAUUAGGGUAUCCAAAUUAUAAAACUUGUGGCUUAUGAUAUAGUUUUUCUACUGUUAUGAAUUUUAGUCUUUUUCUAUUAAUUUCAAAAAACUCCCCACAGUAGCUUUAUUUUAGCGCUAGAUACUUUGAUAUUGUUUAAAAUGUAGGAAAUGCCCCUGAUAUGGUGUCUAGUUAAAGAUUAGAUUUUGUUUAUAGAAAUGAAAAUUUGUACAUAAUAUUUGAGUUCUUUCUGGUUAUAAGAUUAAGUUUGAAAUGCCAGAUUUGUGUUUUUUUCUUGAUUGUAAAUUUUAAUUUCUGUAGGUGUCACUCCAGAAUAACAGUGCUUAGUUCCUCACUGCAGCUUUAAUGGGUGUUUCUCAGCAAACUGCAGCCACACCAAAAAAUUCUCCUUGGGUCUCCAUGCUGAAAGAUAAAAAGCUGUACGUUUGACUGUAUUGAAACAAUCCAAAAAGUCCAGAUGAGAAUCUACGACUGUUUAAAAGUGAAGUAAAAAUAUUCUUUUUCCCAUUUCACAUAUCCACCGUGUCAGACAACAGGUUAAUGGGCCAAAACAACUCAAUUAAAUAAGUCAACAGUUUGUGGUUCCCAUCAUUAGCGCUGCAGCCACGCAGGGCCAGAGUACUGCACAUUCCAGACUAAAGAAGGCCAUCUGGCCCCUGAGUGCACAAAACAUCUCUUUCACAUUAAGUGUUUAUUGUUUUCUUAGAUUGAUGCCGUUAAUAUCAGCCUUUCAGAAUGACAGAUUAGCAUCACCUCCUAAUCAGCGCUAUUAGGAGAUAAAUAUCAGUAAUUUAAUCACAGCGGCAAUUUCUUUUACAAUAAUAAGAUUUACAAAUGCAAGUGAUUAAGUAAUUAGCUUACAUCUCUGAAGAUUACAAUCCCCUGGACUUUGGGGCAUCUGGUUUUGUGAAGAUUACACAGUUUUGCUUCGGUCUGCCUUUUUUUUUUUAAUGUGAAUGAGAUUUGUGCUUGACCGAAGCGUAAAGCAGUCUGCAAAUGACCCCCAAAUCCCUUCAAGUGAUUUUUUUUCUCCCUCUUAAGUGCACCAUUUUUCUGAGUGGGCACACAGGGGAGAUGAAUGCCUUACAUUUAUUCCAAUUGAAAAAUUAUACACACUUGAUAAAAUAAAGCCAGGCUUUAGGGUGACGUAUCUAAACAGCUAUCAAUGAUUUCUUUGUUUCCAGGAGAGCACCGGCCCUUGGGCUAUCCUGAUUUUUGAAAAAGGUCUAAAGCUCCUUCUUUUUUAUUUACUAAGUAAUUUGUCGGUUAGUGUUAAUUUCCUAAAUGCAACAUAAAAGGAGUGCAGUGCGGUGAGAAAAAAAAAAAUUAAAGGGGGGGAAAUCAUAAAAACAGCAGAGAAUCAGGCAAAUUGCUUCCAUGUGUGUGCGGCUGCCAGAGCUGAAGGAAGCAGAGCGCUGCCUGACCCGCCGAGACUGGGCCAAUUCAGUUUGAAAGGCCCAGCUCUCUAAUGAAGGCCUAAUUUUUAUUGCCACUCCAUUGACUUCAAAGCAGUUCAGGUUGCCAAACAUAAUUUCACUGGAGGUAUUUUCAGGUGCACUGCAAAUAGUUCAUAAAUAAUUUCCCCAUUAGUCCAGCCGAUGCACUUUUUUAGGUGAAUGUUUCGUCUGUUAGGUCCCUAAAAAAAAAAAAAAACUCCCUUCCCUCCCCUUGACUUCAACACCACCAACAACAGCCCUGCAUCCUUCCUCGAUCCCUGCACCCCCGCUAGCCCCUAACCUUCGUCCUCCAGGAGCUUAAGGAGUCAAAUACCGCUUAGUGGCUCUGUGAGUUUUCUGUUGAAGUAAUAAGACAGGCCGGCCAUGGCUGGGCGCUGUCACUGCUUUGGUUUAAGGAGCCCCCACAGCCAGGAGGACACGGCUCCACCAUUACAGGAUUAGUGAAUUAAAAUAAAUCCAACCCCAAGAGACCCAAUCACCGUCGGCUUAUUGGUUGUGACCAUGCUGUCACUUUGAAUGGCUACCUGCUAUUAUUGUGUGAGAAAGAGGAGAGGAGAUGCAACAUUACCACGAUUUUCCAGGCUGAUCGACGAAUAUAAAAUAGGAUAGCGUGAAUUAUCAAAAAAUCCCAUUAUAGGAGUCUAAGAGCAAAUCUAAAAGUACAUUUUUAAGGUUUGCAGGAUUUAACUUUGUCAUGCCUUGCAACCCUGAACUAUACAUAAAAUCUAACAUUAUAGUUUCAGGAGUGUGAUUAUCAAUUUUGAAGGUCCAGAAAUAUAUAAUUUUUAUUUUUUUAAACCACAGCCCAGCCAAACACAGUCUGCAAACAGAGAGCAUACAGCAGGUCGAAUCAGGGUUUUACCUUUAGAUAGAGCAUGUUCACAUUUUUGAUGUGGACAAAGUUUUUAUUUGGUUUAGAUUUAUUAAAAAAAGAAUUUUGAUACCAAAUGAGCACUUUAUCUCAGCUUCCAUCUCUUCCUACCUUAAGGCUGCUUUUGUCAUUUCCUCUCAUUAUUAUGUCAAGAUAGCUCUGUGUCUUGCAUCCUUUGACAGUACAAGCCAAUCAGUCUUGACACACCAUGCUUUUUUAAUCAUAAAAUACAUAAUCUAUUGAUUUCUGAGUAGAAAUUUUUUGUGCUUUACAUUUAUUAUUUCUGAAAAUUCUGUGAACGUGACACACUGUAAAAGGUCAGUUGUGUUUUGUAUGCUGAUGUGAUUGAUUUGGCAGUAUAACAGGCAAAGAGGUAUUUAAUUACGAUACGGUUUAUCAGCCAGUAGAUGGCAUUUCAAGAAACAAUCAACCACUUUGCUGCCAAAUUAUGCUAAACACAGGCAAGUGUCACACCACCAUAUGAUAAGAGCUUUACAUAGGGUGACCAUACGUCCUCUUUUUUGGGGGCUGUCCGCCCUUGUCCAGCUGUGUCUGGAGAAGUUUAUAAAAUCCUUCAAAUGUCUGCUGUUUUGUACGAAAAUUCUGAGUUUGUGUCAUGUGGACUUACAAAGUUAAAGGCGCGUAAACGACACUCGAUCCGACGUGAAAAACUCUUAAAAUUAACUCUGUGCGACUCCGUGACUCCGCCCCUGCGUAGUCGUGUCUUCUUUUUGGGAAGUCAGAGUAUGGUCACCCUAGCUUAACAUCCUCAUACUUAUGCAUUUAAAGAAAACUUUAAGAUUUUGUAACUGAGCUUGGAACCAGCAGUAAGUGUGUUGUGUGUUGUAGCUAAGUCAUAGGUUGUGGGUCUGGCCUUUGACUCAUGCUCACACAAGCUAAAGCUAAUGUACUUGCAUAAUCUCUCUCUAUCCCUCAUCUACACACAUUACCUCUACCAAGCACAACCAUCAUACAAUUAACAAGCAGGGUAGUGAAAACAGACGAGGCAAAAUAGAGCUUCACAGCUGCAUGGAAACUACAUGUUUAGUCCAAAGCAGGAUCACAACUUGAAUUCAAGUAUUUUGUUCAUGUAUCUUAUUUUCAUAAUGUAUUUGCUGUUCAUAUUCAUAUUACAAAUGAGGACCUUUUACAGUACAGUACUAUCAUUAGCUCAUUGGGUUUAUUCUGUUUAUCAGACUGAGUCUUCUCACACAGCUGUUGACCCCUGACCUCUCCCUAAUAUGCCUGUUUUAAAGGGGAAUUUCCCAAAAAGGAUCAAUAAAGUGCCAUAUUACCUCAGCAGAAUCAUCAAGCUCUGAAGCUCAGAAGCGCCUUUGCUAAAAAUAAGGCGUAUUCUGUCAAAUCAGCAUUUUGAUAGAGAGUGAAAGUCCCCCGGUAUCCUGCAAUCACAAGCCUAAUUCAAAACAAACUAAUAAUAACAAGAAUCUCGGCCAUCAAAGCACACAUGUUUCCCAUUUACAGACAUGGAGGGAGAAAAUGUGGAAUCAUGAGGGCCUGUGCGUUGACUUGGCAAACUGUAAAACUGGUUUUUCCUUUUGUCCGUCGCUUUGUAAAGAACUUCAUAAAAACCCUUUCUGAUGGGUAAUAACAGUGAGCGCUGCACGGGCCAAGAUGAGUCAGAGGACUCUGGAAUCUCACAGACAGGAAAACAGAGUGGAGCACCCAUUAACCACCCCACCCUCCCUCCCCCACACCACAGCCCACAGUUCUCCUCCUUUUUUACAUGUAGAUGUUAUUAUUGUUCUAUAAUUGCGUUUCACUCCCUGAAGCGGACCAGAUCCUUUGAAGAGGGAGAAAUGGAGCACUUUAUUUUAAGCAGGCAGGUAUUUUUCAAUAAACUGGGCUGUUGUCAUUGUACACAUAACAUGUUUAACGUGAAAACAAGCCAUAAAUCACAGCAGUGAUAACUGAUUACUCUGAACUCCCUUAUUUCUCUCUCUGCCUCUGUUCUGUAUGUUUAGUCUUUGCUUCAUGGUUCAUUCACUUAACAUCCUCUGAUACCCGUCCACCAAAUCUGAAUAAUCUGCUUAAAUAACAGUGAAGGCAUGUUUGUGCCCACUGAAGGUACAACACAGGAUCAGUCCGUUAGAGAUGUGUGCAGAUUUAUCUCAUAGCAAAGAUCCUGUGAGGAACGUUCAGAAUGUGCAAAUUUUGGCGCCCCCUAUAGAUGAAACUGUACAUGUCACGUCAAUGCUGUCUUGUCUUGUACAUGUUUCAAUGGUAUUAUGUGCAUGCUUUUAUUUGCUGUUUGGCAUACGCACAUGGAAGGGCAGGGAACUCUCAUCACAGGACCAAAGUCAAGGGUGAAGAGAACACGCCUCCCCAUCCUCUUAGGGUGAGCUCCAGUAACAAUACGUGACUAGCAGUAACACGUUUGAUUGUUAAAGUUGUUUUUGAUGCACAAAGUCACCAGGUAGAUGUCAAAGUGAAGUAAAGCAUGAUGCAGAAACAGCUUUUGUUGGUCUGUUUUACAGUAAAUUCCUCACUUGAGCUUUGACAUCCACAUUAGCUCAGAAGGUAGAGCGUUCGUCAAAUGACUGGAAGGUUGGCGGUUCGAUUCCCCCCUUUCCCGAGUCUGUCCGUUGUGUCCUUGGGCACUUAACCCACCUUGCUCCCAGUGUGUGUCCUCCACUGGUGUAUGAUUGGUAGAUGUUGUGUGAUGGUGGUCGGAGAGGCCGUAGGUGCAAACUGGCAGCCACGUUUCCAUCAAUCUGCCCCAGGGCAGCUGCGACUACCAAGGUAGUUCACCACCACUGGGAUGUGACUGUGUGAGCGAAUGAAUGAUGUAUCCAAUGUAAAGCGCUUUGAGGGUCUCUGAAAAAGGGCUGUAAAAAUCUUACGUAUUAUUAUUAUUGUUAGAUGUGUAGUCAGUCCAUUCCUGCUCUGCUAGUCUGAUCAAGUUCCCUCUAGUCACUUUCCCAACUGCCUUGAGUAUGUAUUGUGCUGCAGCUCUUAUUUUUGCCUUAAUAUAUGACACAUCAGUUCAGCACAGGACAGAUUGAACUAGACAGGAUACCAGACAUCAAAACAACAUUAAAACAUCUGUUCAAUCUUCAGAUGAAAACAUCCUGCGUUGACUCCAAAUUCUCUUGCAGUGAACUAUGUCAACAAAACGUCAUAAUGAGCAGAGCCAGGUCCAGAAUCAACAGAUCAGAGGUUUUCAGAGGCUACUGUUGACAUGGAUGAGGUAAAGCUCAUCAUGGAGGUGGAAAACCACUGAUUUAGUAAUAAGUAUGAGGCAUCCAUGCUUUUGUGACUUCAGUUGUCCGGUGUUCUCUAAAAAUGCAGCCGGUGGGUGUUGAUGGAUUAGAGCCACGGAGGCAAGCUAUCACACAACCAGAGGAAAUUCUGUGUAAUGAUUUUUUUACCCACUCCUCUUGGUGCAUUUUUGUGUGCUUUUUAAACUCACGUUUACCAAAACAAAGAAAGGAGAGGGAAUUUUUGCAAAUGUACUUUUUACUUUUUGGAAAAUCAAUGCUACAAAUGUAGAAAAAAAACAUACAGAUAAAACCUAAAUGGGCAGCCAAGUUUGGUUCUUAUACAUUGGAGUAUCUAUGAACUCAGUUUCCAGAAAAGCUAACCUUUGCCAAAAACACCAGUAUCCAUUCAUCUGGAGUCAGGUUAGGAGCAGCAAUAUGAGCAAGUCAACAGAAACCUUAGGCCAGGUGAGAUCUCUGAUCCCUCCAGUGAGCUCUGGACCUACCCUGGGGUCUUCCUUAAGUUGAAUAUGCCCAGGUGUCCAGGAGGCAUCCUUACUAAAUGUCUCAACCACCUCAACUAACUCUCUAAAGCUGAGCCCAGCUACCCUUCAAAAGACACUAAUUUCUGCCACUUGUAUCUGUGAUCUGAUUCUUUCUGUCAGAACCCAUAGUCCCUGAACAUAGGAGUGGUUGGAACGUAGAUAAACUGGUAAAUGUAACAGGCAAAACCCACAGGGUCCGGAACGGCUCCGCUACGUUCCGGCAAAGCAGGCAGAUCAAAUCCGCAAGCAUUAUCAUCAAUGUGAGUCAUUCCAUAGAAUCUGUCUGGCAUCCAGCUCUGCUGCGGAUCGGCUCCGGCGGCCGGGUCAGAUACUCAAGGCUUCUAUUUUUGUCGGACGACGGAGCACGGCGCAUCAAUUCAGUGCAGUGCAGCAUGAGCAGCAGCGGAAUUUUGAUGAGGUUACAGAGUAAAAUAUCUGGUUAAUUUUCAAAACAAAAUAAAGUCAAUACAUUGAACUGUUCUUAACUUGAUAAUAGGCGAGGCCAGGGUUGUGGGAUGUGGGUGUUUAUAUACACCGCAGUUUAUAUACUUCAACCGGCGGAUCUUAUUCUAUGACUCCCGGGAAAACACGCAAGAGCUGGUGAGAUCUCGUCCAGUCCAGUCAGAAAUAUUGGUAAUCUCGCUAGCGCUUCUCCUCCGAUGGUGGCAGAUCAGAUCCGGUGGGCGCUGUAUGCUUGCGGAUCUGAUCCGCCUGCCUGCCGGUGCGGAGUGGAGCCGUUCCGGAUCCUGUGGGUUUAGCCAGUAUAGCUUUGCCUUCAUCCCUCUCUCUACCAUAAUGACCACAGUACUGCUGAUGCUGCACCAAACCCCAGGGUGCAUGAACUCCCUCAUUUGGGGAAAAGACUCACUCCUUACCCAGAGAACCAUGGCCUUGGAUUUGGAAGUCCUCUAAUCCUCGGUUGCAAACUUUCCAAAUGCCUGCUGGAGGUCCCUGAAGAAGCCAACAGAACCACAUCAUCUGCAAAGAGCAGAGAUAGAGUUAUGUGGCAACCAAACUUGGGCUGACAGCCAUGGACAGUUUUGCCAUCUGGACGAUUUAAAAUCUGACCAAUACCUCACUAGUAGUUUUCUACAUAAACAAAAUGAAAAAAAUACCCCCUAGUGUUGUCCUCUUUGGCCUUAACUCAGGCUUAAAUCAUGUCAAAUCCCACCAUCACACUGACAUUAUUUUGUUAAUUAAGAUGUAUUGCUAAGUACAUUAAGUAGCUGUUCAGGGUAAUCUAGUGAUUUUAUUGAAAGCCAAUCAUCAUUGCUAUUUAAUAGUCAUUCAUGAAAGCAUGUGAAUGAUGGAGGUAUAUAAACAGCUGGUGUUCUUCCUGCCUCUCACAUUGCCGCCGUGUUUAUCUCUGUCACUCUGCUGUUUGGGAUCUGAUCAAUAACACAAGACUGAUGUGUCCCAUGAUUCAUGACUACAGCCGCUCUAAUUCCCUUACACACACAAACCUUCAUUAAUGAGUUGUUAUUGGAGGAAAGAGAGCCCUUGGUAUCUGUUAAACACACAUGGCUGCUCUUAAUGAGCUCUCUUUCAACACAUACAGUCGUCUCUCUGUCAGUCCUACCCCAAGGUUUGAAUUAAGCCACGCUAGCUUGGAAGAGCGCCAUUGUUCCGCUGUUUUUGGUGAAAAUGUUCCUACAGCUGAAACCGUUACCAUAACCAUACUCUUGUUUCAACUUCAGCGCUCAUUUUUGCGCAAAGAAAAAUAAAAAGCACCUGUUUUGGCUGCAGGGACGUUAUUCCCCUCUGCUGUUAGGAUUGAAUGAGUCCUUGAGUCAGUUUGAUUUUUGAUGGAUGGAGAUGUGUCCAGACUGGCUCUCUGGGCUCCAACAGGCCCUAAUCCAGGCCCCAAGAGGCCUCCAGCCGUGUCCUUCAUCCAAUUCCGACUUCUCCCAACAGGAAAUGAGGGCUUCAGGGGGCACUGGUAAGGAGACAGGGAGCUCAGUCACAUGCAGAGGUACAGACGCACACAGCACAACCAGAGCAGAUGUUAAAAAGUCAGAAUCUAACCAUUAUAUUCAGAAAAAACAAGGCCAAAAAACACAGUUUUUCUGUCUUUUCUGGCGUGUCUUUCAUUCUCUGACAUAAAUCGGUUUGUCUGAAGUUGAGAUUUUACAACCAGGACUUACUCAGUCACCCCCUAAAAAACACAUUUCAGUUCAAAGAACUCUCUAAAAGUUUGGGGGGGCUUUUGUCUUCGUGCGAGCCGACCCCCCUCUCGAGCUGAUUGAGGCAGCCAUUAGACGAUCCGGACAUAAUUAAUCAGGGAGAGCUGCACGACACUGAUCUGCAUCAAACACUCCCUGCUUCCAGAUAUCUCCUCCAGAUUUUGCGCUAACACUAUCUAAUCUUACAAAAAUCACACACACACACAAAGACACUCAGUUAGAUUAGUCUCCAAAGCCCCGGCAUUAUGGGAGGAAUAAAGACAGUCCUCUGGUCCUUUGCUGACUAUCAAACUAAAGUGUAAUUGCUCUCUGGUGACUUCAUAACACUUGCAGGCUCAGGGUUUAACUCGCCUUAUUAGAAGACUCUCACAGUGUGUAGAGUCCAGAUUGAUGAGUGUAAAAGAGAGAAGAUUCAAAUCAUCCAAAGAGAAGUUUGGCCCUUGUUAUGAUUAUUCUGUGACAUGUUGUGAAGUAAUUGUCUGCAUUAUAAUGAAAUCUGGAGUUUUCCAUUACUAAGUCGGGUUUCCUGAGGCUGUAGUCAACAACAGCAAGACUUUAUGUAGCGCAUUAGCUAUGUUUUAAAUGUCAAAUUCAAUCAUAUGUUACAUCUCUGAAACUGACAAGUACAAAAUUUGAAAUUUGAGUCUUUUUAACAUGAAAUUGGACCAAUUUUCACCCAUCACUGUCUCCAUCAUGUACAUCCCAGUAACUCUCCUCACAGUUGUUUGCAUAAAGCUCCAAGAAAGAGAAUUUUGACAUUUAUUGAAUAAACUGAAAUUAAGCAAGAAUAUAUAGAAACAAAGAUAUUUUGUUUAUGACUCAUAUGUUGAUCAAGAGAACAUUGUACAUCGGUUUUGAGCUUCUUUUAUUGUAAUGUUUCUUAAACGGAGUUUUUCUUCAAGAUAAGUAAAGUCUGUUGAAGUUUGAAACACAAAGAAGAAGAGGAGCUUACGUUGGUGAGACCGUCUUCCUGAUAACAGCUGGGACCCAAGUGCAUCUAACUUUUGCAUUUGCGUUGGUCAAACUUCUAGGUUGGUCCCAGGAGAUUUCAUCAUUUUAAUUUAUAGUUUUUAUUUUAAAUUUUUAAUAUUUUACAAUUAGCAUUUAUUUUGCAUUUGUUGUCAACUUCUUAACCUGCCGACCCGAACUGACUAGCUGCUGUAGUUAGGCCUCCAGUGACAGCCUCACGAAGUGAAGUCAUACGGUUCAGAACAAGUCGCAGCACAGAAAAAAAGGAUUGUGUAAAUGUAAGGAGAUGCAGUAAAAAUAUUUUUAAUGCAACAAACUCCUGAAUGGAUAUUUUUCUAAGCAGACCGUCCAGGUUUGGCUUCUCCAAACAAAGGCUGUGCUGAGCCUAAUUUACAGUACUGAAGGCAGUUGUUUUCCCUUGUGGUCAGCGCCAUGUAGUUCACAAACGCAUUAUCAGCCUGCAUUUGAAAUGUGACCAGCAGUGAUAGCUUGAGCACGUAGCAGCUCUACACCAAGUCACCAGAUCCAAUCAGUGAUAAUAGGAGUGGGUUUGGAAGGGGUGUGGGAUUGUUAUUGGCUGGUAAACGAAUCAAGGAAUCACCGCAUUGAAAGAAAUUCCUACCCCCCCAAACCUUGCAUUUUUGUUUCUUCUUAUGCCAACUGAGAUUACCGCAUGAGGGCUUUUUUCCUCCUCCUUGCCUCGUCCCCCUGGUGAAAGGAAUUGCACUGACCUCUUCUAUCUAUUGCUUCCAUAUGCGAGCAGUUAUCUCUCUUGCAAAUGGAAAUGAGACCCAAAAUUGCAACAAAUGGGGCCAUGCCACUGAAUGCAGAUGUUCCCCGCUUCUCGCCCAGAGUACACAUGCCCGAUCAAAUUAACUUUAACCCCUCCGCCGACAGAACAGACAUCUCUUUUACAAACCCUCCACUCCGGCAAUUUGUUUUGAGUCAAAGCCCGAGGAACAACUGUACGUCCACACGAAGUAAAUAAGAAGUGAUGGUAUCAAACACCUGGACCAGGCUGGGGUUCACUGUAACCCCCUGCCUGGAGGGGCUUUCAUGCAGCACCAAACCUCUACUGUAAAUCUGUCGGUUUUUUCGUGCAUGGACCAAUUUGCCCUCCUGGUCUGUUCCCUCUUUCUGCUGGCUGUUUGACAGGGAACACCUGCUUGUGGGGUGAUUCUAGGGGGUUGCAGCUGAGAAGCUGCAGAAAUGGAGGGAUGAAAGAGCAGAGAGAGAGGGGUACAGAGGGGGGACGGAUUGUGAGAGGCUAACAGGUGCUUCCUCUGUUGGACUCUGGGAAAAGCAGAGCUCUGAUAAUGUAUGUAAAUGGGAGCCGGCUCUCUGUGCCCAUAUCCCUUCAUCAAGUCUCUCUAUCUCUCCCUCUUUCCACUCCCCCUCUUUCUGAAUAAUAAGAAAGCGCUAUAAAAGUGGCCUCACAGAUAAUUUACCAAAUUGGUUAAAUGUUGCUGAGAGCCUGGAGUGUUAAUAUGCUUCCAUUCAGAGCAGGCAGAGGUCAGAGGAGUCACUGGUUAGCAGGAACCAGACAGAAACAACAGUGCUCUGAUGAUCCCAUCCCACACAAUGCCCUUUAGGGUUGCUCUGUAAUGACCAGCACGUCUGGGUACAUUUAGCUUUACAUACAUCCACAGCAGAUAUGAAAUGUGUUGUUUACACACCAAUAGUAAAAGGCAAGCCUGCACACUUUAUCACAUAACAAAGAGCCACAUGUAGGAAUGGAUCCAUGGUUUAUCACAGCAGUAGGUUUACAAACACUGAGGUGGUUAACAGGGGUGUGUCCAGACUUUUAGACAGGGGUGGCCCAGCUGCAGCACUGACUCCUGCAGGGGUGGCCUUUUAAGGUUUACAGUGAGUGAAAAUGGCACUAUUCAGCAGUUUUAGUAGAUUCUGGAUUGAAAAUCACCUUUACUCACCCUCCCCAUAUGUGAAGCUUCAAAUGGGAUCAUGGCCUUCGAGGAUAACAGUCUCCUAUGAUGCAUGAUAAACAUAAUCCCCCAUUUGUCAAGUCUUUACCAUCAAAAAAGUAUUUCAGUGUGCCUCGUGAAGCACUUUCAGAUAUUGAAAUGCACAAAGUAGAAAUAGUCAGCCGUGUAACUAAUGGUUUUCUAGGCUUUGUGACGUCAAAAGGAAUUGUUGCUGAUUUCAGUCUGUUUUAUAACCAGCUGAGAUCCCCUCACAGGGACCCUAAAUAGUUAUUUUCCUUAUAAGUCUUUGCUUUGACAAGAUAAACAGUUCAUUCAAUUCAGGAUUUUGGGUGGACCAAUCCAAUUUUAACAGGGGGCCAAGCCACCCCUGGCCUCCUCUUUUAACACACCCCUGGAAGUUUUCUAAUAAAAGCCAUCCUAGAACAUCUCUAAAAUAUCCAAAUAUAACUCAAAAGAUAAAUCUAAAUUUCAUGCAUGAAGGAAACAUGACGAGCUGAUGGCAAGCGAGACAAAAGUUCUGUCAUGAAAAUCAAAUAUAUAUUCACAAAAUAUUUUAAUUCCAUGAUAUAAGAAAACAACACAACUCAUAUUUUUUAUUAUACUUAAGUAUCUUUAAUUGGACAUUUGUUCAGACUUUCAUAAAAUCUUAUAUUUUUUCUACAUAGGAACAGAGAGAGCCAAAGUCUAGGACCUAUAUACUACUAUAUACUACUUAGUGACAACUGUUUAAAGUUAGAUUACUUUGGCCUAGUAAAAAGUUUCGAUCACCUCCCUGUACCUCUUCACAGCCUCUAAAUGAUGUUGAUGUUGUUGACACUGUUUUCCUUACUGUGUUGUUUAGUGCAUGUUUCUUGCAUCGUGCAUGUACAUUUAUGUUUUCUUUCGCGGUGCCACCAUCUGCUCUCCUUUAGAGACCCUGAUUAAGUCUAAUGAGUGUUUCCAAGUCCAGUCCCCUCAUCUAUCUCCAAAGACUUAAAAACACAGAACAUGUCCCUGCUAUUUCUCCACUUAUUGCCUUUCAGCUUCCUCACGUCCGUCCCCCUUCAUCUUUCUCACAACACACAGCAGCAACAGUGCUCCAUCCCAUCAUUUAUAAGGGCUGUCAACUUAAUACACACAAAUAUUACAUACAUGUAGAAGGCAUGUGGGAUUGGAACAUACAGGUGCUAACUUAUUUGGCCGGGUCUGUUCCUGGUCCCGGCUAAUGAGGAGCAGGUGAGUGGCUGUUGCUUUAAUCAAGUGGAGAGUGGGCCGGGCACAGAUUUGCAGCUUGUUGAAAGGCCGGUCGUACACAUGGGCUUCAUUAUGGGGUUAGAGGAAAAUCAGUCAGGAACAAUUGUUUUCCCACUCCUGCAGCUAAACUGGAAAAGUUUUCUGCCUUUGUGUCCCACGCAGAAACUCACAGCACACAACCUUUGUCUGAUUUGUAUAUAUAAAAAACUUGGAUAGCCGAGUCUCCUGAAUUGAACUAGUGUUGUGAGGAAAGACAGUGUUGACUUUAUCAGAUAGAAAUGUGUGGGUAAAGUUAAGAUUUAUACCAGGAUAGAGAAAAUCUCAUACAUCACAAUAGUUACAGCUUUUAAAGUAAAUUACUACCCUUGUAAACCAUGGAUUUUUUAAUAGUACCGUGUAAAACUAUGUCAGUGAACAUAUUUGUUUUGCUCUUAUCAUUGUUGCACUGGGAAACCCCCAUUUUUGUUACACUUAAAGCCCAAAUGUUAAAACCAUUAUUGACUUAAACUUCUGUACAAAAAUGUUUCCACCAAAACAGAAAAAAACAAACAAACAAAAAAAAAAGUUUAACGACAUUGAAAAAAACAAGCCAACUCCUAAUUUUAGAUUAAAAUGGGAAAAAAAGGCACUCCAACAAACACACUCAUUUUUUUUUCGAUAAUCCCUGUAUUUGUCUCCACUGGGGUGCCGCAGGCGAAAUUUUAUUUUGUAGGAUGGUAGGGGAAGGUCCCGCCCUCCCUUGCCUCUGAUUGGCUAGAAGUGCUGGGCUCUGAUUGGUUAUUCCUUAUGGCUGUGAAUCGUCAUCGUCUGUCAGGUUAGGGUUAAGGUAAGAGUUAGAAGAUUUAGAAGUGCGCAAAUGUUCUGUAAUAUUCUGUUCAAUAUACAGAGCCGACAGCCAACGUUUGGCUUGAGUGUGUGAUGACGUUUCCAGCUUUUCUAGCCAAUCAGAGAUGAAGGAGGCGGGACUUUCCCCUACCAUCCCACAAAAAAAAAAUUUCAUGUGCCGCAGCUAGUAAGCUAGCUUUUAGCCUGUUAGCCAAACUAUUAAUAAAAUUAUUCUAUUAGUUUAUUGGGAUAACAGAAAAAGACUAAAGGGGAUUCUUGAUACAUAAUUAAACACGUUACUUUAUUUCUUAAAUGUUUCACCUGGUUUUAAAUCACUUAUUUUCUAUUGUGUUCUAUCCCCUUGUUGGGGAAAUACUGUUGUUACUCUGUGUUUUACAAAUGUGUGUUUUAGGGGUUUGGAGGAUUUAAAUUCAGAUUAAGGUUGAAGCAAAGUACAUUUUUGAAUGAUUAGCAAUAUUAGAUUAGCAUGUAAAACACAAAAGUUUCUUCUGUAUAAUUUGUGUUCUCACAGUUAGCUUGAGAGUUAGCAGCUGAUGUAAAACAGUGUCAUGGGACUUGGUAGAUCAUGAGUCAUGUCUAACUGUGUAAACUCUGAUGAAUAUAGAUAUAAACCAUAUAUUCUUUUUAAAUCUUUGCUUAACCAGGAAAAAAAAAACAUUGAGAUUUAAAUACAUUUUUCAAAAGUCUCCUCACUAAGACAGGCAGCAGCACAAACUCAUCCACUUAAAUUGGAAUUUACUGCCCAAAAUAUAUUCAAACUGACUGCACGACAAGUUCUGCAAGUAAGAUUUGUCUCACUAUGAAUCAAGCUUUGAGUGAUUAAAGUGGGACAAACAAAGGGAAACAAAUUAUGUUGGUGGGCCACAAGGAGCCGUUUGUGAUUCAUGGACCACUAGGGAGGUAUAAAAGGCACAGUCACACAAAUUAUUCCAACAAUUCAGACAAAUGAGCAAAUAACUUUUAGUCUUGACAGGAAUAUAUGAGUACUUUAGCAGAGUUUUAGCGAGGAGCCCCCUCAUUUUCAGUUUUAAAUGGAGUGAUUCUUAAGAAUUAUGACGUUAAGGGACUCGCAUGAAACUAAAGAGGCCUGUGUGUGAAAAGUUAACAUCUGCAUUUGAUGAAGAGCAACAAAUUUGCUCUAAAUAUGUCAUAGCUGGAACCUUUUAGCUACUUAACAUUUAACAAAUCAACAUUUGGUCUCAUAUUUGUUUGUAGAUUUAUUAAAGGCAGUCUUCGCCAUGUUGCUACUGGAAAUACAUAAGAGUUAUGCUUACUCAUUGAAAUUUAAGAUGUCAUUGAGAGUUGUGUCAAAUCAGUAUGGAGAACAUCAUGUUGCAUGUUGUGUUGUCUACACAGAGACAGAAGCUGAAUAUGUUACACCUUUCUUUUAAGUAUUCAUUUUUAUUUUUAUGAAAGUAAAAUAACAUAAGCAGUGUCCACGGAGACAAAUUCUACCCUCAUCUGUCUUUUUUUUCUCCUUGUGUUGGUUUCUCAACUCCCACAGCUUUAGCAAGGCCACUGAGCCUUCAUCCAAAGUUGCACAUGCAAACCGGGUGGCUUUUUUGUUUACCUAAACAAACUCACUUCAGAGUUUUUUAUAUUGUUUUUAUUCACACAUGGGAUGUGCAAAGCAGGUAGCUUUCUAAACCCGAACUCUAAUGACUUCUUAGUACUUAAAAAUCAUCUGCUUUCCCAGUAGUUGAACUUUUUUGAGUAAGAGACAGAGAUUGUUUUUUUUUCUUUUUCUUUUUUCAACUAUUCAUGAAGGCCUCUGUGUCCUAACUUCACAAUCUCCGCACUCGAAAGUUGAAAAUUAAACUCGACCCCUCUCUGUAUCCUGGCAAACUUUGGAAGGUCAUCUCCGAGUAAACGCUAGUCCCGCUUUUGCAUAAAACACCCCGGCUGAUCUCUGACAAACCCACUUAACGUGUCACUCCACUGACAGGUUCCCAUCAGUCCUCAUUAAGUCCAGCCGUGUCAGGGGUGUCAGCUGGAGUCUCUCACCAUACACCAACAGCCCCGCCAUAUGAAAGCAGGUGACAGGAGGAGUUACUGUCAUAGCAGGGGGGGACUGUGAACUCACACCAACCCCACUGUCAGCCUCUAUGACUGGAAAAAUACUCUGCAAAGAUGCAAUAACAAGGAGUGUUUUGGUCGGUCAUCGGCACAGAGCGGGGAACAAUUAGGAGUGUAUUUUUUUUCUCGCAGGGGUCUUUCCUUGGAGGCAGGAGGCCGUUAAGUUGUUUCAGAGACAGCCUGCACCUGUAAGUGCGGCUCUGUGAAGGAAGGGCAAGCGUGGGAGUGUGAAAAGAACUUCUCUUUAACCUUUGAACCCUGACCUUCAUGCUGUUUUAAAGUGUAAAAUGGGUGGCUGAGGAAGACAUGGCUUUAUGUUUGAUGAAAAAACCACAAGACAGAGGGAAAACGGAGGUGAAAGCGUAGCUAAGUUGAUGCUCGUUAGCCGUGUGAGGGAAAUGUGUUAGCUGUGUGACAAGUGAGGCUUUCAAUGUCAAAAGGUGUGAUUUUUAUUUGGAGUUCAGUGAUAUUUUUAACACACAGUCUGAAACACUGACUUUACACCUACAGCUUUAGUGCAAAGUCAUCUUGGGUCAAGUAUCAUUCAAAGAGACGCUGCCGUACUCAGACUGUGCCUCUGUGCAAACCAGAAGGUGCAGCUGCAGUUCAAGUCGGCAAACGAGUGAAGAAACAAGCCGACAAGUGGUGAUGUAUGGUCUGAGCGAAGUUAGAGCUAAUUGAGGGAUGAUAUCAGCAGACCAUGAACAUUUUUGGCAGGCAGUUUUUAAACUAAACCUUUUGUACUAUAAGGAGCUGCUGGCCCAUUUGGCAACAGACACGCUGAAGGAGGGACACCGAGGAACAUUUUCCCUGGUUCUCCAAUUCAGCCUGAUCAGCUUUCCAAGCACUGCGAGAGAGAAAACAGACUCUGUGUAAUUAGUCGGGGAAAGACUUAGCUUUACCAGAUGAAUCUUGAAUUAAGGACAGUUACAUGCAAAAAGUCGGUAAAAAGGAAAAGCAUGUAUGUAUAGUAUUCAUGUAUUUAGUAUUAGUUUAGAGUAGCAUUCUUUAUACUUAAGUGGCAUUUUGGACAUCACUCUCUUGGUUUCUUGGCUGCCAGAGUCGAUGUGUUAUGUUACGACUCUAUCCCGGAUGUAAGGUCAGAAUGGUAGCUACUUGUCGAUCACAGGUAACUUGAUCGUUUUGGAGGACACUGGAAGAAUUACGUCAGUGCACGUAUGGCAACUGUUGUUUUUAUUUAUUGUUCACAUGCCAAAUCGGUUAGCUACCAGCAUUCGUCUUUCCUGGUCUGGUUUGAUCGCAUGCUUGGGAAAACGAGCUCUUCAUUCUUGUAUUUUGGUGCUCAAUGUAUAAAAAUGAAUCAUUUUUAAUUCACCACUUCUUACUCUGUAUAAUUAAAUUCUUCUUCGUUAAAUAAGCUGAUUACGUAUUAUCACCCCCUACUGGUCUGUAAUGCAAAUAGCAUUUUUUUGAAAUUGGAAAAAAAUAGCUGCUUCAGUGGACGGGUUCUAAAACAAGAGUCCUUGCCUGUUUGUUGAGUUUUUCACACCCUCAGUUGAGAUAAGGUGAUGGUAAAGGUAUCAACCAGUUGGCUGCAAUCUGCAAACUCACCACUAGAUGCCACGUAAUCUCGCUAAUAGCUUCCUUAACUACAAAUUUACAGUUAAUUUAACAAAAGAAGUAUUCAUACAGCCUUGGUGUACAUGUAUGUGUGUCAGGUGGAUUCCUCUAGGACCUUUAGCCUCCCCAGAGUAGGAAGUUCAACCAGCAGGGUCUGCAAGUCGUCUGAGCACAUCCACUUCCUGCAGGUAUGACCACUUUUCCUGUUUGGCCGGUGGCCCCUGUGGUACAGUCUAAUAUGAUGUAUAAUGAACUGAGCAGCAGAGUGUCUGUAUAGGCUCCCAUAUAUACGUGUGUGUGUUUGAGUGUGUGCCUGCCAUGCGGACCGUAAAGCUGUCUUAACUUAAGGAGUGAUUAAUACACCCAUCACUUUCUAAACGCUGCCUGCCUGUUCUGCAGCCUCAGCCUCCACAGAGCAGACCAAUGUUUGCCUUUCCCAGAGCGCCCUCCCUUUACGACAGCGCGGGGUCAGAGGGAGAAAAGAAGCAUUCUUUAAUUUGAUAAUUAGUCCGUGGACUCUUUAGGGUGAAAGAAAAGGAUUGGCCUCAUUAGCUCUAAUUGUCUAAUUGCCUUUCAUCUAAAUAGUGCAUAAUUUUCACUUCAUGGAUUAUACAAAUACCAUAAACGUAGCUCUCUGUUAUUUGUGUUUCUUGCAACUUGCCUCAAUUUCUUCUGUCAGGACCUGCCUAGAGUGAGAGAUGAGUGUGUUUAGGUAGAGAGACGAGUCGAAGGAUUGGAAAAUAGACUGAGGGGAAACGGUGACAAACAGGACUAACUCAAGAGUGGGAGGAGCCAAAUGAUUUUUCCCAUCACACAUUUUUUUCCUCCAGAGUUUUUAAGAUUACAUCAUGUUCAAGUCUUUUUAUUGCUUCAACUUUUUGUAUUUCGCUUAAUGAUUUCCCUGAAUGUCUGACUUUGUGGCACUUUAUGACUCAGAUGUAAAAAUUAGAGCUACGUCUUAUUCAGUCCAGAUCAUCAUUCCUGUUUAAAGUAAAGCCCAGCACCGUAGGUGAUUCACCAACAUUAGGUCAGAAUUAAAAAUAAUAGGUGGCAAAAAAUCAUUUUCUUAUAUCCAAACAGGUUUUAAAGCUCUGUGAUUUGAUUUUCCAUACCCAACAGCAUCUGCAUCAAAGCAGACUCACUUUAAGGCACUAUGUGUCUCUUUUUAGUUCUAGUAUGCUUUUACCUUUGUCCCCUCUAUCAGACAGCCUGUUAUUUCUCUAUGCAGGCAACAACUUAUUCAAAAGCUUUAUUCCAGUCAUAGACCCAGAUCUAUAAAACUACACUCAUAAUACAGCCAAACACAAAUGUUUAUCCUAAUUAGGCUGAUUUUGCAAGCUUAAAUCAAAGCGUAACUCUAAAUUACAUCCAAAAUGCAGAAGAAAGUUAAAGUCUACUCUUUACUUUGAACCUAAAUUAAUAUCAAGCCACAAUAAAAACCUCAAACAAGCAUACCAUGAGACCAACAAAUGUUUUUGAAAAAGGCUUUAGUUGCUUUUGUGCUGAAAGCCAACUGGGCUUUAUUUUUAGAGCACAAAUGUCAUCUUUAUUCACAAGAUUAACAUUCAAAAUUGGUUAGCUGAUGCUUUUAAACUAUAGGACUAAAAUACUCUUGAUUUUAAACAAAUCUAAAUGAUUUACAAGCUGUAAAUUUUCCUUUGUCAAUACCAGGAACUCCCCAAAUGGCUGUUUACUGGAAAACUUGUGAGGGUCGUAACCGUAAAGAGAGGCAAGAAAGGGGAAUCAUCCUGUCUAAAGGUCCUUUCACACCAGGGCCUUUUUUUUUUCGUGCGAUUAUUUCGGACGUCAUUAUUUUUUUUGAACCCGUAUCCUGUCAGUACAAGCGUUCACAUCAGCGCCGUUUUCCCGUCCUGCAAUAUUGCGGCAUUUAUUUUUUGGGGGGAUCACGGUCGAUUUUUCCAAAGUUUUACAUACUGUGUGUCCACUUCUGACCAAUCAGAUUUCAUGUUGUUACGAUGUCUGAUUCACCGGUAUAUCCAACAUGGCCGACUGGCUGAUUGUUUACGUGUCGGAGGACAGAGUGCUUUUUGAUAAAAGACACAAAUAUUACAAAGAUAAUGACCUGAAGGACAACUUGUGGAGAGUCAUAGCGUCGGAUCUCUCAUAUGAUGAUGGUUUGUGUGCUUCAACAGUUUUCUAAACGUCUUUGUUUUAACUUUCAUCUGUGCUAAGUAACUUUAGCUCGUAAGCCAACCUGUUCAGAUACAACAAACCAUAUGUAAUUUCACUGUCUCAAACUCAAUGGUGUUGCUGUCACAGCGCCAUUAGGUCUCGGUUGUUACCUUACGUUUAUGGAUUAUAGUUUAAUGUGCUUAUCUGGUACUGGCCCCGACUCAGUACAUGCUAUCAUGACAGACAGACAUCUCAACACUAGUGUCUAAUCAGAACUGAAAAUCAGUCAGUCUGCAGUCUUCUCACUUCCACCCGGGACGCGUCUUUUUUCCCCCCCGGAAAGUCACAAAAUCGCAUCGGGCUUGAUGUGUAUAGUCUGGCGCGUCAAAAUUCGCCUCCGGAUAUUUCAUAAUUUUGCGUUGUAAGGACCUUAAUGCUGUAGACUUCAUUGAUAAUUUGAACAUCCUUAAAAAAGGCUAGAUUAGAACAGCUAAUAGUUCCUAUUCCCUGUCAUGUCAGGGUGGAUCCGAUUGCUUGCACCUUUAACAAAAACAUAAACAGAGCCGCUUGUCUGCCGCACGCUACCUCAGUCUGAGUCCCACCUCCUCAUGUGUUACACCCACGGGGGGCGUCAUCCUUCAGAAGAGGACCAGGCACUGUGAGUGAGGAGCAGCCUUGUCUUCAUUCCUCCUCCUGCCUCCUCCCCAAAAACAGAAAACACACUUAUCUGUGUUGAGGCCACCUGCCAGUGGAGGCCUGUCCUUUGUGUGGAUGUCUGUAUAAGCCUGGGAUUCUGUUACCCGGCUCCCUGGGGACGGCAGACACUGCUGUAGGCAAUAAAGCUACUGGUAGACUGGUUGUUCAAAGGGGAUGGUGUAAAGGCCAGAGAGUAACAGGAACAAGUCUUUAACUUCCAAGCUGCACAGAUAUAGACACCCAAUAUAGUCAACUGGCACAACUGUGACUUGCGUUUCUAACUUUGUUGCUCAGUGAUAGCUUUAAGAUCAAGCGUCUUUUUUGAAACUGGACACGUUACUGGUGAAUUCGAUCAGCCACUACUUAUUUGGAUGAAUUUACAAAAGUCAGUGCAGGGGACGGGGUCAAAAAAUGACAUACAGGAAAAUAAAAAAUAAAAAACAAAGACAAACUUUCAGUAUGACCAGCAAACAAAUGCAGCAUGUCAUUGUUGUAGCACAUUUGCUGAUGGUUUGUACGAACAAUUACAAGGUUAGGUGGAGGUUAGAUCAGUUAAACUUUCUUACUAGGUUGUGGCUUAGUUUCAAUAAGGUUAAAGUUUCAUUAACCUAUGUCGCCUCAUUUGUUAGUUUUGUUACUUCAAUGGCUUUACUUUCAUAACUUUACUUUUGUGGCUUUACUUACAUGAUUCUGUGACUUCACUUGCCUCAAUGGCUAUUCAUUUGUAAAUUUAUUCUGUGACAUUACUUUGUGACUUUUUGAAAGUGACUCUACUGUCGUGGUUUUGUCCACAUAACUUUACUUUUGAUGACUUCUAGUUUUGUUUUGUUCCGUAAAGUUACUUAAGUGAAAUUACUCUCCUGUUACAAGAAGUGCUAUGCAGUUUUAUAAAUAGCAGUUACGUUGUAACAUAGUUCAGUGUCUUCAGCAAAUUAAAAAAUAUUGCCUUAUUAGUUGGCAUCACACAGGACAAGAAAAGAGAGAACUGUCUGCUACUUAAGGCCAAUACCUGUGUACCAUCUUGUCCUAAACAUUAGUCAUUAUCAGCGCCUUAUUCUUUAAAUAGGGUUUGAAAUGUCAAAGUUCUGGUCUCGGCACAUGUCACUUUAAACGAGAUUAAAGGUGGAGUUUUUGCGAAGCGUUCAAACAACUACUUUUGUAUCUGUCUGGGACUCAUGCAUGAGACUGAAUGAAAUAUUUCAUCCUGGAUAAGGAAGACAAUGUUUUUUUUUAGUAUAUUGCAAUAGAUUUCGACAGAAUCAAAUACUUUGACCUUAAUUCUGAACACUUGAAUCAACAUCCGUCUGAGAACUUUAAUAUAAUUAAGUUCAUGAGUACCAGACUUAAUGCAGCACAGCUUAUUAAACUGUUGGUUUCAAAGUGUCCAGCCCUGCGAACUGUAAUUUCACAAAGGUGUCUGUCUACAUGACAGCUGCCUCUGAGGUUUGGCAUUCGCCAGUUGUUGACUGUUUUUAUACACUGGCUGCAGUUAAGCAAGUUGCCUGUCAGUAGAAAAAGAUGAAAAAAGUGCACGAAAGUAGCCUAGUUUUUAAUCGAUUGAGAAAAUAAAGUUCUAGACCUUUUAUGCAGUCUUCUGUGUCCUUUAAACACUACCCAUCAGGCCUUGAAAGGAUGCUGAAACAAUCGACUGGUGACGUUAGCUGCGUGUAGUCAGGGUCAGUGAGUGAGAGCUGCGAAUAAGUACUGCCCUGGUCUGAGCUUCUGCACCUUCAGAGGGCCUGACUUUGUUCACCUUGGUAACAAAUAUCUAUAUGUGGAGAGACACUGAAGAAAAGUUGUUGGCUGAAACAAGAGCAGCCUGUCAGAAAGCAGAGAGAGAUUGUGUGUAUUUGAACAAAACAAAGCAGUGUGUAGAUAGACACUGAAGACUGUCAAAAUCUCACCUUGAAGGAUUGAUUUUUGUUUCCGCUUUGGUCAUAUCUUAAAUUCAGUCAGACACUGCAGCGCGCCUUUGAAAUGUCAAACGUUUGAGGAUCACGGUCAUAAACAAUCACAAAUUAAAAGGCACAUGUCAGGACCUCAUUAGUGGUUUGUGUUACUGGUUUGUUCUGGAGCGUUGUGGUUAGACAUGUUUACACAGUUGUUGGAGUGUGGAUAGAUAAAGAAGCUUGAUUUAACUCUGUCCUCUUUAAGAACGAUCCAAGUCCACGAGCUCACAUGCUGUUGCACCAAAGAGGGAGAGAAAUGUAAUUUCAGGCUUCACCUUCCUGACCAGCUGUCAAAUAUGAUUGUAGGAAAGUAUUCAGGGGAAAUUUUCCCUUAAAUUAAAUAGAAUUAUGUAGUCAUUGUGGAUCCCGAGUAGAAGCACAUACCCAAGAGUGUAAUGACUUUUGCAUGUCUGUAUUAAGAAGCUCUCAAUCUCCAAGGUCUGAGAGGGAAAUACAGCCCAUCUGCUGAACAAGGCAGCAGGGAUAGAGAUGAUUGCAUCACAGGAUCAUCCAUUAGUGCUGUCAUCUGGAAUUCAGCGUUGGGACCACAGUGCAGUGAGCAGUUCAUUUAGCAGCACACUGCGCGUACAGCAGCAGAAGCAGUCUAUCAGCAGGUCAGACGUGCAGAAGGUUGGCAGUCCUAUCAGAGUGCAGACGUCACAUUUUGAAGGGAGCAUCUGUUACUUUAUGAUUAGAGGUGCACUGGCCCUCCCUUUUACCUUCAAUACUGGCCCUGAAACCUGAAGGCAUGCAGAGUACCUAUCAUAAUGUUGUACACUCUUUAACCAUUAUUAAAACAUGGUUCAAGACAUGGCAUGAUAUAAUAUCUGACCAAUUGUGUUGAUUCCCUUUGAAUUUGUUGACAUUUAUACAGAUUGAACAAUGAAGCUUUUGACUUAAGAGGGGUUUAGGACCCCGAUGACAGAUCUAUGAAAAAUAUCAAGUUGAAACUUAUAAACUUAUUAUGCUGUGUUGCAUUACUUACAUAGUAUAGGGAGUUUGAUCUCAGCUUUGCAUUGUAAUGUUUGCACAGAGCUUCGACAAGGAUUUAACAUGAUUUAAUUCAAUGCAGUAAGUUUGCUCUAAAGUUUUGCCAACUCAAAGGAGGUGUGGUCAGUUGUACUUGCCUCUUUAACUUACAUACUUAUAUUCAUCAUAUAUUCAGCUUAGUAUGAUCUCAACUAUCAUACACACUACAAGAAUAAGUCUAUGCAGCCAGUUCACUUAAUGGAAUAAACAGGUGUUGCUACAGUCAGCACAUUCACAAAAUGACACACAAGAAGAUAAAUGCUGCUGUGUUGAUUUUGGUCUCAAUGUAACAUCCUCGUAUUUUUCUAUUUAUACCUCCAUACUUUUCAUCCUUAUAUUUCUAUCAUGGUUUGCUCUAACUCUAAUUAUGCAACCUUAUCUAGUGAAAACCAGCUCUAUGUAUGUCAGCUCUGCAAGUUUUAUGUGUGUUGAAACCCCCCAUAGCUUGUGGCCACGAUCUUAAAUCACUUAUACUAAUCCAGUGACUUUCACCUUCCUAUAAAGGCUGCAUGGGUCUAAUAAGCUGCUUUGCUGACAAACACAGCCUCAUAUCUGGUUUGGACAGUCUUCCACAUGCAAAUAUAAACACUGUCUGGCCUAUAUUGCCAGAAAUUGCACAGAGAUGAUAAGUUACUGAGAGACAACAACACCUUACCUUAAAGCUGUAGUGAGGAACUUUUAGUUUGUGUUGAUUUUAGUGCCUCUCCGGAUAGGUGAUGGUCCGUAGGUGAUGUGUAGUUUUUUUCAACAAAGAAUCAUAAUCUAACACUUAUUGGAAACUAUCACCAUUAAAAAUGUAAGAAUAAAUAAAAAUAAAAAAGCGGUCAGUAAAAACAUCAGUCUGUUUGUUAACAGGCCGCAAACUUCUCACAGUAGCUUUAACCCUAUAAUGCCUGAAACCACAAAUUAUGGCCUGAAAAUUCAAAUUUUUUGGAGCUGAAAUGUUUAUUUUACUUACUUACAAAAUGUCCUUAAAAUUUUACAAAUAUGUUUAUUUAUCUCGUUUGAUACAUCAGAUGUUUUUGGAAACUGAUAAACCCCAAGAGGACAUUUUUUAUCAUUUAUCAAACUGUGUUAAGGUGUUUUUUUUAGUAAUUUGUUGAUCAUAUUGAUUAAAAGGAGUAUUAUAAAAGUGUGUAUCAAAUAUGAUACAAAAGGCAAUAAAGGGUUAAAGACAAACAACCGUAUGCUAUCACAUUAUUUUAUUACACUCAAUCUAAAUGUCCCUACAGUCUUCUUAUAUUCAAAGACAAUGAAGUAGUAAUUGAAACCAUAUUCUUACAAAUGCAACAAAUAGAUGUUUUUUUAUGCAACUGUUAUAAUUUAGGGUUCAGUUUUUUCUGCAGCUUUACCAGGCGACAGUUAUUCUUUUGUAAAAACUCCAGAAUCACUUACAUGGCAUUUUAAGUUUCUCAACAAAAACCUCUUACAGCAUUAAAAUGUUUCAGAUGACACCGUGACCCUUCCUAAGUUUUGUUUAUGGAUGCCAGUAUUUUGUGUAUUUUGCAUACUGACAAAAAUCUCCUUAAACUACAUUUACUGCUUUCCUCCUCGUUGAAUUUCACCCUUUUGUCAGCUCCUGAGCAGCGAGCGUCUCGGCUUGCUAACGAGGUUCUAGUGGCUGUUGACUUGAAUAACAACAUGUUAGUUACUGAUGGAGAGAAGAACAAAGAGCUUCUCCUCGUUACGGCUGCCGCCUGAUUGUUCUCAGACUUUUCUCUGAAGACGGCUCCUAAUAUCAUCUCAUAAUCUGCCAUCCUCUCCUCCAGAUGCCCCCGCCGCCACUCGCUUUCAUGUCUGACUGUCGUUCAAAGCCUAAUCAUUAAUGUGAUUUAUUUCUCGCUGUGUAUUAUUUUGUUCCUCUAAUUUGUUUGGGUUUUUUCAGCGCGGGUGUAAAUCAGAAUCAAAGCCAUUGCCACUGCUUUUCCCUGUCACCUCUGUUAAUGGCCUGUCUACUGGAGGUUUGCACUGAGAAGAAGCAGACCUGCUGUCUACCUAAAUCACCUCUCCAUCCUCUCCCCUCAUCAAAAACACAAAGAGCCCAUUGGCUACCAGCACAAACACCUUCUCUGACUGACCCGGGGCUAUAAAUCAGCAGCUCUGUGCAGUCGCAGGCCCAAAAAGUGAAAAUUGGCAAAGCUGGAAAACAAAAUAGGAUCAUUAAUCACCAUUAAGUUUGAGAAAGUUUUGAUUCUGAAAAUAUUAUGGCUUGACACCUUUCCCUGCAAUAUAGUUUGACACUUUUGAGAUAUAAACGGGAACAAAAUCGCAUUAAUACAUAAAUCCCAGAGAUGAGGAGACAAUAGAGCGGGGAUGAUUGUCAUCUGUCCGUCAUGUGAAGAAGGCGCGUAGCUCCUCAGACGGCGUGAUGUGUAAUGUGAUUGGACAGAGCUGUGACAGCGAGCUGUGACCUUCAGCUGCCUGCUGACUCCAACCCCCACCUAACCGGGUGUGUGGGAGGGGAGCCGAUGCUGCUGAUCAAUGGGGGCAUUGGCACUCAUCAUGUCAAAUCUACUCAAGUCUCUUUUGUCAUCCGGCCGGCGCUUUUCCUUCCGCUAGUCAAUCAAUCAGAGCGCUGCACCGAGAUGUUCAGAGGAAGAAGUGGUGAUGUUGCAUAAAUUCACCCUCAUUUUUGUGGGCUUACAUGUUCUUCUUUUGGCUUUAAAAGCUGCCGUUUUUCAUCAUCAUCUAAAGCGCUCUGUAAACUAUAUACACAUAAAGUCUGGUCUGUGUAUUGUAUAGCACAUUUGAAUACAAAAGGAGUUGACCCUAUAGAGCUCUGAUAGAAAUGCAUCAACUUCAGUCUGCCUCCGCUCAGGUCAAACGGCAAUCUUCAGUGUUGAAAAAUGAAGCCAAUGCAAAGAGUUAGAGCGAAAAACUCACUGUAAGGGAACAUGAACUUGUUUUUCAACUCGGUGGUUUUGAAGGUGGCAAAAGAAAAAAAAUGCACACAGUUUUGUAAAGACAGGUGUAGCUGAUUGGACGUAUUUUAGCUGUCUGCUAGACGGUUAAAGCUCCGCCUCAACUCCACCUCUGUGCCAACUGAACGAGGGUUUCCAGUUUGAUGACCACCUCCGUCAGACUUCAAAUAUCAGCCAGACUAUAAUUCUUCUAAUACUGUUGGGAUGCUUACUGAAACGCUUUGACAAAAUUAUGGGUUAGUUCAGCCAGCACAUGACCAAAUCAAGCAUUUUGGGUACUUGUAUGUCUAUAGUUGGCCCAAGGGAAUUGAGGCCAGUGAGAAAUACACAAACAAAAACCAGGAGAGAGUUUUAAAGGGAUAUUUCGGCUAAAAAUUGAUUUAGGGUCAAACACACCGUAACACCGAGUUAGACACCCCAUCGAGAGAUGAAUGUUGCCGACCGCUUGCUUCCUAGUUCUACCAACUUUAUUAACUACCGUACAACAGCAAUACACAGUGGUCUGAGGAGCCAUAGACAAACCUCAACCAAAAAGCCACUCUAAAGCCACAAAUAAUGCUCAGAACAGCACCUAACUUCAUCAACAGUACAUAUAGGGUCCCAGCCACAGCACGAGCCACCAAAUAUCUUUUUAGCUUUGCCUGAUUUCUUUAGCAAAGAGACUAAACACAACUCACCUACUCUCUUCCAGCAGACGCUUGUUUGUAGGAAGAGCUUGGGCGAGUCCAUCACUGACUCCAGGGGGGUGACUCAGCUCAAGGAAGAACAUUUAUGACCAUUACUUUAUCAUUUCCUUGAAGUAAUAAUCACCGUAGUUCUUCUGCCUUAGCGUCUCUGUCUGAUUGCAUUUCCAUGGAGAAAAGUCGGUAUAACUAGAGGAGCAAGCGGUCGGCAACAUUCAUGUCUCGAGGGGGUGACUAACUUGGUAUUAUGGUGUGUUUGACCCUAAAUUAAUCUACACCAGAAUAUCCCUUUAAGUUUGAUGAUAUCAGCACAUUUUUCAAGUCUUCAAGUAUUCAAGUCUCGAAAAAGUUAUACGAUCAUAAAAUCACUCCUCCUACAACUUAUGCAGGUCUGCCAGAACAGGAGCGAUACGGUGUCUCUUUUGUGUUCCAGUUAAAAGUUCUCGCAUCUGCAUUUGGAGCUGUAAAAGAGAAGAAUGGAUAAACCCCAUAAACAGCAGCGAGUAGCGCACAAACAAAACGCCAGCAGAGAGUUAUUCGUGUCGGCACACAGCCACAGCAGCCCUAAAUGAGAAUUUCACCAAACAAACACAAUCAGAGCCCUAUUACAUUUCUCUUUCAUGAUGCUGAAAGGAAAUGCAAACGAGAUUAGAUAACACAAAGGCCACAAGGCUCAUUUCUCUCCUGUGUCUGGAGAUGGCUAAAUGCUCUAAUUCCCCUCUCCGCUCAGCUCCUCAGGCCAAGUCCCGCUUUUGUUGAACCCAAACCAACUGCAUUAAUGUAAUGUAAAAUUGCCUCUCUCAGGAACGUUUUUUUUCUCUUUAUUUCUCGCACUUUUUUCUCCUAAUCCCCGGCCCUCUUAUUCGUUUCUGUUUGACUCUAAAUUAACUGAGCACAAACCACUCUGGCUUUAAGUGGGCAUGGCUUUGUUUUGAACUUUGCAAUUACACAGAGAUCUGUCCGUCUGCCAAGGGUUUUUGAUUCACGGUGCAGUCUUGGCAGUCGGAACAAUCGGAGGAGCCUGAACAGGAUCUAAAUGGAUAAGUUUGGACUGAGAACAGGCAGCGAGAGAAAAAAGGGAGCUCAGCUGAGGGCCUGAACGUCACAGCUGCUUGCCUGUUCACAACAGCAGCGAUAAAUGGCAGCUACAUAACUUCCCUUAAUCAGAUCGGAGCAAUCAGCCUGUAAAAGUUUCCCAUAUGUUGUUGUAGCUCAGCUUUUAGGGGGGUGAAGGAUGCUAAGAGAAAGAAAGGGGAAUAACAGGAGAGGGAUAAUUUGGAAAAAAGCUGAUAAAAAUGCAAGAGAGAAGGAAAAAGAGAGGCUGCGUUCAAGAAAGAGAAGUGCCAGGGUUACAGCCAGGACACAGGCCACAGGGAGGUUAGUGUGUCUGGCUACAAUUAGCCGCUCACAGGAGAGAUUGAGACGAUGCUUUGGGGAGCUAUUGGUCCUCAGUCAUUAGUGAUUAUUCAGUCAGAAAUUACUGACUCUGAAGGCAACGUGUGGCUGCGUCUGCGAGUUUACUAACACAUGUUUCCUUCCUUCACAUGCAGCCGUUCAGCAAGUUGGAAAUCUGAAAGUGCUUCAUGCAGGACGUGUUUUGAUGAUGUGGUUUUGAUUCCCUUCCUUUGCAGAUUUUAAUACGAUAUCCCAAAAUAAAGUGUGAUAUCACCAACACUUUUUUUGUUUUUAUAUAUAAUGACAAAGUGCUUCUAUAAAAUAUGACUUUGCAGCAGAAUGUACACAGAUUUCAUCCUUAGUUUGCCAAAUGUCUUGAAUGCCUGAUUCCAACAGCAUGGCAGCAGCAGUCUGUGUUAAUGUGAGUUUGCUCAGGGAAUCUUAUUAACUCUGAGCACUUUAUGAGAUGUGGUUACGAUUGUUUAAUUAAAUAAGCAUUAGGGGGUGUUUUUAAACUCAUAAAGAAGUUAUUCCAUUUCCUCUGCCUUCAACAAUCCACCAAAAUUGUGUGAUAAUUAAAACCCUCUAAGUGUUUCAUAACAGAGAGCACAUUUAAUGCCUGACACUUGGGCUCAUUUUGCACAAACACACACAGUUUACGGAGGAUAAAAUCUGACCGCAGGAAAAAUCUGUAAAUCUGCAGUUUUCUUAAAAUUAAGAUGUGACCAAAGCAAACUUUUAUUGACUUCAAGUAGAACAGAAAAAAAUAAGACACGAAAGAAAGAAGAAGAAAAAAAAAAACUCAGUAUACACAAGUCUGGUAAUAAUCUCAGUGUACGUUACGAUGCAGUGAAAACAAACAAAACCAAGAGAAUAACUUUUAAUAUAAAUCAGGAUCUGCUCAGUGCUUGGUUUUGUCAACCCUGUAUUUAUCCGCUGCUUAUUUGUUUUUUAUCGCAGCUGAAGUGCAGCGUGGUGAACAAACACACAUCUGCAACUUGGCACACAGUGUGAGGCACCUUCAAAGACUCAUUCAGGCUGUAUCAAGGGAUUACAGACUGACGCUCAAACCCAGGCAGCACACAGACGGUCCUCCAGCACAUAUUUAGUAAGUUUUUAUAAAGUCAGGCUGAGUUGAAUAUGAGUGUCAGCACUGAUGAUCAUACUUUUACCUUAGCAUCAUGACAGCUUUAGCUCAAAUUUAAGGAGUUUUGGACUUUGGACAAUUAUUAUUACAAGUUAAGAAAGAGUAGGAUUUUUGUUGUGUCUUCAUGGAUUUGUUUAAAAGAAAAAAAAAGUUAUCAGGGCUCUAAAAUAAUUGAUAACAAAUAAUCACUAAAUUUUAGCUGUUAAAAUCAUGUCUUUGAUAAUGAUGGAAUUUCCAUUAUUUUGUAUUUCAAAACAGUAUCUAAGUCCUUAUUAACAAGGGAAAUCAAAUCUUACAGGUGACUUGAUGGACAGAUUUUGUACUGACAGUGUGUUUCAACACAGAGUUCUGGUUUGGUUCAGUACAGCCCUGCUCUUGCGUAAUUUUCUGCAGCAGACUAUACCCUACCCUGGUGAUUUUUUUGGCAUGGAUUUUUAUAGAUUAGACCAUUCAGACUACAUGAAUCAUGGCCAAAAUUCACAGAAAAACAAUGAACUUCAGGCUCUUUUUACACAUCUUAAGGUGAACUUUCACUGGAAAAAAGCUCCAUUAUUAAAUAGCUGAAUGCCAUAUACAGACCAGAAUCAUUUCACGAUUAGCAUGUUAUCACAGACAGCCCUUUAUAUUAGAUAACACUAGCUUUGUUAGUUACAUCACUUCAAUAUGCUUUGUGAAGGACAAACUUAUGUUUAUGUGUAUUAUAACUAAUUUGAUAAUUACCUUAAAGCUCCUUUAACACACUUAAGGUUUAUGUUGAUCUUGACGCCCACAGUGACCAAAGCCUAAUCUCUCCGUCUUUACUGAUCGUAUCCCAUCCAGAUGUAAUCUAAUCGAUCAUGUCUUUUGUUUUUGAAGGACGAACAUUAGCUAACAUUAUUUUCAAUUUGUUUCAUAAACAUCUAAAAACUCCUCACUGGAGCUUUAACUGAAAGUUAUCAAAUAACUUAAGAUGGAAGUUAACUCCUUUUAAAAAAAAAACAACCCUUAACACAUAACCAAAUUUUAACAUGCUGCCAGGAGAUACUCACAUCAUAAUUUUAUGGCAUAAUGAAUGUACGCUGCAGGUUCGAAGUUUGUGAUUUACCUCAAAUGUAUUCAUGAAAAACUGUUAGAAGUGUGUGUACUGUUUGUUUUUAAUGGAUGUCAAACCAAGUCUCUGUUUUGACCCAUUCACACAAAGCAGACUUUUUGGGUCACCUGAAUUUAUCACCAAAAAGAAACAAUCUGGGACAAUCAAUGUCCAGAAAUAGUUCUAGGAUUGUACAUACAGCAUUAUAUUUUGAUCUUUUGGGACACUGACCAAGCGGCUGUGUUUUGAAACUGGGUACACACACACACAGACUCCUGCACCCCUGCAUUAGUACACGCAUACACACUCAGAGGCACUCACAAAUAAAAAACAAGAAAUCAAUGUAACCUGUAAUUUUUACAGGGCUGAUCUGAGUGUGUGUGACAGGCCAAAUCCAAUAGCUGCAGCAGGGCUGACAGGCCUGACAUGAGUCUUGCCUUGCUGGCCCCUCAAUUAUGCAUGGCCCAAUGUUUCCCCGGAUCUUAAUUGAAUCACACUGUCUCAAACUUGUUAUUUCUAAUUUGUUGCAUUUGAUUUCUGACAUCAGCGCUGCCGUGUCAUGAAUUAUGCAAGCGGGAGGACCUUUAAUUGUGAGUGUUAUUAAAACAAAACUAAUUGCGGAUGAUUAAAAUGUGACUGGGAAGCAGGAUGUUGAGGGCUUCACCCUGACACGGUUUCGCUACUUCUGCCAAAUAAUGAUUAGGUCUCAUGGCUGUCGGAGCUGUUGUUGUUUUGCGGUUGUGACUGUAACCUUGGGUGGAACAUGUCUUAUGGUUUAAUGGAGGGACAUUGAUACACACAUGCACAGGCUGGGAUGCAGAAACACAUUAAAAAAUCCUCACAACAGGAGAGAGCAGAAUUGGUGUAAUUCAUCAUUUCACUUCAAAACUUCGUUCACUUUUUAUUGAUUGUUCCUCAUGCAUUUUUAUUAGUUCUUCUACCAGAAAUUGUUUGAGCGUCCUUUAAAUACAGAGAAAAUUACUUUCAAUAUUGGCUUCUAUGAGACUGACAAUACACAGACAUUGACAUAAAUUGAGAACUCGUUGGAAUUCAUUCUGCUGAAGUGUAUCGUCAGGCAAAAGUAAUAUGGCAUUUUGAUUAAAUACAUGAGAGAGAAAUAGAGAAAGGCACGUAAAAGUAGAAAAAGUCAAUAAAGUAUAUGCCUUUAACAUUCCUAUAAGAUUGCCAGAUAAUGAGGACCAAAGAGUAUAAAUAGUGUGUUAGAUUUUCUCUUUUCUAAGGUGGUUUAUUACCUUUUUGUUCCUCACCGUGAAUUACACUUUCUCUUUUAGUCCCUAUUUAUGCAACUAAGAGCAGAACAUGAUUACAAAAUUAGAUACCGUGUAAAAUAAUUGCGCAAUUAUUCCAAUAAAGUCAAAAGCGUGCAUGUGUAAGGUUGCAAGAGGCAAAAUGAACGUUCCUGUUCUUCUCAUAAGAGAUUUAACAAUUGAAUCGUGCCUGCAGGGCAACAGCUCUGCACCUGACUGAAGGUGGGGAUCCUCGCGGCUGUGUUCCAUACGGGGCGUUGGAGAUGUCUGGAAGUCAUUUCCACAUGUGAGGUGGGGGGAUGGGGAGGGAAGGAGGUAGAGAGGGGGAAAGGGAGGGGGGGGGGGGGCACACUUUAGUUUCAUGAAUGUUCAAUCAAUUCAAUAGGACAGCUUAACUUUCUCUUUCCCUCUCAGAGCGCAUUUACGGGCCCACAGGCGUUCAUUCGCAGGCUACAUUCAAAGGAUGACUGUGCCUCAUGCAAAAGUGGGUAAUUUUACAUCUUGGGGGUGUGGGGGGGGUACAGCUGAAAUCUGUUAUAGAGAGGGGAAAAAAGGGGAAAAAAGUGAGACAAAGGGUGUUAUAGGUGUGAGAAUUAAAGAAAAGACAACAGAGUCUGGAAGGUAAAACCAGGGAUGAAGCACCUAACACAUGCAUUUUCCUCAAAAAGCCAGCAGGGGAAGCCAUCACUGGUUUCAGGAGGAGGUCAGAUUGCACUGAAGUGUGAGGAAAUAACAUUUUUCAUCUCACCUAAUUUAUCACCAUCUUACCUUUUACUAAAACUUAUAAAAUGUGAAAACUAAUAAAGUUUGUACAUAUAAAUAUAAUUCACAUAAGUUUAUUAUGUACAGUGUGUCUCGUUCACCUGUUGAAACAUUCAGUGCAUCAUGACAAAGAAUACAACAAAUCCACACUGCUGAGAGGCUGAAAUCCUAAUUUUGAAUACAUUUUAAAACUAAAGAAAUUAUUCCCAGAGAUGCAACACACCCUGAAAAAUGUGUGUCAAGAGUGGUAGGGGACACUGAAACACUCUCACUUCAUAUAUAACAUGAAAAAACUGUUUUAAAUCACCCCAGUUCCCCUUAUUUUUUAAUAGUGAUGGGCACGGCAGUUCUUUUAGAUGUACUGAAUCACUAGAAUUAGUUCACUAAAAAGAUUCGUUCAAAAGAUUUGUUCACCGAGUCACCGAAUCAUUCAGGGCUUGGCGGGAGGGGCCUGUGACUCUGACCUCCUUAACUGAUUCACAGCUAAACAGUUCAGGAUUCAUUUCAAUUCAAAGCUUCUGGGACCGAUAGACAAGAGUGUUUGGCUGUGUUGCUUUGGCAAACAGGUUUGUAAAAAUGAACUUGUAUAUAAGUCGUGAUAUUUUAAGUGUACUGUCCUAUUGUAUACAAUUUAUCAGGUCUGCUCAGUUAUUUGGGCUCAGAGAGUGAUUCGUUCACUGAAUAUUUAGAAGAAUUCACACUGAACAUACAACGUUCCCUCGCAAACCGCUGCAAUGAAAGGAUGCUGCAGGUUUUAUGCACUACUUGUUACAUGCUAUGUCCUGUUGUAUGCAAGUUGUUGUGGUGGCAAUUUAGCAGUAAAAAGAAGUUUGUUUUGUCCGACAAAAUUGAUUCCAGAGAGUGUAGUUCAAUGCAUGAUUCGUUUACUAAGUGAUUCAGGCAUCGGUGCAUGCGGUCCCUUGUUCGCCGGCUACUCGUCUGGCAAUGCUGUGUGCUAUAGCAGACAGCUCAACUUAAGUGAGAAACGAACGAAUCACUUUAGGAAGUGAUUCGGUUCGGUACAUUCACCUAAAAGAUUUGGUUCUUUUGAACAAAUCGUUCGCGAAUGACACAACACUAUUUUUAACACAUAUUCAUGGUACCCAGAGGGUGAACCCUGCUUACUCUUACUGCCAGAUCACUAACCAGUAAAGUUCGGAACUUGUACAAUAAUUUGUUAGUGACCAAAUAUGAAAAAUAAAAAAUAAUGACAUUCACAGAGAGCGUACCUCCAAUUACCUUUAAGUUCAGACCACCAUCAGCAACUUUAGCAUGCUAGCUAGCAUAUCAGCAACAGUCAGCCUAAUUGCAGUGUCAUUGUUGGAUGUUUUAUUUUCACACAUCUUCCGACAGUUUGCUCGAAAAGUCUCUUCUUUCCGAGAGUUAAACAAACAUUCAGCUCUGAUAGCUUCCAUUAGGAGAGAGAUGUGUACGCUACAGUUGAAAUGACACAGCAUCGGCCUCAAACUAAUGCUAUCGAACACUGAACAUUUGGUAAAAUGCUCUACUCUGAGCUAACACAAUCAUCUAUAAGCAGCCUCGGUCUAGGAGAUGAGGCAGGAAAUAUAUACAUUUCCUUGAACUCCCCAAACCUUACCUGUCAGAUGCUUGUGUCUCAGCCAGGACCUAAAAAGCUUUACCCUCAUUACGUAUGCAUACGCAGCAGUGGGUGACGUGACCUGCCAAUUCAAAAAGUCUAUCUUUGCAUAAAAGUCGACGUCAAUAAGGUGCCUUGGUGGUCGGGUUUCUGUCUAUAUGAUAAAGUAGCUAAGUAUAUUUUGCCCGUGCUUCCUGGAUGGCUGCAGAACCUUGUCUGCGGAGAUGACAAUUAGAGUCACUUUCCACCCAGGUUAGGCCAGACAGGCCCUGUCAACCACCGGCAGAGGAGAAUGGAGGCAGACAGAGAGUAAUAUGUGUACCACUCUGAUUCUGCUUCACCUCCUGAUCCUUGCACUGACCACUGAGGGGAGGGAGGGGAGGAGGGUGAGGCGGAGAGACAAAAGAAAGGAGCCAAAUACACCUCAGCAGUUACUGCGGAUCUAUUUCGAGGUUUUAAAAUUGUUAUGAGCUGUCAGUGAGUCAUUCUUGUAUUUUCCAGGUACUGUGUUUCUCAUAUCAGCUUUCAUGGACUCUCAAUGUUCUCAGACUAAUAAAAGUGCCAAAGGAAUCGUCUCGGAGACUGUAAAGACGCAAAAUAUAUGAUAGAAAAGGAAAUGAUCUGGUGCAGGGUGUAGAGACACACAAGCACGUGCACCGUGCAAACUAAGCAUCCAGUUUCAGAAGAGCUUUACCGUGUUAUAUUACUGUGCAGUCCAGCCAAGCAGAUACUUUAGGAAAUACAAACCAAAUUUAACAGGUGUGUAAUAAAAUGUUGUUUUUAGUCAAAAGAGUGCGUGAAAAGAAGAGUUAAGUUAUUCAAACACUGCAAAAAUACCUUUAAAGUAAAACCAUCAUCAGUCUAACAUGAACAUGUUGACAUUAUAUUUCUGCACUAAAGGAUAAGAUAUGAUUUAGUUGUAGUAAUAUAUUGUGUUGAAGCUGUAGCAUAGCCUCAGUUGUGUUCUUUUCAAUUGUUUCUGUCAUAAUUAUACAAUGCUCUGCUAGUCAGAUGUAAACAAGUACACAUGCAGAUAGCUUUUUACAGUGUAGCACCGUAUGGCGAUGGUUACAUAGAAUAUAAGACAAAUGGAGAUAAGCUGUAUGUUUGCUGUUGCUGGUUAAUCUAGCAUCAUAGCUACUCAACUCGAGCAAUUCACAGCCAGAACAGACAUGAGGCUUUGCUAACUUUAGCCUCAGUCUCCAAGUUGUUUUGGUGAAGACUUUUUGAUCCUCAAACUGUGAUUAAAGCUCCUGUGAGGAUUUUUUUUUUUUUUUUCCAGAAAUGAAAUAGAGUGAAAUUUAUACCGAUGCAUUUCAUGACAUGCUCAGAAAAACAAGACAAUUUCCAACAGAAACACUGAUUUUUAUCAUGUUAUUUUGAAUACCUGAAAAUAGUGUGAAGGGGGGUAGGUCCCAAUCAAGCAGCCGGAGAAACCGUCCUGUUUUUACAUCUUUGACAUUAAAUAUUUUGUGAAUUUGAUAACGUCCGGCUAAACAAAGUCUGCCCUGCCCACCAGGUGCCAAAAAUGACUCAAUAAGGAAAGUUCCUCACAGGAGCUUUAAAGUUGACUGAUUUUAAGGUUUUUCUUACCUUUAGAGUGGUAAAGUAAAAUUCAACUUCCCAUCAAAACAACUUUUAUCAUUUUGAAACUUGGUUCUAUGAUCAAGUACCAAAUGGAGGAAAUCAACUAACGUUUUAAUAUAGUUCUUAUUACUACAAGUCAUUUCUGAUUCUGUGGCUGUAAAUACAUUUAGUUCAUGAUAGGAAAUGAUAAAGUUUCCACGCACUAAAUCCAUGUUGUGUGAGUUAGCAAUCCAAUUGGCCAUACAAUUUUAACACUAUGCAGUCCAGCACAGCAGACAUUACAGUGUACUGGAAAAACUAAUAGUGAGCCAAGUCUGCAGCACUUCAGUCACUUUCUUACUUAAUUUGUGGUUCGAAAUACAGAUAGGAUGCUGGAAAAUAUGUCAGACACUUUCCACAAGCUGCACUUUUAUUGAAGAAUUUUAAUUUUGUUUUUGUUUUUUUCACUCUAGGAAUUGCUAUCUGUCCUACAGGAAUUUCUGUUUUCUUUUUACAAAAUAUCAGCAUGCUAACAGUGUCACCAAUGCCAGCACGUUUAGCUGUUGGCUUUAUGUCCUUUGAGACUAUUGACACGUAAUAUGCAGUAGGAUAGGAUAUUAUCCGGUGCAGUUUGUAGAGACACAUUUUGACAUAUUCAAUAUUUUAUGGGGCUUUAUGCGUUUAAUACUGCAUAGUCCAGCCAAGCAGCCAUUACAGUUGACGUGCAAAAGACGUAGCAAUGAUCUCAGAUCAGCUUUUUGAAUCUGACUCACACUCAGCCCCACUGUCUCCCUAACAAAUCCAAAGUAGAGCAGGCUGUCAAACGUUUUGGCACAGCAGUACAUGCUGUCAGGUCGGAGUGUGUAAGAAAUGUGCUGCAUGCUUUCUGUGUUGCAACUUCCCCGUGAAAGGAUUAAUAAUUUACAUGGGAUUACUCUGAAAUUCCAGCAUUCGCCACAAACCCGUGUAACAUUGAUUUGUUGAACUGUCAUAAUGGCACAUCACUCAAAGUAAACAAUCAUCACUUCACCAAGAGCUGGAGAUAGAUGUCUCUUUCUGAGAAGGUGGAAGACGGGAGAGGAGGAGGAGGAGGAGGAGGGGGUCUUUUUGCUCCAUUCUCGUGGUUUCCCAUCGAGUGGCUCGCUUCGAGCUGAGCGAGAGAGAGAGAGAGGGAGAGAGGAAAAGAAAGAGAGAGCUGUAAUUGCUGUCAGUCUCUCCUGAGCGCAGCCUUAAAGGCAGCUGCCGUUUCACAACUGAGGAGUGAAAAGAGUUUGGGCUGUGUGGCUUCCCCUCCAGGCCUCUGGAGGAUUUGGUGAGUUCUCUCUACACCCCCCCCUUCUUGUUUACCUCUCAUUGUCAACAGCGGCACACUUUUAGGGGAAUCAGAAGGCUAAGAGCCUAUCACACUCAGAAACAGAGACACAGGUAAUUGAAAAGAUUAUCCUCAACACGUCAUCUCUGAUUUGGGAGGUUUUCAAGUGGUGAAAGUUUCCCUCGGAAAUGUUGCGCGCAAAUAUCACAUCACAAAAGGCCUUCCAGAAAACAUCAAUGCUCAGGUUUUGACAUAUUUGUGUUUACUCUGGAUGCCUUGUCAACCACAUUGGCAGAUGUAUAUUCAUCAGAGCUCUUCUAUUUCUCCAUAAAGCGGCUUCUAACCUGACAGACUCAUUUUAUGUGCAUUUAUAACAUGCUUCAUAUACUUGCCCAAUCCCUCCACUCCAAGAACAGGCAUGUCAAAAGUAAAGAUCCACCAUAAAUGCAUAUUUUAUGUGCAUAUGUGUUUAUGUGGGCAUGAAUAAUGUACUUUUACAAAACCUACAUGUAUGCGUACAUUUCUAAAUGCACAUAUUUUCAGCUUUUAAUUGCUAAAGAGCACAUUCACAUUCUUAACCCACACUUUUCAGGCCGACUUAAUCCCUCCUUAUUGGCAAACAUUAGAAUUCGCUUAAAGUGUAGCCCACAGAGGUCAAAUUCCCUCUUAGGGUGAAAAGCUGCAGGAAAUUGCCUGCAUUAGGGAGAUGUAUUGGUGUGAAAAGAUCUCAUGACACACCGCUGAACAGGUCAGUUCUCUGCUGUUUGUUCCUCCUUGAGUUCCCUCGCUUUCUGUCUGCUUUAGAAGGAAAGGUAAUAAGAUUGUCUAAUUGGACGAUUUCCAUGAUUCAGGUCUUACAUUCAAACUUUAAGGAAUCAUCUGAAGCGUUAAAUGUAUUGAUUUAAUAUUUACUGAAUGCAUAUUUUAAAAACCUUGGUUUAUGCCAACUUAAAGUGUUGUAAUAAUUAGCACUGCCAUGAUCUUUUAGCUGACCGAACGGUUUUACAGAUACUGCACACAGAAAAUCUUGUCUACCCUUAUCUGUAUGUUGAAGCAAAGUACCAUUUGCUUCAUAUGUAACCUUUUUUUCAGUAGAUCUUAAGCAUUCAUAUUUGACACACCUCACUCCAGAAAAGCUGAGACACUGUGUAAAAUGUUGUAAAAACAGGAUUUGACUAAAAUUGAUUUAAUUUACGAAAAUACACUAAUUGGAAAUUUCAUGCCAGCAAUUUGUUUUGAAACAUUAAAGCCAUGUUGUUUGACCACCUCUCCUUUCAACAACACUUGAAAACGUUUGGAAACCAAGAAGAGCAGUUUUUGAAAAUGACAUGUUUCUAUAGGAUUUCAGAUACUCAACAGUUUGGGGUCUCCUGGGUUGUAUAUUUUCUUUGAUGGUGUGUCAAAUAGGUGACUGUAGGCUGGACUGAUUUGCACAAGGGCUCUUCUACAAUGGAGCCAUGCCAUGUACAUGAGCAGAACGUGGUUUGUUGUCAUCCUGCUGAAAUACACCAGGCAAUAUGUUGUUCCAAGAACUUUAUACCCAUGCUUGUGGGCACUUGCACGUUCUCAUACCAUCAUAGAUGUUUGUUUUUGAAUAGCGAGCUGAUAGCACGCCGGUUGGUCUUUCCUGUCUUAAGAAUGGAGGAUGCAGUGUCCAGACCUUGGCUUUAACCACAAGAUGCUUUCCCACUUCAUCUCAGUCCAUCUUAAAGGGGCCCGGAGAAGUCACUGUCACUUCUUGAAUAUGUUUAUAAAUGGUUUCUUCUUUGCUCAGUACAGUUUUAACCUUCAUUUGUGGAUUCAGUGACAAACUGUGGUCACUGACGAUGUCUUUGGAAGUGUUUGAGCCAAUGCAGUGAUUUCCACCACAGAGUUAUGUCUGUUUUUAAUGUCGUGUAACCUGAGGGAUUGAAAAUCAUGGCCAUUUAGCUGCCUUGUCCCUUUUGUACAGAGAGUUUCCAGCAGUUUCUUUCCUUUUACAUUACAUUGAUUAAAUUACCUUGGAUUUGUUGAACUGGUUGCUCACACGGUCUCUCACAAAGUCUGAUCCAUCUUCAGAUUAAGUUCAAGCUUAAUGAAGAAGACAUGAUUUACUUUGCUGCUCUGGUUGAAUUGUAGGUCAGUGUUGACUUGAGGUUUAUAUGGAAUGGGAGCUUGGUGUCCCUGCUGAAAGCCCAGUAUUUGUUUGAUAAAUCCUUCCUCCCUAUAGACUUCACCUCUGUAUGCUACAUCACCCAACAUCCUAUAGGCUUUUGUAUUGUAGGCAUAAUAUAAACAUAUAUCCAGCUGAAAAACAGCUGACACUUGCUAACUCCAAAAAGAAAGUAAAAUGUGAGUCUUUGCACACGGAUCUUUAUUUAGUAAAAUGUUUUCUUACAAGUGAGACCAUCUUACAGGUAAGUUGUUUUGGUCUCUUUAAACAGGAUUGUGUUGAGUUUCUGUGAUAUUCUCAGUAUCUUGACUUAUUGAAAACCUUAUAGGUUUAAUUUCUCUGUAAACAAGCUUCCAGAAACUACAAUGUAGUUUAACAAAAUCCUAUGUCAAUAAACUUCUGUAUCCAGGUCAAACUGAACACUUCUGUUUCAUCUGUAAGAUCCCAAAACACUGACCCUGAAAAUGUUCCUCCUACUAUAGGAAAAACCUCAGAUGUUAAUCAACACAUUUGAAUUAGUUUUGAGAGUUAAUGAGUUUUAAAGCUGCCUCUGGGACUCCCCGUCAAUAAAACUACAAACUCAUUUUAUUUUCUCUUUCAAAUUCCCAUAAAGGGUGCUUCCCAUGCAAUGCCGCGGAGCUUUACUUUGAAAUGCCUUCACUUUGAUAAGAAAUGAAUUAACGCUUUGGAGAAAGGCAGUGAAGGCAGCUCUUCUGCUUCUAUCUGAUACAUAUUCUAAUUGCUGAGUGCUGACCCUUUACUCCCGCUGAUGAGCAGCCGGAGAGAUUUUGACCUUGUGGUGUGUGUGAAUCGAUGGGAAGUUGAUAAAGCCAAGUUCAUUGCUGCCUAACAUAAAACAAAGCUGAUUUGUUUACCUAGCUAAGCCCGCGCGUGUCAAUCCCAUUACGGGAUGAUUUAUAGACCAGCACCCAAUGAAAUUGUUUAAAGCAGAUUAGGUAGAGCCAACGAUCACCACUAAUAUGACAAGCUGAUAUGCUGUGACAGGUAACCAAGCAAACAAGUUCCUGAAAUUCAGAUUGAAUUAGAAUCCUAAUAAUCCUACAGGGAGCUGCAGAUUUAAUCAGGAGAGGAGAGGAGGAAGAGGGGAGAAGAAAAGGGGAUGAAGGAUGCGUGUUCUUAGGCCGCAUGGGGGGGACGCCACCUCUUUUGUGAUUUACUUGUCAGGGAGCAUCACUCAGCUUGUGUGAAAAGGAGAAAGUGAGAAGAAGAGAGCCUCCAUACUAAUACACAUCCAAUAAUUUCAAGGACGCUCCGAUAAAAGAGAUUAUUCUUUGAAUCUUCUGUCCUAACAUACACCCCUGCGUCUAUCUGUGUGUCUGCAGCUGGAGUCCAGAAAUUAAUUCGGUUAAAAAUGGUAUUACAAGAUCAAAUAUCCCAAGAGAAAGUAUUUGUUUUUUAACGUUAUACAAUAUGCAUGUGGUGUAUUGUGUUACAUACAAAUGUGGCGCCACAAAUAGAAAUAUUAAUGUAAUUUAAUGUGCAAAGACUCCACUAAAGGAUACAAGGAGCCGAUGUCCCCUCAGAAUGAUAAAAGACUCCCUUAAUGGUAUGGAUAUUGUGUUGCAAUAAAAUCUAGUUUAAGGUCAUAGUACAACUGGAACAUCAAGUAUUUAAAAGUGGAAAAGUAAUCAGAGGAUGUAGUUUAAAGCUCACUAAUAUCUCUGCGAGUUUCUGCAUAUUCAUCAUUCGUCCUAUCAGCCUCUUUUUUCUUGUUUAUUUGAAAAUAAUGAGAACAAAAUGAGGAAUAAUACUUCUUUUCUUGGACACUGAUUGCAUCUAAAUUAUGGUAUUAAUGUUUAACUAAGGUGUAUUGUUUGGACAUUUGAAUAUGCAUGAAAGUCAUCAUUACAUUUCCAGGACAGAAAUUUGCCAGAUUCUUACAGCACACAUAUAAUAUGCAUGUUUAAUAUAUCUGCUUCUCUCAGAACACAAUUAAAAACUUUUGAUAGAUAUUAUUCUCUCGGUUGAAGAUUGGUCGGUCACUGCAAUGCAAGCAAAUGAAUCUGCUACAUUUGUGUGCUUUAUGGCCGUGUUUUUGUAUUUUAAUGCGUGAUUAUACAUGAAAAAAAAAUAAGCCGCAAAGAGAGACGAGGGAGGAAAAUGUGAUAUUUUGCAGCUUAGUUGUGGAUAAAAGUAUAAAACAAAGAUGCAUUUGUACCAGACUUUUUAUACAUCACAAAAUCUUGACAACAGAGAAACAGCAAAGGAACGCGUUUCCUUUGCAUGCGCAUAUCAGAGACACAAACUGUUAUCAAAACUUUCCUUUAUAUCUCGUCUACAUUCGGCUGAUUAAACUUCCCUCCAUGAAUGUCAGCAUUCUUUCUCCCUGUGAUGAAGGGACAAGGAGGGAGGGGAGAGGAGGGGAGGACAGGAGGGGGAGAGAGAGAGAGGGGAAGACAGAAAGUUUCAGAUGGGGACCUAAUUAGGGAGUGCACAGCCCAGUUCUCUCCCCACUCCUAAUGAGGGGUUUGUUAUGGCGCGGGCGAGCGGCAGCGGCGGCGUGUGUCAUGGCGAGGCCGAAGUGGAAGAGUGUAGAGCGUGGCGGGACCGGCGGAGCAGAUCCCCCUGCGCAGUGUGAUUCUACACCUGCAAAUCCCCAACACAUUGAAACCAGGCCUCGUUUGAUGUGCUAUUCUUUUCAUGUUGAGAAACGGGAGGGACCGAAGGAGCAGGGACCUAGUUGAAAAGAGGCAGGGGGGCUUGGGAGGAGUGCCGCGGUCUAUUAGACGUUUUAAUAAUGUUAAUUAAUGAAUAAUAGGGUUUGUAAUGAGCUACCGGCUGCAUUUUAUUCAUGUGAUUAUCUCAGACGCUCUCUAAUUCUCUCUAUGAGCACUGUCAGGGGAAGGCUGAGAUCAAGUGCAACACAAACAGACAGACACACAUACUCACUCUCACACACACACAUGAAAUCUAACCCCCACUAUAAAGCAAUACAGCAAAAGAGAGGUUUGGUACAGAUUAGGACGCAGUCAGAGGUUUGGUCGAGCAGCCCAGAGGGACCCAGCAGGCCUCCAAUGACUUAUAGCCCUCCUCCACAGGAAAUGAGAGCAUUAUCAGCCACCAAUUAGACCAAAGGGGUGAUUUAUACGCGCACACAUGUGCAUGCACAGAUACUCACAAAUACAUGCAGAUGCUCAAAACACCCACACACAUGCACACGUGAUUUAUAGUCCUUAAACAGGUGGGUCUGUCUCCCUGUGCAACACGUUGGAGCAUGUGGAUCUGCUCUUUCCGAUCACUCCGUCUCUCUCUGCUAGUCUUUAAUCUUUCUCUCUCUCUCCUUGAGCCUGUCAUCUGCUUCAUCCCUCAUUCAAAAGAGACUGAAGAGGCGCAGAGCAGCCACUAGUGGGCCCUAGGAAGACGUCCUCACUUCUCCCAAUGAUUUCUCCCCCCUCUGUCUCAACAACAGUCUCUGUGGGCACUGGAAGGUGCAGAGAGGCCUGUUUCCAGAUAAACCUACAACUGUGACAAGUUCAAAGAUAAUACUUAAGUUUUUUUUUUUGUUUGUUUUUUUACUUAAAGAGACUGCCCUUUUGGGAUAUGCUAAGAGCUAAAGAGAAAAGUCAAGUCAUUGUCUUAGUAGGUUUUAAAAUCAGUUCUGAGAUUAAAAUGCUCAUACGUUAAUUAGGAGUAAUCAGAACCUUAAAAGUUUCAAAACUGUUAAAUCCUUGAAUGACAGAAAAUGUUUCAAAUGCUUUAAGGUGCUUUAAGUUGGUUUUUAUUUAAUUAUUUCCUUAAAGUCGCAUCGUCUUGUAUCACAGAAAAAAUCUCACAAAGCCUUUACAGAAACAAGCGAUGCAUUGUUAUCCAGAAAAGAAAAACAAAACCCAAGCAUCAGUUUGAGUGUCAAAAAAGUGAGGAGGAAAUGUAUUUAUACAGAGUUUUACCUUCUGGCAGAUCUAUCCAAACUGUCCAGCAAGUGUGUUAUAAUGAUAUCAGUUAGAUUUGCAAAUAUUAUGCUUACAACUCAAGAACACACCGUGUAAAGGGGAGGCCAUGGACCCCCUGGAUGAGAGCAAGUGAUUUAGAGUGAUCAUAAAAAACACUGAUUUCAACGAAAACCUCAUUACCUGAUCUGAAGGAUCUGCUGGGUAAUGCCACAUUAUUCAACUAUACUAGUAACAUUGUCAAUUAACAGCGCAUUAUGGAUUGACAACAGAUAAAACAUGGACUCACUCUCAAGUGAUUCUUGCAAACUGCUGGUUCAAGGCAGGAUAUUUGCAGCCCACUUACACGCCUCCUAAAAUGCGUAGCACAUGUAGGCAUAAAUGCUGAGGCAAGGUCAUUCUGCCUCAGACCGUCCCUUAGACGUCAUAGAAGAGCGACAGUGACGAUGAGUAGCAUUUGAGCUAGCAGAGCAGAACAGGGCUGUGUUAUCGGUACUUUUGGUGUCCGUUUACGAGCCAUUCCUCUCAGGACUCCUCAUGCAAAAUCACUCACAGCUACACCAAUGUUAUGCCCAAAGAUGUUUGAAAAAAGCUAACUUCAAAUAACAAUCAACAACUCUAAAAACCAUCAACUAUUAGGGACACAAUCCCAACAGCAUGCACACUCAUCCUCUGCUCUUUAAACCCUCAAAUGUGUUACUCAUUUUGAACAUUUGCCCAACAUGCAGUUGAUCACUUGGACUGACACCUACCUCCUUUUGAACAAACAACACAAAACCAACAUAGCAACAUGAAAACAAGUGUCAAAUAUGGUCCUAAACUGAGUCAUUUUGCUUUUGAAGCAAGCCUCCAGUGGACAUUCAGGGAACUGCAGUCUUUUUUUUUUUUACUUGUGGGAUGGCUGGGACCCUAUUUGUACUGUUGAUGAAGUUAGGUGCUGUUCUGAGCAUUAUUUGUGGCUUUAGAGUGGCGUUUGGUUGAGGUUUGUUUAUGGCUCCUCAGACCGCUGUGUAUUGCUAUCAUGAGGUCGUUACUAAAGUCGGUAUAAAUAGAGAAGCAAGCGGUUGGCAACAUUCAUCUCUCAAGGAGGUGUCUAACUUGGUGUUACGGUGAGUUUGACCCUGAAUUAAUUUUAUGCUGGACUAUCCUUUUAAAGUUGCUGCUUGAUACUGACAGUCGUUUCAUCAUAUGUAACUAUUUUUAGAGGCACAACACAAUCAUAAACUUAAAAUUACAACAUUAGGUUUGAUCUUAUUUAUUCCUGCACUCAUUAUAACUUCUUACAAGUCCAAUCCAAACAAUUUGAUUCAGAAGUCCGGAUUGUGGGAUAGUUCAAAGUAUCUUUAAAAAUUUAACUCAGUAAAAAAGGUUAUGAUCAUAAGACUCUGACAUUGACAUUUGGCACACACCGAGAACUAUAUGCUUCACACACCUGCAACACCUGACACUUCCCCGCUCGCCCAAUUCCAAGCCAUUUCCACCCCAGCUCCCUUCACUUUCUAUUGAUUGUAAAAUCAAUAGCAGCUCCAAAAGAGCUGUCCGUGUGAAAUAGUCUUACACAGAACCUGCUUUUUUUUUUUUUUUUUUGAGGGAAGAAUUUCAAACUAAACUGGGGAUAAAUCUCCUGACUUCAAGCUUUAUAAUAAUGAAAAUAAAUUAAUGAGGUCAGGCUGGAAACAUUAUCUCACGGUGACUAAGAGAAAAAAAAAGAACUAAAAGCAAUCAUAGCCUUCCUUUAAACAUGGAAACCUGAAAGAUUCCCAAAGCUGGUUCCAUCUGUCUGCUCUGUGGUUGUAAUGAAGUUAUCAGUGGGCGUCGGACUUCUAUAAACCCCCAUCCAGGUCUGUAAAGAUUCUCAUUAAGCUCCAUCCUCAUUGUCAGCUGCAACACAAAAUCGGCCAACAUUGUUCCCGUCUUUUCUUCCUCUGCUCCUCCAUCCCUCUCUCCUCUUUGGGGGAGCAGGAAAACAAAAGGCAGCCCGGGUCCCAAUCAGCGCCUCAUGAAGGGGGAUCCCACUCAGGUCUUAAUCAGUGCUCUGCUUAAUAGAGCAACACUUCCCAAAUAUUAUUAACCUCAUCUGUCUGCAUUAGGCCCUAAUGGCCUCCCUCUCUGUGUAUUGUCUUUGCAGCAGCUGGUAAUGUACAUAUAUAUUAAUCCACUCUCUCUUCCCCUCUGCAGAGAGAUUGCACGGCGCUCUCAGAACAAACGGUGCCCUUCAGAGAGCGAGGCAGACACAGGUUAGGAAGCCACUAAUUAAAUGUCAGACUUGACAGAUUAAAAUUAUGAAAUUUAAAAUCUGCAAGUGGCUCUUUGUCAUUGUCAAAUUAAGGGCUGCACUGUGUGAUGAAGGGGAAGGGGACGGCGGGCUCUAAUGGAUUGAAAGGGAAUGUGCUUUAGCAGCAAGCAGCUCCCAGUGAAUAAAGAUUUGACACUCCCGCCUAAGGUAGCAUGGCUGCAUGUUGAAUUCCUCCAUAUUCUCCCAAGUCUGGAGGUUGAGAGGUCGCUCCAAUGCAGCCGAGCCCAUCCUGACCACUUCAUUUAGAUUUCUCAUUCCUCUGGCAACACAAAUACCUGGCCACGAAACCAGCGCUCUAGGAAAAGCUAUUCCACCUUUGGCUUCCCCGUACCUCCGCGUUUGAGCACAACCCACGGAGACGGAGAUCAGCAGUCAUUGUUAUCUCCUUCAUGACCCAUCAAAUCAGUGAGCUUUUGAGGAGGAGGAAAAAAAAAACAAGUGGGAGUGUUUUCUCUGAAAACGCGCAGAAAAAGUCAUGAGGUUUGGUGUGCAAGAGGCAAUUUAUCUUCAAAAACAAGCAUUACCUUUAAGAAAUGCCCUCAAACACCAGCAUGAAAUCAAGAUCAUAUCAAUGAGGAUCAGCAGGUGGAGUAAGCUGGUGUGUCUGUAAUUAAAUCUCUCCAUGAAGAAACAUUUGACUUUCUGCAUUUUUAAAAAUAGAGUUUUUUUAUUUGUGUCAACUCUGCAGGCCUUCCACAGGGAAGUCAGGAGUAUUUCCAGAUAUAAUCAAGAAAUACAGAGAAUCUUAAACCAAACCAGGGCUGUUUCUUUACACGCACACGAUGAACAGAGUUCAAAGCAUUCUCAACUUCAACCGGGUCUAAAUUCAUCUGGCCCCGGCGAGGUCGAGGGCACAUGUUGUAAUAAAGUUCAGUGUGGAGCUGAGGCAGCAAACAUUCAACGAGGAUCAAAACACCGGCAGCACAAGAAGUGACAAGAUCCAAUUAAAUUUAAUUACUCGAGCUGUAGUUUCAUUUUAACUGACAAUUUAGAUUAAAGUAUCCACACACUCUUGAAGCUAAAAGCAAAGAGGCCAAACUGUAUCAGAGUAACCCUGUUAGCGCUGGUGCAACCUUGACUGGCUAAUUGGCUUUAAUUAAAGCUGAGCCAAGAGGACUACAACAAGUUCAAUAAGACACAGGGACAGGUUUGACUCGGCGAUCGGUUCUUUUUUUGUGUUGCUGAGUGUGUCAGCAUGCAUGUGAUGUCUGGUCGAAUUAAAACCACAGCUCAACAACCUUUAAUCAAUAUUUAUUGGUUGGCCUCCUAUUGAUUCUUAUCUUUCCAUUACUCUUUUAACCUGUCGGCUCGUAGGUGACAUGUUGCCAUUAUAAUUGUUUUAAGCUAUUUCAACAAAGGCUAAACAUCACUAUGAAUAAACAGAUUUUGAUUUAUCCAAUAAUGUGUAAGAUAAUACUCAGCCUAGUCUCAUCAUAUGGCGCAUGAAUGACUUGACUUUUCACUUUAAGAUUGCACCGAUACGUCCCAAAGACUUGGCAUGUCAGGUGGUGCAGUUUAACGGGCAAGAAGUUCAUGAUUGGUAUGUUCAGAGUUAAGGUGACCUACAGUUUGAGCUUGAUUAGGGGAUUUAACUGGACUGCUGUCCUUGUCCAAGUUUACAUGCUCUUGGGUGCGUGUUUAUGCUUUCAACCGUUUAUUGCAACAGCUGCAGAACAUUGUUUUUGGCAUCAAGACUCCAACCUCAUGACAUCUCCCAGUUUUCUUCUUACAAGCAGAAAAUGAGGAGCGAUAAGAUGAUAUCUUAAACUUCCCCUGGUCCAAACCUGCAGGUGGACAAGCAGAAGAUAAGCAGAGAAAUAAAAGCCAUCAUUUUGUCCAUUGGGGGUGCCAAAAGUGGUUUAAACAGAAAGCUCAUAGGGGGAGCUUGUUUUACAUGUGGUUGAAUCAAAACAACUUGGACUCCAGAUUGGAUCUACCUGGCUUCACUCUCCUAAUAUAAGACAGAGAAAUGCACACUGAAGAAGGUAGAGGCCUUUCUAAAAAUCAUGGAUCGUCCACUUCAUAACACCUUGAUGGACCAAAAAAACAACAUUGGUGGACUGUUCCUUUCUCUUCGCUGCAGGACGAAGAGAUUCAGAAGAUCUUUUGUACCAACAGCCAUCAAACUUAGUAGUUCUUCUAUGAAUAGUAGAUAAGAUGGGUUUCCAGACAAACAAUUUCCCUUUGGGGAUCAAUAAAGUUUUUGCAUUGCUGUAUUGCACGAGCACCGCUGUCUCCUGAUUUAAAACCACAGACUCAAAACUUUGGGACUUUAGAUUGGGAAGUCUUUGCACAGCAGUGACAAAGAAGGUAGCGUUAGCAUCGGGAUGACCACAUAACUAGCAACAUGGCUAAACACUUGAUCAAGAUUAAAAAUGGCCCUGAAACAUACCUUUCCAACAGAAAGUAAGCAACCAUGGGAUCACUUUUAAAGCCCUUGAACUCUUUCAGUUCUCUCUAUCGCUGAAAAGCUGUCCCAGUGUUGACUUUCGUUUUUGCCCUUGCUUUCUCCAAACUCUGUCUUGCUUCGGCCUUCUCUGCCUCCGUCUUUUUUUUUGCUCUUUUUUGCAGGAGAAGCAGUCACCAUUAAUCUGGGGAUAAGUAGUUUCUCUGCCAUUCUCCAGCGUAGCUGUAUCCCUCUCAGCUCGGCUAUGCACAUUGAAUCAGGGCCAGUGCGCACCGCCAACAUUUACGUGCAGGAGGCGAGGAUUUGAUUGGUUUAAAAAUAUGGGACCCACACGAUGUGAUUGGUUGGUGUUUUCCCAGUUUUACUCCUGCUGUAGAUAGCUGCUAUGUUUAGCUCUUUUUUAAAAACACAUCAUGUAUUGAUUGCCAUCAGAACAUCAAGAUCAUUCCAACCAGAAUAACAAAAAGUGUAUCUAAAUCAGAUUACCAACCCUACCUUUAAGGUCUGCCAAAAGAGACAAUCAUUAUGCAUCUCAAGAAAACAGUAUCAAUUCAACUCAUCAAUUCAAAGCACUUACAGACCGGUGGAGGUGAUAUAAGUUCAUCCAAAUUGAUCAGGCAGUUGGUCCAGCAGACCAAACAGGUAGCAACCAGGAUGGCAAAAACAGAUGGUACUACAAAAUGCUUCACAGUUGCACAUUGUGGACUGUGUUCAAGUCAGUGCAAGUUUCCAGGCAGAAAGACAGUAAAAGCUGUUACCCCCUGAGAUAUUUCACAAUAUAAAGUAUUACAACUACAUAGUAGGUGCACUAUAAUGUAACUAUUUAGCACUUUUCUUAGGAUACUAUAAUCUUGUGAAAUAUAUAAUCUGUUAUCUUAAUUUAAAGAAGCCUUUGACAUGAAAUAUCUGAAAGCAGAGAACAAACCUGUUCAUGAUAAAGUUGACAAAUAGGCUGCAGCGUGUUUCAUUGACAGACGCUCAGAGAGAAAACAAAUGCUGCAGGUGCUUUGAAAGCUGUGUGUAGCACCAGAGGGCAGGCAGAUGAGCCUCAUCCCUGAGGAAGGUGUGUGUGUCUCUUUGUUUGUGUGUGUGUGUGUGUGUGUGUGUGUGUGUGUGUGUGUGUGUGUGUGUGUGUGUGUGUGUGUGUGUGUGUGUGUGUGUGUGUGUGUGUGUGUGUGUGUGUGUGUGUGUGUGUGUGUGUGUGUGCUCACUUACAGCAGAGCAUGCGACUAUGAAAGUGAAGCACCUUAGGCUAACUGCUGUUCCUGCCACUCACACUCCACACUAACCUCUCCGACACACACUUUUCAGUCUUAAAGGUGUCAGCUCACAUUUGGGGGUAAUUCUGUGGAACCUUGAUGGUGUUGCACUACAAAUCUUAAUUCAGAUUUCUAACUCUAGCUCUGUUUAUGAUCACAGAGGUAUAAACAGAGCCAGUUAUCAGACUUAUAGGGCUGUGUGCUGGUCUGCAUACAGUAAAUGUAAAUGAUUCCAGUGAGGAUCAGUGACAAAAUACAGGGAAAAAAACUUUAAAAAGUUAAAACCGUCCUUCAAGGAGGUAACUUAUUGUAAGUGAGUACUCUGUAAAAGUCAUGCAGGCAGUGCAAACUGAAAAAUCUGCUCAUAUUAUAAAGCUAGCCCUUUCAGUUUGUUACUAUUGGGCCAAAACAGGUUAGUCAACGAACAAGUUAGCAAGAGGCUAAAUGGUUGCAUUUCAAAAUGGGAAAAAAAGCCUACUUCACAGCUCUGUACCUUUCAUCAAAUGACAGUUUUGUCUUCUUUACUUUCCUCUGCUAAAGCUCAGUGUGCAAACUGUGCAGGAUGCAUAAAACAGCCAGUAUGAGUCAGAUUGAAGUGUAGACAUGCAAGACGAAUUGAUCUCCAACUGCAUUAUCUAAGGAUGGUAAUCUGACCUCAAGAAAUUUGACUUGGUGUGAUUUUGGUGUUGGCCAAACAUGUUUCCAUGCAUUUCCUAAAUCCUAAUUCAUUAGGGCCAAUACAACAACUGGAGUGAAGCCGGCAAGCCAGUUCAAGCAGUCAACUUGAGUUGUAGACUCAUUUAAGCUGCAAGACUUUCUGUCUCUGCUUUGCCAGGGGACAAGAGGACUCUGUAUCUUCCAUGAGUGGUGGUGUGAAGAAAACUGGGAGAUGUCAUGAGGUUGGAGUCUUGAUGCCAAAAACAAUGUUCUGCAGCUGUUGCAUUGAAGAGUUGAAAGCAUAGACGUGCUCCCCAGAGUUUGUAAACUUGGACAAGGACAGCAGUCCAGUUAAAUCCCUUAAUCAAAUUAAAAACUUUAGGUCACCUUCACUGUAAAUGUACUGAGUGUGAACCUCUGUCUUUUAAAUUACAUCACCAGGUCUUUGGACGUGUUGGUGCAAUCUUAAAGGGAUACAAGACCUCAGGCUAGUCCAUUACGGACUGCUGCGGGGUGAUGCAGCUCAAGAAGGAACAUUUAUGAUAAUUUCUUCAUCAUUUCCUUGAAGUAUUAAUUACCAUAUAAAUCAUUUUGCACUGGAGACGCGGUAGUUCUUCUGCCUUAGCGUCUCGGUCUGAUUGCAUUUCCAUGAAGACAUUAUCAUAAAUGUUCUUCCUUGAGCUGCGUCACCCCGCAGCAGUUGGUCAUAGACUAGCCUGAGGUCUUGCUACAAACAAGGGGCUGCUGGAAGAGAGUAGGUGAGUUGUGUUAAGUCUCUUCGUUAAAGAAAUUAGGCAAAGUUAAAAAGAUGUCGACUAGUGCUGUGGCUGGGACCCUAUAUAUACUGUUGAUGAAGUUAGGUGCUGUUCUGAGCAUUAUUUAUGGCUAUAGAGUGGCGCUUUGGUUGUGGUUUGUGUGUGGCUCCUCAGACCGCUGUGUAUUGCUAUCGUGCAGUCGUCACUAGAAUUGGUAUAACUAGAGAAGCAAGCAGUCAGCAGCAUUCAUCUCUCAAGGGGGUGUCUAACUCGGUGUUAUGGUGUGUUUGACCCUAAAUUAAUUUGACGCCAGAAUAUCCCUUUAAAGUGAAAAGUCAAGUCAUUCAUGUGCCAAUAUGAUGAGACUAGGUUGAGGGACAAAUCCUUUUGAUAAAUCAAAGUCUGUUCAUUCUGUGCUCAUCUGUCCAUCUUAUGUAUUAGUGAAUAUUUACCAGUUAAAAAAAGCCUUUUCUCUUGCAUGCUGUCAAUCAUCUUAGGUGGCUCCUCCCACAUCUCAGAAGUUACAGGCAUUAAAAUGUUCACUGUAGAAGAAGUCAGGUGUGUUCCUGAUGGUCUUUUUUGCUUUUGGAGGUGGUUAAAAGCAUCAGUUUUAGUUUCAGCUUGUUUUAUAAUGAGCCAAAAACUCUCCACAGGAGCUUUAAAUGAUCUACCUUCAAAUAUACUGAAUAGAACUUUUUCUCCACUUAAGAGAAAUUACACACUGAGAUUUUAAAGGAGGUUAAAGAUCCACAGAGAGUGAUGUUUUUAGUUUUUGUGAGUCUAAGUGUGUGAGACGGUGACGCUUUCUUGGGUGUUUGAAUGUAAAUGUUGUUAAUCUUUGUGUUAAUCCCUUCCCAUCUGUGCUGUUUCACUGCUGCUCUAUUGCAUUUGUGUGUGAGUGUGUUUGUGUGUGUGUGUGUGUGUUAGUGUGUGUGUGUAUGGGGGGGGGGGGGUCAGCCGGGUCAGGCCUGACACCAUCUUUAACUGUUAUUUACUGUGAUUCCACGACAAGACAGAUACCAGCUCCUGCGACUCCACUGAUGUAUGUUAAGCGCGCUCCAAAUUACCAGCCUGAUGGAUCUAUUGAUGGCCCAUUCCAACCUGUCACCUAGUCUCCAUCAGCCUCUCAGUUAUCCCCCUCUGUUCCUCCUCCCCCUCUCCCCCUCCCCUCCCCCCUCCUCGCCCUCCGUCCCUGUGGGUCUGAAUAAGAAAUGAGGAAGCAGGCAGAUAGAGACCUUUUGUAACCCUGUGUCCCGCCUGCUGGAAGACAAUGGCCGGCACUGACGCUGCUGCAAAAGUUAAGCAGGUCUGUAUAGGAGCACAGCUGGAGAACACACACACACAUAGACACACAUUCAUGCAUGCACAAAGACACGCAUGCAUGCACUUGUCCCUGGAGAGACAAGAAGGGCAAUGUAGACCAUGACCGUUCCUGCUAACAGCCUUGUCUUAUCACAUCCUGUCAUUUAUUAUUCUCCAUACAAGCUCCAGAUAGCAGACCCUGUCAUAGGGGAAAUGAAGAUCCCAGCGGUAUCUGUUACAGGUCUUGUAAUACGCUGUCACCUGUGUGCUACACUGAUAAUAUCCUACACGCAUUGAUUGAGGAGAAUCCAGGUUAAUACACUCAUGAAAUGAUCUAGGGAGGGGAAAAAAUCAACUCUUAAAAGACUUGUUAGAGCUGCAAAUCAACAGCUACUCAAUUUCAAAAACCUCCCCACAGGCUUUUCAAAAAACCUAACGCUGUGUUUUGGAGCUGAGCUGAUGAUGGGCCCUGUGGUCCCAUUAGCCGAAAGAUAAGAUGAAGAUGGUCAAUACAGCGUGUGCGUGAGAGAGUGUGUGAGUGCGCGUUCUGGUGUGUGUAGUUGCCAGGCUCUGCUCUAUCAGAUAAAUACUGCACUGAAUCUCGUCGCGCUAAUUGACUCUCGCAGGCAUUACUGGGAUUAAGUUAGCAAGCGUCCAAAGUUCAUUACGCAGAUAAAUGCAUCUCUUAGCCUGCUAAAGACCCCUCGCGCAAACUCAACUCCCACACAAAGCACCAAACAAAGAAAAGGCUUCUUAUGGAGUUAAAAAGGUGAGAUCAUUUUAUUUGUUCGCACUUUAUCAGAGGGCAAAUACUUAUUUACAUUUAUGGCCCAAGUGCUCUAUUUUUAGUGUUUGAGUUUGUACUGCUAUGUUGGAAAUAUUGAGCUUUUUUCAUUUCACUACAUUUAUGUGACAGAUGCAGUUACGGGGUCCUCUGCUGAUCAGGAAAACAUAUAAAUAAAUGAAGACGUUCAUUGAUUCAGAUGUAAAAGCAAACUGUAAAGCAGAGAGACUUUGUUUCCAAAGACUCAGAGCAACUUUUAGAACAAGUACAGAGGUUAGCAAAUCAGAAAUAUCUAUAAGGAAAACAGGGCUUUCAGUGUUUACUCUCGGUUGAGAUGUAAUAAAGGUUAAAAUUUAUAAUUGUGUACUUUAGGCAUGUUACAGGUUAUUGUGGCAUUGUCUUCCUGCUUCCUGCUGAACAAAUAAAUUAUGAAGGUAAAGUAAAAUAAUGACCUCACUGCACUUUUGAGUUGCGUAUUUUGCUCCACAAAUUUCUCGGUUGACAAGUCAAAAGCAGUGUGCGCUUUGUGUCAAACAGAAUUAAAAUAUCCCCACAGGAGCGAGAGUUUGAGUGCCCACCCCACAAGCAUCCAGGUGCAGUUGAUCAGACUGAUGUCUGCACAAAACCGCAUCACAAAAGUCUGCAGAGCAACAUUUGAGAGUGUGCACAUCUCUAAUGACCAAAGGUCAUGGUUACAGAGGACAGUGGUGUAGAAGUUCUGCAUUUAUUUGGGUGAUAAAUCUAAAAGUCAGGAUCCUAAAGACCAUUUAACUGCAUAUAUUUGGUCCUCUAAUCAAGACACUAUUAAGACUUCUCUGAUAUUGUUAAUAUUGACUUGCAGUUUGAGCACAUGAUUAAAAAAGCAAUUAAUCACAAUGAACUAUUAAAAUAAUAAUUUAACAGCCUGAAGACAAAUAUGUAAUAAGUCUGAAUGUAACCAUUUUCUAAUACUUUUUCAUCAACUCUGGAUGCUUGAACAUUUUCAAAAGUAAUGCUUUCAUCAUCUGUCAGCACAAUAAACCACAACAGCUCUCUAUAUACUCUUAUUUUAAAGGAAGGGAAACUAGGGUGCAAGAUAUGUUUUAAGUGAAGCACUUAUGAGCAUGAAAAGUAAGCACAGUAAUGGACAAUGAUCAUCUUUAAGUACAAUUAUGUUAAAUUAGACAAUCACAUUUCUCUGGACUUUAAAACCUGAAUAUUGUAAUCAGAAACUCAUUUAACUGCCAAACCUGCCAUAUUAGACUGUUAAUUUUCAUUCAUAAUCAGGGCAGUCUCUGUCUCUCUUGAUACAAUAGAUUGUUUUGGUGAUUAUCCUGUUUGUUUUACAUCAUGUACUACAAUGCCGUUCUUUUGCAAAUAUAUCUUUUUCAUUUUAUUUUAAAGCUUCUACAUCUGGAAAAGUCUAAAAUUGAUACUGACGUCUUUUUAUGACCAUAAGCAAACAAGAAUGAUGCUUAAAAUUCAGUGUCGAAAAAUGCGGCAACUUUUAAAACUCGUAUAUAUUUGCGGGUAAAUCUAGCCCAUUUGGUUGUGUGAUCUUGCGUUCCCUUUUUUAACAACAGCUUUUAUAGCAACUUAAUUUUGGUAGUACCUUUUGUAAAACAAAGCUUACACAGUGCCCUAACCCUAAAUCAGCAGUACUAUGAUAGUUAAAAAAAGUUAAUGGGUUAUAUGUUGGAGAGGCAGAGUCAACUUAAUCCACAUCUACUCCUAAAAAAAGGAUAACUAUGACUUCCUGUUUUUAGUCAAGGUCAGAGGUUAAGAAAGAAGUGGAACUCUGAGUGCACAGUAUGUAGUGGGAAAAGCAGCACAUGCAUACUACACAUGCAUUACAACAAAUCUUUCAAAGUGACCUAGCGCCCCGUCACAGCUGCUGCUCAUUUUGACGUCAUUAUAACUCUGACAAAAAGCCUGCGAUGACAUCUGAGUUGAUUACGCUGAAGCGGUUUAACGUGUGAUCUUUGAUAGCCUUUGAAACACUUGCUCUCUCUCCUUCACCCUCUCUGUCGCUGCAGCGAUGAGUGACACAACAGCAGGUGCUCGGAGAACCGUGGAGAGUGCUUUCAUUUUGCCACUUAUACGACAAAUUACCCAGACAAUGGACCUGGCGAGCCGGGACAAUAAUUCAAUUCCAACUGUUGACUCUGGGCAUUCGCCUGCAUGCAUGCACCGGCCUCAAGGAAAGGAGAGCCCUCGCUGCAAAGAAGAGAGAAAAAAAAGAUAAUCUGAACACAGUCAAACAAAAUGAAAGGUAAUAUUCUUUAUCUGGCCGAAGAUAGCAGCAGAUGAACUGCCCUAAUAUGAGCACAAAUAUGAUUUAGGGAUUCCAUGCGUCAGUCGGCCCUCUUCUCAAAGUGAUUUGGAUCAAUAGUGUUUGCUAGGCACAGCAGAAACAGAGAGGAAAGAGCGAAGGAGGAAAGUCAAGAAGGAGAGGAAACACAUAGAUUUCACUAUGGGGGAGCGCAGCACCAGAGCAGUAGUCAAAUUUCACUGGUGUCAAAUUAAUUUCCGUGUUAUCUGGAAAUUCAAUUAGAAAGGCCCCCCCUCCCUCGCGCUCCUCCCUCUUCUCCUCUUUUGUGAGUAAGAGAGUGUCGGACAUCCCGGCGUGACAGAUUACACUGCUCAGAGUGCAUAUCAGGCCGAAGUGUUGAGGCCCACUAAUCCGCCCUCUAAUUCUCAAUUAGUGUAAAAUGAGGCCAUAAAUCACGCAGACAGGCCGAUCGAUGGAAACGUUGUUUUAGGAGUGAUUGGCAGCCUCCCCAAAGGUUACUGUUUAAGUUGGUUUAAGGUUACAGCUCCGUGCAGGCUGGAGGCAGGCUGAGAGUGUGUGCGCGCGUGUGUAAAUGUGUGUGUGUUGGCUUGGCUUGUGGUUGGGAGGGCUGGGGGGGUCGAACUCAAUCUAUAUGAUGCAGGGCCUUGCUCCUUUGGGGAUACAGCAGAGGGACAGCACCAAUUUUUAGCCCAUCAGCCGUCCAAUUUUUCUCCUUUUCAUACCUGCUGUAGUAAAUGAGAAACAAAUUAAAUUUCACCCCACUAUCUCCACAGAAACCAUUUAAAUCCUUUAUGGAAACCAAAUUGUCCCCAGACAAAUCGCCCCUGGUUCUGUGGAAAUACACUAUGGCGCUGCAACCGAAAUAAAUUUGUGUCACUCUGGAUAUGGCAUUGUCUGUAAUGCCAUUCAUUGGAGGAUCCUGGUGAAAGAGAGAGGGGAAUAAAAUAAGGGGCACUUUUGGAGGAACAAAAGGGGUGAAAAAGACCCCAGCUCCACAUUCUCUUCCUCACCCUCCUCUCCAUCUCUCUCUGUCUUUCCUCCCUUCUCCUUUGCGCCCACUUUUCCCCUGUGUGGUGUUAUUAAUUUUCGGCCAGAGUUUUUGCAUUCAUGAGGUUGAGAUUGAAAUGGAAAUGAGGGCUGGCUGAGCUGAGCAAAAGCGAGCAGCCUCAGCAGUGGCCGCAGCCAAACGGGGGCCCCCAGCGCGGCGCGGCGCUCCAACACUCAACCCGACACGUGUCAGAGACAGAGGGGGACGCGGCAGCCACCAUCCAGCCUCUCAUUCCCCCAGAUUACCAGCCCCUGACAUCAAUCACUGCAUCAGGGAAACAAUGCAUAAAACGGCCCCAACAAGGGCGAUGAAAAAUUACUGACAGUGCAGGAGUGGAGCGUGUGAAGGGAGGGAGGGAGGGAGACCUGGUGCCAUUCUACCUUCAGCCAAGCUAAACGAUUAGUAGCACUCACAAGGGACAAGGAAAGAGGUAGAUGAGGAGAAAACAACAGAAAGAAAUGACACAAGGCAAAUUAAAUGAAAAAAAAACAAGUAAAAAAAGAAGAAAAGUGGAAAAUAGGAGGCCGUAUUGACAAGCUAACAGAUGAAAUUGCUCUAAUGAGGCGACGAGACUUGUUCCCCUGAAUGCAACUUUUCUUAUUGAGCUUAUUUAUAUAACAGAAGCAUCUAAAAGGGAGAAAUUAGUCUUUGAACCGAGUUCUUUUUGGACCAUAUAAGCUCCACUACAACUAUAAACAGAAAAUGAUGAAAGCCAAGAAGUUCAUCUGAAAAACUAAAUCGACUUAUUUGUCAUCCAAAUUUUUCUGCUCCGAUACACUUUGGACUCCCCGUUUCACCUCAGAACCACAUGAUAGAAAAAUCUUACACACUAAGCAAACAGAAACAGAUGUAACAACAUUAUUUGGAAUAGGGCUAACUAAUACAAACUCAAUAAUGACUCUUUUAGCUCUGUUUUGUUCUCCACCUGUUCUGGCUUCUCCUCAUCCUCUUCUUCGGUAGAUUGUUGCUGACUCUGUCGACUGUUUGGUGAAAAUCCAGAAGACAAACUUUUUGCAAACUUUUUGCUGCAAACAGACACUGACUGUGGAGUAAAAACAUGUUGAUAAGAGCUGUGAGAAUAGAAUAGAAUAGAAUAGAAUUUGCAGUUACAGGACCGAUGUAAUUAACAAUUCAUGACUCAGCAAAAACAUUAGUUCCAAGCCAAAACAAUGGGCUGAAAGAAACUAGGAUCAAGUCGUAGGAUCAAGUCCUGAUGAUCUGGUUUAUGUGCCUGUUCUCCUGAUAUUAAAAAAGCCCCAAAAUAAUAACCUGAGAAAUCAUCGUCAGCCUGUCUCACCAUGUGGUUGAAAAGUAUGGGUAGAGAAAUUGAUCAAGGAUUGUUAAGAUAGCUUGAUAACAGUGCAAUAUCAGUAACAAAUCUCAUCUCUCCUCACUUGAAGCAUAAGUGCAUUGUCCAGUUUAGAGAUAGUAUAAGCAGUGAGGAAACCUUUUUGUUUAUGGUGCUUGUAAACAAGUGCUCACAAGAGACCUUUAACACAUUUGGACUUCCUGCAGGUUUAACCUCUCAGUUCCUGUUUGAAAGCCAGCAGCUCUGACUUUGCCACAGGGGCGUGCCCAGAUGGUUGUUAGGGGUGGUAUGAGCCCACUUAAAAAUGCCUGGCCACCCCAAAAUCUUAAAUCAUUAUUUUUGUUUUUGUUUGUUUUCUUUUUGGAAGGUGGAAUCAGUGUGUCAAUGAAGUGUUUCAGCAGCUGCUUUUUUUGAACAUUUGAACUUUUCUUGGUUGAUUAAAGUACAAAAAAAUACUGAACACUUCUAUUUCAUAAAACUGGUGCAUUUGAAAAGGAGUCAUCCCUACAAAAUGUUCAAGAAAACUUCAUAUUGUCUUCUUGCUAAAAUAUUUUGAAUUAUUGGAAGGAUUGAUAUGCUAAUAUGACACCCAUGAAUGUAUUAAAAUGUAUUUAAGGACCUAAGACCUGAUGAAGGUCCUGAUGGAGAGAAGGCUGUAAUGUAUCGGCUAUUUAGAGAUAUUUACCAUGGAAGACAUUUUAUUUCAUUUCUUGACUCAAAUUUCUUUCAACUCUUUUCUGGGAAAAAAAAAAAGUUUGACAUUAGGCUAUCACUUUUUAAGUGUUACAAAAAUUAAGAUUCACAUGUUGCUAAACAACGUUUAAAAAUAUACACAGAAUAAUAUACUUUAUGUGUGAUUCUUAAAUAUUAGCAUUUUAAUAAGAUAUAUCGAGUUAUAAAUCAGUGCUUUUCAUUCACUGGUGUCAUGUGUACUUAUUACUCCCUUGAAUAAGUCAAUGUCCUGGUCGGACCACCCCCAGUCAGAAAAGUCUGGACUUGGCCCUUUACGACAGUGUCUCCUCAGGUUCAUGUUGGGCCAUUAUUGAUGAGUUCAGCACACAGGGGGACGUGUUUUAGGGGUCUGUGGAAUUCCAUUUCAGCGGUGCCAGACUGGUCUAUUAUUAUGAUCAUUAUUAACUGUGUGUUCUUUUCCCUUCUUUCUUCCCCCUGCAGUUGCCGGGUGUCUGCUUUGUGUCCUCCGCUGCUAAAAGCUAAUGUGCUGAAAGGCUGGUUCUUGUCUCCCUGAGCUUAUUGAAAUCAUGUGAAUGCCAUUUGUGCUUAAUCCUUCUGGGUGUGCCAUAAAGAGAAGAGAGUCGGCAGCUCCUGAAGAGAGAUGAGAGGACCUCAGGGGAUUCACUUUGCUUUGCCCCGUCUGCUGAGAAAGAGAGAGAGAGAGAGAGGAGACUUAGACAACUGACAACCUAACCAAAAUACGUCUCAUAAUUUGAUUAGGUUACAAUGACAAUCUUUAUUUAUAGUCGGUCUCAGAUGCGAGAAGGGAGGGUGGAUUUUUUUGUGGCAUCAGAUUCACAUUAACUGGUUUCACGGCUGGCAUCUAAAUAAAAAUAAGUGAUGCUCAUGUAGCUAGAGGCUAAUUGCAGACAGCAGCGUGUCCAUCUGACGCCUGGCCCCAACCGCUACAAACACCCACAUGCCUCAUUAGCUUUGUGAUCACUCAUUUUAUUUAGUGAGGGGUCGCCUCCUCCUCAAAAACCGAGAAAUCAAGUCACUGGAACACCUUCCAUAUGCAUGAGAAUUACAUCAGCGACAGCACUGUUGUCGAGGCUUUUGAAAUAAUAAUGCAGCAAAUGAUAACGCCUCGGGACGCUACAACACCUCAUUACAGCUCAGAGUAGUUCUUGUGAAGGAAAAAAACAGGCUGGAAUGAAUAGGAAACAUGGCGGCGCUUGAACGACAGUGGUAUUUAUAUUCAUCCGUUUACAUCAAAUUGUUGCUUCCCCACAAAGAGCCUGAAACAGCAGCAGGGUUUGAACUCAGGGUUAAUGAAAAAGUCCCUGGCGUCAAGUUACCUGCUCGUCUGCAGGCGAACCCCCGUCUGUCGAAACAAACAUUUCAUUUGUGCGCCACAUGUUUCUCAGACGAGACCCUAGUAAAAGUUGUUCAAUAAAUUUUACCGUCUGUUUUACAGACCUCCCCUUUCCCCCCUGUGUCAUUUUUUUAAUUGAAAGUGGAUUCUAACUCGGCUAUAAACAUCAUUCCACCCAAUCAGAGCUGGUUUAGAUCAAAUGGUUGUUUCAAUGGGCCGCGCGCUUUACAGAUGCCUUCAACCUCGCCUUGUCUCCCAGGCGCUCGCACUGUUAAACACUCUGGCACUCUUUUAAGGCUGGGAGAUGGCUGUCACUGUAUUUUGUCAGCAAAGCAUAAUAUUUCUUCAGGAGUUCUGAACCUGGCACUCAGCGGGGUGGAAAUGAAAAUAAGGCAGUACAUAAACGGAGAGAGUCAGCCGUAAAUCACCUAACACGCACGGGAGGCAGCAGGUAGACACGCUGCUGGCUGUCACAGCGCUCCCCUGGAAAGCAGAUUGGACACCAGCCAUCAUGCUUUAAUCAAACUGCACAUAAUAGACAUGUCCCUGCUCUUUAUGACACACACAUACAGUACGACACACACACUCACACACCAAAGAAAUGAGCUUUCAGACUUUUCCAACUUGUGCUAUUUAAAUGUGGCUUAUGUUUGUUUGUUUGGGUGUCAGAGGUUAUUCUUUUGUGGUUUCCUAAAAGCGAUCUUUGAAGCUUAAUUCAGCGGUUCACACACGCUUUCUUCAAAGGUCGGCUCUCUUUACUGUGAUAUGAAGCUUUUUUUUUUUUUUUUUCUCUGACAUGCCGCAUGUCAAACGAUAACGUUAUUGUUGGCAAGACUCUUUUAUAGCGGUAUAAUUUUAUUCUGACUUUUCCUUUCUUUUUUUAAUUAAACAGUCAAAGUCUCGCAGGGCUGUGGCUUUGCAUUCUGAGUGCGGUUUUGAAAGCUAACAGCAAACAGAUGGGGAAGUAUUCAUAAUGUUAUGAGAGCAGGAUUAGGCAGGCCAUUGAAACAAUAGAGAACCUUAUCAUACCCUGAAUGAUAAAUCGUCCCUGCAUUUGGCUGCAUUCUGGUUAAAAUGUUCUUUUUUUAGUUACAUGACAGAUUGUGUCUCACAAACAUCUCUCAUGUGCACUUUUAUUAUAGAAUCUGCUUCAGCUUAUAAACCAGGAUUCAUGUUCAGGAUCCUCUCUAUUUCCUUCUUAAUGUCACAACAUUAGACGUGUCAAAAAAUUACAAACAGCCUGUUAAAAAAGAGUGACAUCCCCCUUAUAAACUUGAACCAUGUAAUGUGUCAUUUAAGUCAAAAAUAGGAUUUGAAAAAUAAUAGUAACAACAUCCCUGACACCUCCUGAGUUGUUAGACUUCAACAAAUCAAGCAGGGGUUUGACUAAUGAUGCUCUCAUUAUGUGGGGUGUGCGUUCAAAGGCACUCGAAGGUUGUCUACCAAAUGAUUACCGUAUUCAGCUCAAAAGCAGCUCUGAUUGUGUAGAGGCUCUUCCAGCACGAGGACCCUCAGAGUCUCUACAGGUCAAAUGAUCAAAUUUGGCUUUGAGUUGUCCUUUAGAUUCACCAGCUGCCACCAAUUUAAACUGAACCUAUCUGGAUGGAAGAGUUUGACGGUGUAACACAACUAAAACGAGGUUUUUGGAGGUCAAACAACACAAUAAGAUUAAUCGGACUAAUCUGUCUUCCUGGUGAAGCAGCAUGUUCUCGCUUAAAGAAUACAGGGAAGUACUGUUUUCUUUAGCUUUAAACCAUGACUGUAGAGAUAGAAACAGAGCACAUAAACUAGUUAACAAGAGUUUGAGAAUAGAGCUGUCCAGACGGUUAUUAUUAACAACUAAUAUCAGGUUAGUUUAUUAUCAUUUUACAUUUAAUGACUUUUUGAUGUGCAGCAAUCAUUAGCACAUGGUUCACAAUGGGGUAGUAAUGAGUUGCGUUCAUAAAACAGUGCCAAAGUCAUUGUCUGGAGGACAAGUUAAGGUCUGAAUAUUUUCUAAAAACGUCACAGACUUUCAUCAACAUUAGUGUCUGGAUUAAAUUUAUUAAAACCAGCUAAAAUAAACCGUAAAAUUGAAUCCUUGAUUGUCUAACUUCUGUGCCAGUUUUCCAGCCAGUCUCUUAAACAAAGAGACUGACCUGACCUUUGUUCCUGUCAGUAAUGCACAUUACUGAUAGGGACAAAAAAGUUACCUUUUGACAGAUUCAAAAACCAAACUACAACUUAGUUAAAUUAAACUGGGUUUAAAAAUUUAUAAGCUAGCCUUAUGUGACAAAAAUGCUGGGAAACUAAUGCAGAAAAAGGCUCUGCUGCCAGUGUGUCUUCCCUUCUCAGUCUAUUUUAUUGCACUCCUUUUUCUCACCUAAUGUCCCGCCCACAGUACUAUCUGAUUGGGUCUAGACAUCACCUUACUGUGUGAGAGAACUGUACUCUAAGUGUCAGUGGUUACCUGUUCACCCCGUGUAUUCAUCAUUUUUUUAUUUUACUUUCUGCUAAAAGCAUUAAAGCAACAUUUUGUGUUUGAAUUUCAAAUAUUCUGAAGUUUUUCGUAAUUGUAGUCAAUGCAUAUCGUUUCAAUAUAUUGAUUAAAUGUCUCAUGCACAGUAGAGACGGGUUUCUUGUGUACAAACAAUACUAGGUGCGCGUGCAACCAUGGGGCAAAAGCCUGCUUCGGAGUGAACUGAUAUCAAUGAAGAUGCGGUAUUCUUUGCAAGUUCUCCCUGACACAAUUGCAAUAAAAUGUUGUUUCAUUGAAAAAUCACUUAGCCUUUCAUUGCUUCAAAAUCAGAGAAACACUUGCUGAAAUGUCCAUGAAUUUUACUCAAUUUACCAGGUUGUGACGUUGUUUUAGAUGCUUUUAAUAUCAGGAGCAGGGUUGUAAUGUUUGCGGAUUGAUUGUUUCGCUGAUGCUGAAACGCCAAAGAUUUAUCUCCUUGUUUGUGAAACCUAGCUACUGAAGUUCAGUUCAUCUAAAUGCUCCACAGCGCUCAUUUUAACAACUAAUAACAGGUCAGAAUAGCUAUUAGCAACAACUUUAUUACGUAACUAAUGAUUUUAUUAAAUUGAAAUGUCAAUUUACCAGGUUGUGAUGUUGUUUUAGAUGUUUCUGAUAUCAGGAACAGGGUCGUAAUGUUUGUGGAUUGAUUGUUUUGCCGAUUUGUGUAGUUUACAGCACAACAGCUCCUUGUCAUUUUCUUUCUCUGUUGACUCCGCUAGUAAACAAAUGAGAAAUGUCCCGCUUUCUGCCCCCUGGCUGCGCAUGCAUACCUGCGAUGACAUUACACAGAAACCCGUCUAUUGGCCCUGAAACACCAAUAUCAGGUGACCCCCAGUAUUUUGCUGGGCUGGCCUUGUUACUGUUGGUUACACUGCUCGGCAUUGCAAUGAACUCAAAGCACAGGCUCUGUCUGCACCAAUGUGUAUCUCAGAUGUACAACAUAAAUGGGCCUUUAGCAGAAAUAGACAUUGUGUAUGUGUUUUAGACAGUUCCCAGUUUGGUUUGGUGUGGGCAUCACAACUACUUACUUAUACUAAUACAAGAGAUCACGGUUCAGGCUGAAAAAUAGUGGUAACCUUGGAAAACUAAUUAUGUCAAUUACUGCACUAAGACUGACAUUACUUACAUAUGCAUGCUGUGAUUCCACCAUAUGGUUUAAAGUAAAUAAAACAUGUCUUCUUAAAAAAUUCAACAUGUGCUUUUUUUCAGAUGGGAGUUGAUCCCUGUUCUCCUGGAUUUGGACUUGUUUAAACUACCCGUCCUCCAAAAUGACACCACAAAUAAUCUUCGAAGUUCUUCACAUGUUAUCACUGGAUCGAAAUGUUGUUUUAAAGUGGUAACCUCAAGGUAAGUGUCCAGUCAUCUAAUUUUGAUAUAUUAGGCCACUGCACAGGCUACCAAAUCUGCC
rnacentral:lncRNA from 1 species